rnacentral:lncRNA from 1 species
AGGAAGGGUUGUACCCCAUCACAGCUAGCUUUGGCCUGGGUCCAUCACCAAGGCAAAGAUGUUUGCCCCAUACCUGGCACUACCAAGAUUGAGAACCUCGAUCAGAAUAUAGGAGCUUUGUCUGUGAAACUGUCGGCAGAGGAAAUGGCGGAACUUGAAUCUAUUGCUUCGGCUAUCAAGGGUGAGAGAUACGAGUCUGACGCUGGGCUUGGUACUUGGAAAACUUCUGAAACUCCGCCUUUGUCAACCUGGAAGCGGACAUGAAGACAUACCUUUGUUAUGGCAAUAAUUCCUUCUAGCUAUGUGCCUGAUGGUGGAUUUCACUAUAUUGAGAGUUGAGUGAUAUGUAAUUGUUCCAAUAAAUUUUGACAUACUAUUGUCUCUAGGGCUAUGUCAAGUAAAGUUAUAAGAAGAAUGGAGUAUCUUCAGAGAGGUUGUAAUAAAUAAAGAUCUGGUCAUGUAAAAGCAGAAUAUAAUCUUCCUUGCAGUUGAAUGCAUUAAGAGUUAUAUAUUGUACUUUUGAAUGAUAAAGUGGUCCAUUUUUUAUGUGCUACUGCUACGAGAGUUAUAGAUUGUUGAACAGCAUUCAAUUCAGGACUUAUUAAACAUAAGCAUAUAAACAUUUUAUUCUCGGAAUAUUUACAUCAAAAGAAACUCCAAGGUCACAUCAUUGUAAAGUGUAAACUAUAUCAUAUUAAUAAAAAGCAAAAAAAAUGUCUAAAUGAGGAAAAAAAUGUACUAUAGAAGAAGUCAACAAUGUCAUGUAAUCAUUUUAUCCUAAAAUUGAGAUUCAAAUUUAGUUGAUUUGUAUUUUGAGUUUCCUCUUUGAUGGGAAAUGUAUCUCAGAACUUUAACUCCAACAGUUGAUGUUUCCUACUUGGAGUACUCAGUCCACCUUGAUGCAUUGAUCUUUCCCCUGAACUUGUGCCCGUCAAACAAUAUUUCUGAUCAUCUUGAAGUAAUUAGUACCAUCUGUUCAUUACUCCCUUCUGAUUUCUUGCAUUAUAGUUUCCUCUUUAAUAGGAAAUGUAUGUCAAGAUCUACCUUCUACAAUUGAGAUUUCUUAGAGUACUCAGUCCACCUUACUAGAUUGUUCUUUUCCCUGAACUUUGUUCACUUCAAACAAUACUAUGAUCAUCUUGAAGUUAUUCGUAUUGUUGUCUUUUGUAGACGACACAUGCUUUACUGCCCUUUGAAUUUCUGCAUUGCAGUUGCUUAAAUUUUGAAAUUCCUACAAUGUAGAAUAUGCCAAGGUUACAAGUAGAGAAUUUUAGAAUUUUAAUCCAAAUGGCAUUACAUUCCAUUCAUAAUGACCAAAAGGGGUUGUGAAUGUUGUUUUAUAUCUAUCUUUUGGUGUUAUUAAUAUUUGCCAAUAUCCUGAUUUUAGAUCAAACUUUGAAAAGAUUUUUGCUUUAAAUAAUCUAUUAAGCAAAUCUUUUUUAUUAGGAAUUGAAUAUCUGAUCCAUUGUAAAACUUUAUUUAAUGGUUUGUAAUUUAUUACUGAAAAAAGAAACCACCAAAGACCUUCAAACAGAAAUUAAUGAUCUUAAAAUACAAGUAAAACAACUACAGCGAGAAAUUAUAGAAUUAAAAACAAAAGAUUUAGAAAUAGAAGCAAAAAUAACAUUAAUAGAAAAUCAACCUUCAACUUCCAAUUCUAAAACAGAAGAAAUAAGUAUAUCAGAAAGACCAACAGAUGAAAUUCAAUAUUUAAAUACAAUAGAGAAAAUGAUAUUUCAAAAAUGGUAUGCUUUAGUAACUAUUACAGUAGAAGAUUUCAAAGAAACAUAUGUACCUUUAAUAGAUAGUGGAGCUAAUUCAAGUUGUAUUAAAGAAGGAAUAAUUCCUACUAAAUAUUGUGAAAGAACAAAAGAAACAUUAAUGGCAGCAAAUGGAGAAAAUUUACAAGUAAAAUAUAAAUUUACAAAAGGAUCAAUAUGUAACAAUGAAUAUUGUAUUAAACAUAAUUUUAUAAUUGUAAAAAAUAUAAAUCAUGAUAUAAUAUUAGGAACACCUUUUUUAAUUCAAAUUUACCCAUUUCAGUAAGUCAUGAAGGAAUUUCAAUAAAUAUAAUGGGAAAAACUGUUAUUUUUAAAUUUCUAACUCCAAUAAAACAAAGAGAAUUACAGACAUUACAAACAUCUUCUAUUUACAAAACAAUAAAUAGUAUUACUAGAGUACAACAACAAAUAAAUUAUAUUAAGGAAGAAAAAUCUUAUUUAAAAAUUGAAGAACAAUUAAAAGAAAGUAAAAUAUUAAAAAUAAUCUCAGAAUUAGAAGAACUAUUAGAAAAAGAAAUUUGUGCAGAUAUUUCUAAUGUUUUUUGGGAUAGAAAACAACAUAUGACAGAAUUACCUUACGAAACAGGUUUUAAUGAAAAAAAUAUUCCAACUAAAGCAAGACCAAUACAAAUGAAUUCUGAUUUAUUAGAAUUUUGUAAAAAGGAAAUAAAGACAUUAAUAGAUAAAGGAUUAAUAACACCUUCAAAAUCACCUUGGAGUUGUGCUGCAUUUUAUGUAAUGAAUCAAGCUGAAAAAGAAAGAGGAGUUCCAAGAUUAGUAAUAAAUUACAAACCAUUAAAUAAAGUUUUACAAUGGAUCAGAUAUCCAAUUCCUAAUAAAAAAGAUUUGCUUAAUAGAUUAUUUAAAGCAAAAAUCUUUUCAAAUUUUGAUCUAAAAUCAGGAUAUUGGCAAAUAUUAAUAACACCAAAAGAUAGAUAUAAAACAGCAUUCACAACACCUUUUGGUCAUUAUGAAUGGAAUGUAAUGCCAUUUGGAUUAAAAAAUGCACCAUCAGAAUUUCAAAAUAUAAUGAAUAAUAUUUUUAAUCCUUAUAGUUCAUUCAGUAUAGUUUAUAUAGAUGAUGUAUUAAUAUAUUCGGACUCAUUAGAACAACAUUUUAGACAUUUAAAUAUAUUUUUAAAAAUAGUUAAGAAAAAUGGAUUAGUCGUGUCAGCACCAAAAAUGAAACUAUUCCAAACUAAAAUAAGAUUUUUAGGACAUGAUAUAUAUCAAGGAACGAUAAAACCAAUUAAUAGAGCUUUAGAAUUUGCUACUAAAUUUCCAGAUGAAAUAAAAGACAAAAAUCAAUUACAAAGGUUUUUAGGAUGCUUAAAUUAUAUAGCAGAUUUUUUCCAUAAAUUAAGACAAGAAUGUUCUAUAUUAUUUAAUAGACUAAAGAAAAACCCAAAACCUUGGACAGAAGAACAUACUCAAAAAAUAAAAUAUUUAAAAGAAAAAAUUGACUCAUUACCAUGUUUAUGUUUACCACAUCCUAAAGCAUUCAUGAUAGUUGAAACAGAUGCAUCAGAAUUAGGAUACGGGGGUAUAUUAAAACAAAGAAUAGAAGAAUCAAAAGAAAAAUUAGUUAGAUAUCAUUCAGGAACAUGGUCUGACUCUCAAAAGAAUUAUUCAACCAUUAAAAAGGAAAUUUUAUCAAUAGUUUUAUGCAUAUCAAAAUUUCAAAAUGAUUUAUAUAACAAAAAAUUUUUAAUUAGAAUAGAUUGUAAAUCUGCAAAAGAAAUUUUACAAAAAGAUGUUCAAAAUAUAGUUUCAAAACAAAUAUUUGCUAGAUGGCAAGCUAUUUUAUUUGUUUUUUAUUUUGAAAUUGAAUUUAUAAAAGGAGAAAAUAAUUCAUUACCAGAUUUUCUUACUAGAGAAUUUUUACAAGGACAUGGAUCGUGAAAUGAUGGCCCAAAGAACUGAUCGAGAAUAUACCAAUUACCUAAGAACUCAAAGAGAUUCUCCUAAACUAUUAAACAAAGAAGCAGCUUUUCAAUUCAGAGGAUAUCAAUAUUUUAUUCAGACCAGUAAUGGAAGACAAAGUAUUCCAGCCUAUCAAAUUUCCAAACAUGAUACAGUGUAUAUUCAGAAAAGCCAUUUCGCAACCCUUACACCAAAGGAGAGAGCUUUUCUCAUUCAAAGAGAAAUUCAGAGAAACACUAUCAGAAUUCAAGUCCUAAGGAGAUCAGGAAGAAAUGAGGAAUUUCUUCAACAUUACAAAGAUCAAAAUAAAUAAUUAUCUAAUCAACUUAAAGAUGUUGUUUAUUGAUUUUGCAGGAACAUGGAUUCAAAAGCAGGAAAUUCUAAACCCAAGACUCCUCAAGAUUAUGAGAUGAGUCUUACUCCUGUAAAUCAAAAUAGAUUUCAAUUAUUGCAAGAUUUUCCAGCAUUGACUUAUAGUCAAGCUGCUCAUACUCCAACUUCUUCCCAAAUAAGACCUCUUCAACAAAUUCUAAAAACCUCAGAAAAAUCUAAUGAAAACUCUUAUUUCACAAAGCCAUCUACUCAACAUAUCACUUUAACCAGAUUUCAAGAAAUACCGUUAUAUUCUACACUCAAUCAGCUUAUUCAAAGAAUCUUUCCACAAAAAUAUUAUUGGCAACUUGAUGACCCUUCAAAAAAUUUGGAUUAUUAUGAAUUAAUUCUUACAGAUACUCAAUCUGUAGAAAUAUUCCCCAUUCCAGAUAGAAAAAAUCUAAUUAGUCAUUCAAAAUGUAUAAUAAAGAAAGUUUGUUCUCCUAAUGAAUGGACUUCUCUUUAUUCAAAGAAAUCUUUUUCAGUCAGAUUUAUUCCAAAUAGAUUUACUUAUCAAGAUUACAAAAUGGCACGGUAUCGUGCUUUUUUGUAUAGACCAUUCAAUCAUUCGUGGUUCUUUACAUUCAAAGAAAGUUGCAGUAGAGAAUUCCCAAUUUGGUUCAAUCACUGGUGGAAAUGGUUUGGCCAUCAACCAGAAAUUCUACCUCCAAAUGUUCUUAUGGGAUUCCAAACUUAUCUCAAAAAAGCAAAGGGGGAGGAGUAUACAAGGCCAAUACUAUUCCAUAUGUAAUUCAAAGUACCAUGGAUUUUUUGCUGGAGUUUCAAGAUUCAUCAAGAAUUAGAAAAAUCACUCCCAAUGUCUCUAGUCAGAGAAUUCAAAAUCAAAUGGUGGAUAGGAUUUAAUCAAGAAUUUGGAGAUCAGGCAAAUGUGAUAAGAUUUUUAACAACCGGAGACAAACUCAAAUGGACAAGUCAGCCAACCACUUCAACCACUUCAACAAUUAUGCCAACCACUUCAACAACUAUGCCAACCACUCCAACCAUUCCAAAAAAGAAAGAUAAAGAAAAAGUUAUGGUAUCUGAGGUAAUUACAAACGACUUUUUGAAGAAAAAGAUGAUGCAGAAUCCCGAGAUGCUUAAAGAAUAUUUUGACUAUUUACAAAAGCAGGAUAAGAAUGAAGAAACCGACAAAAUUGAUGAGUCGGCUGGAUCAUUCGAAUCUACUUUUGAUCCUUUCGGGGGACCAUGCGGACAAGACCCAAAUGACUUUUGAAAAAAGAUGUCGGCCAUAUUUCAAAGAAAGGCAAAUGAAAUUCAAAUGAAAAUGAAAUGCAAGAACAGAUGAUUCUAUAAAUAGAUUCAAGAUCAGAAAACAAAGCAUCGGUGAAAAAAGAGAACAAAACCUUCCCGUGUAAAAAUCCUUAGAAAAAUCUCCCAAUCUCUCUUAUUCAACUACUCUUGUAUUCAACUACUUUUGCUUCCUUCUUCAAAUAUUUUAAUAAGAAGUGCAAGGAUUCAACAAAUAUCAAGCUUCCGUUAUCAAAGGCAACUCUAAAUUUUCAGUAAGUCUAAUCGUUUAAUUUCUAUGAACAUUUCAAUAGAAAGGAACCUGGGUAGAAGUGGUAUCAGAGCCACAUAGACGUGCAUAUUUAAACUUUGUUAUUACAAUUACUUCAUUUGAAUUAUUUUCUAUUUUGAUUUGGCUAAUUCAUGCAUUUAUGUUUACGUAUUUUAUUAAACUUUUACUGAAAUCAUUGGUAAGACUUUGAUGCCUUGUUAGACCGUUGGUAAGUCCAGGGUAGGAUGUUCCCAGCAUAGUGCUCAAUUGUUCCGGAUUAGGUAAAAAUUUAAUUAAUAUUAAACAUGGCUGCAUUUCUUAGACAAUUAAAAAUAGGAUCUAAUUCAAAGCAAACUAAUGUAGUACAAAGUCAUGAAUAUCAUAUGCCCAUAAAUAAUUCAGAUUGGACAAUUUCAGAAGAAAAAAUAGAACAUAUUUAUCGAAUAGGCCCUUUAGAUUUCAAAACAACUUUAUCAGUAAAAACACAUGAAGAAACAAUAUAUAUUCAAGAAGAAUAUCAAUCCAUUCCAUUAUUAAAUCAUAGUACAAUUCAAAGAUAUUUAAGUAAAGGAUAUCGAUAUAUUCAUAUAGGUUUGAUACAAAUUGCAGUAAAACCUUUAUUCCAUUUAGGAGUAGAUGCUCCUAUAUAUUUAGCAUUAAGAGAUACUAGACUCAAAAGAUAUAAAACUUCUUUACUUUCUAUGAUUCAAACUAAUGUAUGCAAUGGACCCAUAUAUUUUAACUGUGCUCCAAAUUUCUCAAUAGAUCUAACAGACCCACACAUUCUGAAUUCAGUCAUAUUAGAUAUUCACCUACAAGAAAAUGAAUUUGAAAAACAUACAAAGAAUUUUACAAUAAUAUAUAGAAUAUAUUAUAGACCCCUAUCUUCACAUUUAAAUCCUAAAUUUAUAAUGACUCCAACUCUUAAAGAAGAAACAACUUUAUUACAAGUAGAUGCAGAUAGACCCACAACUUAUAUUCCAAAAAGACUAAAAUGGAAUGAAAUAACUAUACUUAGUGAAUUUGAAAUUAAAAAUCCACAAAAAACAAGAAAUAUAGAACAAACCACUGCAGAAGAUAUUAUAGAGAAAUUUGAUGGUAAUACUUUAAUAAGAUUUUCAUCAUUAAGAAAAAAAUCUGAUUCAACUUAUUCUUGGCUACCAGCUAGACAUUCUAAUUAUGAAUCAACUGAAAUUAAUUUUUCUUUAGAAAGUACCUCAAAUUUUAAGUAUAAAACUCCUAUUCCAGAAGUUAUAAAUCAAAAUCAAUCAGAAUAUUCUCCAACCCAUUCACAAAUGAAAGGAGAAAUAAAUGUUAUAAAUAAAUCAUAUAAAAUAAAUCAUAAAUAUUUACAAGAAGAUUUUGAAGAUAAAGAAAAUACUGAAAAAAGAAUUUGAUUUUUUCAACUAGAAUCUGAAUAUAAAAGAAAAUUAAUUCUAGAAUGGAAAAGUGAAUUAGAAAAGCAAAAAUUUGAUUUCCCUUUCUUCACUUGGUUAUCAUACUAUACUGAAAAAAUAAGAAUAAAUGAUAUAUAUAAUACACCUCAAAUAAAUGUUCAAACUAAUUUAUACAAAAAAUGGAAAUUAAAAGAUGAUCAAAUAAUAACAUCUAUACAUCCUCCGUUACAAGAAGUAAAAAUUAAUAUAGGACAAGGAGAUAUAAUAGUCUCACUUUUUAAAAAGGGUAGAGAAGCUGAAUCGAAUUCAAAUAAUACAAUAAAUUUAGAAGAUAUUAAAAAGGUUUAUCAACAAAAUAAUUAUACCAAUCAAAUUCUUCAUACAAUUUCUCAACAUAUGGAAGUAUUAAAUGCAAAAAUAGAUACCAUAAAGAAACUAGAAUUAAAAUUCCCUAAUGAUAUUUCAGCACCUCAUUUUCAACCUAGAAGUUUGACAAGAGAAAAAGAACAAGAUUUAGUUCAAAAUAUUAAUAAUCAAAAAAUAAAUAAUACAUACAAUAUAUUAAAUAAAAUAUCUCAGGCAUUACAAAACUUAAAUAUAGAAGUAAAACCUCCAACACCUAGGAUAAAUGUUUUAGAUCAAAUAAUAGAAGAAAGUUCAUCAGAAAAAUUAGACAAUUCAUCUGAAGAAUCAAUAAAUUCAGAAAUGGAAGAAAAUAUAAUUUUACCAAUAGAAAAAUAAUUUGAAAAAAAAGAAAAUAAUCAAAUAAAUAAAAUAAGAAGAAAAAGAAUUUACAAUAAAAAUAAUAAAGAUUGGAAAAUGAUAAGUAAUAGAAAUUAUUAUCCAAGACCUAGUCCUCCAGACAUUCAAUAUGAAGAAAGAUCAAAAUUUCGUACCACUAAAUAUGAUGGAGAUUCAAUAUAUGAAUAGAACAUAGAUGGCAAAGCAGAAUAUGAAGUAUUAAAUAAUUUAUAAGAAAUGGGAAUGGCUAGAUUAGCUUAUAAAAUUAAAAAUAUUCAAGAAAGAAAUAUUGCAACAUUAUUAGUUUCAGGAUUUACUGGACAAUUAAAAAAUUGGUGGGAUAAUGCUUUAACAUUACAAGAUAAAUUAUCAAUACUAGAUCAUACACAAGAAAUUGAAGGUGAUCAAGGAAAUAUUCAAAUACAAUCAGAUGCUGCAGAAUUUCUAAUUGUAACAAUAGUAAUGUAUUUUAUAGGAAACCCAAAAGAGGAAUUAAACUCUAAUAAAACAUUUCUAACAAAUUUAAGAUGUCCAACAUUAUCAGACUUUAGAUGGUAUAAAGAUAUGUUUUUAACUAAUGUAUUAAGAAGACCAGAUUGCAAUGCUUCAUUUUGGAAAGAAAGAUUCAUAACAGGAUUACCAAACUUAUUUUCACAAAGAAUAAUGGAUAAUUUACAAAAGAAAAUGGGAACAAAUGUAAUUUCAUUCGAAAAUAUUACUUUUGGACAAUUAUUUGCUUUUGUGAAAAAAGAAGGAUUAAUGUUAUGUUCAGAAUUAAAAUUACAAAUAAAAUAUGGUUCAAAAACAAAAGAAGUAAGAUCAUUUUGUGAUGCAUUUGGAAUUAAAAGAAUUAAAUUACCAUCUGCAUAUAAAAAGAAAGUUAAAAAAUAUAAUAAGAAAAUAAGAUACAAAAGAUCUAAAGAAGAUAAACCAGAAAAGAAGAAAAGAUUUAUUAAGAACAAAAUAGUCUGUUACAAAUGCGGAAAAAUAGGCCAUAAAGCAAACAAAUGUAAAUUAAAAGAAAAAAUUAAGGAGAUUUGUACACAAGACGAAGAAAUUAAAAACAAAUUAAUAAAUUUAUUAAUAAAUGAAAAAGAUUAAAGUUCUGAAGAUGAUUAUUAUAAUGAUAUAUCUAGUUCAGAAAGUGAAGAAAAUUGUAAUUGUGCUAAUACUUCAAAAUACAUAAAUAUUAUAACUAAAAAAGAGAAUAAAGAAUUUUUAUUAGAUAUAAUAGAAAAAAUUGAUGACCCAAUAGCUAAAAAAGAAUAUUUAGAAAGAUUAAAAAGUCUAAUUAUACAAGAAGACAAAAUGCCAAAGAUAAUAGAACCUUUUAGUAUUUCUAAAUUAAUAGAUAAAUAUCCAAACAUAAAUAUAAUGAAAAAAGAAACCACCAAAGACCUUCAAACAGAAAUUAAUGAUCUUAAAAUACAAGCAAAAUAACUACAGCGAGAAAUUAUAGAAUUAAAAACAAAAAAUUUAGAAAUAGAAGCAAAAAUAACAUUAAUAGAAAAUCAACCUUCAACUUCCAAUUCUAAAACAGAAGAAAUAAGUAUAUCAGAAAAACCAACAGAUGAAAUUCAAUAUUUAAAUACAAUAGAGAAAAUGAUAUUUCAAAAAUGGUAUGCUUUAGUAACUAUUACAGUAGCAGAUUUCAAAGAAACAUAUGUACCUUUAAUAGAUAGUGGAGCUGAUUCAAGUUGUAUUAAAGAAGGAAUAAUUCCUACUAAAUAUUGUGAAAGAACAAAAGAAACAUUAAUGGCAGCAAAUGGAGAAAAUUUACAAGUAAAAUAUAAAUUUACAAAAGGAUCAAUAUGUAACAAUGAAUAUUGUAUUAGACAUAAUUUUAUAAUUGUAAAAAAUAUAAAUCAUGAUAUAAUAUUAGGAACACCUUUUUUAAUUCAAAUUUACCCAUUUUCAGUAAGUUAUGAAGGAAUUUCAAUAAAUAUAAUGGGAAAAACUGUUAUUUUUAAAUUUCUAACUCCAAUAAAACAAAGAGAAUUACAGACAUUACAAACAUCUUCUAUUUACAAAACAAUAAAUAGUAUUACUAGAGUACAACAACAAAUAAAUUAUAUUAAGGAAGUAAAAUCUUAUUUAAAAAUUGAAGAACAAUUAAAAGAAAGUAAAAUAUUAAAAAGAAUCUCAGAAUUAGAAUAACUAUUACAAAAAGAAAUUUGUGCAGAUAUUCCUAAUGCUUUUUGGGAUAGAAAACAACAUAUGAUAGAAUUACCUUACGAAACAGGUUUUAAUGAAAAAAAUAGUCCAACUAAAGCAAGACCAAUACAAAUGAAUUCUGAUUUAUUAGAAUUUUGUAAAAAGGAAAUAAAGACAUUAAUAGAUAAAGGAUUAAUAACACCUUCAAAAUCACCUUGGAGUUGUGCUGCAUUUUAUGUAAUGAAUCAAACUGAAAAAGAAAGAGGAGUUCCAAAGGUGCUGCAAGGCGCGCAAAUAAGUGCAGAAGAAUACGAGAUUAUGAAGGACCUGAUUAUUCCACUUGGUAGAGUUCCUCAAUUUGCGAUGCAGUGUGGCGCUUAAAUUGUGACUAAAUAGCUUCCCUCAACUCCGUCGCCCAUUUUGCUCGUCGGGAUUCUCUAAUGGGGUUGCUGCUGGAAAAUUUACCUGCUGGAAAUUUAAUGUUCGUACACUUCUUUUUGGUUCUUCCGAGUUGAAAUUCCUCUGUCUAGGUAAGAUAACCUUACCAGCCCCUCCUUUGCUCCGGAUCCCUGAGGCGUCAAUUUGAAUUGUGAACCUCUUCAAUGAGAGACGACACAAGAAAUGGGUGGAUUUAAUCUGUUUGAGUUUCCACUUAAAAAUCAUCCUGUAUGUUGCAGAUGGCACAAGCUUAGCCAUGGCGAUGAAGGAAUAAUUAGCAAAAAGUAACAGAUGAAGGAAUAAUUAGCAGGAGGGUUCCGAAAUUACUCCCUUUGAGAAACACAUAUUUUGGCUUGUUCUCAGUUCAUUUAUAUAUAUAUAUAUAUAUAUAUAUAUAUAUAUAUAUAUAUAUAUAUAUAUAUAUAUAUAUCUUUGCUGGGCUCUAAACUUUUGGUGUAAAAAAUUUAAAAUCAAUCCAACAGCCCCAAAUUGGGUAUUUGUUUUUCAAUUUAUAUUCAAUUACAGACAUUUUUUAGUUUCAUGUCCUGGAGUCUUAGCCCAGCAGUUGACAAUAAUGUAAAGGAUAUGAUAUUGAAAAAAAAAAAAGAGGAGUUCCAAGAUUAGUAAUAAAUUACAAACCAUUAAAUAAAGUUUUACAAUGGAUCAGAUAUCCAAUUCCUAAUAAAAAAGAUUUGCUUAAUAGAUUAUUUAAAGCAAAAAUCUUUUCAAAGUUUGAUCUAAAAUCAGGAUAUUGGCAAAUAUUAAUAAUACCAAAAGAUAGAUAUAAAACAGCAUUCACAACACCUUUUGGUCAUUAUGAAUGGAAUGUAAUGCCAUUUGGAUUAAAAAAUGCACCAUCAGAAUUUCAAAAUAUAAUGAAUGAUAUUUUUAAUCCUUAUAGUUCAUUCAGUAUAGUUUAUAUAGAUGAUGUAUUAAUAUAUUCGGACUCAUUAGAACAACAUUUUAGACAUUUAAAUAUAUUUUUAAAAAUAGUUAAGAAAAAUGGAUUAGUCGUAUCAGCACCAAAAAUGAAACUAUUCCAAACUAAAAUAAGAUUUUUAGGACAUGAUAUAUAUCAAGGAACGAUAAAACCAAUUAAUAGAGCUUUAGAAUUUGCUACUAAAUUUUCAGAUGAAAUAAAAGACAAAAAUCAAUUACAAAGGUUUUUAAGAUGCUUAAAUUAUAUAGCAGAUUUUUUCCCUAAAUUAAGACAAGAAUGCUCUAUAUUAUUUAAUAGACUAAAGAAAAACCCAAAACUUUGGACAAAAGAACAUACUCAAAAAAUAAAAUAUUUAAAAGAAAAAAUUGACUCAUUACCAUAUUUAUGUUUACCACAUCCUAAAGCAUUCAUGAUAGUUGAAACAGAUGGAUCAGAAUUAGGAUAUGGGGGUAUAUUAAAACAAAGAAUAGAAAAAUCAAAAGAAGAAUUAGUUAGAUAUCAUUCAGGAAUAUGGUCUGACCCUCAAAAGAAUUAUUCAACCAUUAAAAAGAAAAUUUUAUCAAUAGUUUUAUGCAUAUCAAAAUUUCAAGAUGAUUUAUAUAACAAAAAUUUUUUAAUUAGAAUAGAUUGUAAAUCUGCAAAAGAAAUUUUACAAAAAGAUGUUCAAAAUAUAGUUUCAAAACAAAUAUUUGCUUGAUGGAAAGCUAUUUUAUCUGUUUUUGAUUUUGAAAUAGAAUUUAUAAAAGGAGAAAAUAAUUCAUUACCAGAUUUUCUUACUAGAGAAUUUUUACAAGAACAUGGAUCGUGAAAUGAUGGCCCAAAGAACUGAUCGAGAAUAUACCAAUUACCUAAGAACCCAAAGAGAUUCUCCUAAACUAUUAAACAAAGAAGCAGUUCUUCAAUCCAAAAGAUAUCAAUGGGGGUAUAUUAAAACAAAAAAUAGAAGAAUCAAAAGAAGAAUUAGUUAGAUAUCAUUCAAGAAUAUGGUCUGACCCUCAAAAGAAUUAUUCAACCAUUAAAAAGGAAAUUUUAUCAAUAGUUUUAUGCAUAUCAAAAUUUCAAGAUGAUUUAUAUAACAAAAAAAUUUUAAUUAGAAUAGAUUGUAAAUCUGCAAAAGAAAUUUUACAAAAAGAUGUUCAAAAUAUAGUUUCAAAAUAAAUAUUUGCUAGACGGCAAGCUAUUUUAUCUGUUUUUUAUUUUGAAAUAAAAUUUAUAAAAGGAGAAAAUAAUUCAUUACCAGAUUUUCUUACUAGAGAAUUUUUACAAGGACAUGGAUCGUGAAAUGAUGGCCCAAAGAACUGAUCGAGAAUAUACCAAUUACCUAAGAACUCAAAGAGAUUCUCCUAAACUAUUAAACAAAGAAGCAGCUUUUCAAUUCAGAGGAUAUCAAUAUUUUAUUCAGACCAGUAAUGGAAGACAAAGUAUUCCAGCCUAUCAAAUUUUCAACAUGAUACAGUGUAUAUUCAGAAAAGCCAUUUCGCAACCCUUACACCAAAGGAGAGAGUUUUUCUCAUUCAAAGAGAAAUUCAGAGAAACACUAUCAGAAUUCAAGUCCUAAGGAGAUCAGGAAGAAAUGAGGAAUUUCUUCAACAUUACAAAGAUCAAAAUAAACAAUUAUCUAAUCAACUUAAAGAUGUUGUUUAUUGAUUUUGCAGGAAUAUGGAUUCAAAAGCAGGAAAUUCUAGACCCAAGACUCCUCAAGAUUAUGAGAUGAGUCUUACUCCUGUAAAUCAAAAUAGAUUCCAAUUAUUGCAAGAUUUUCCAGCAUUGACUUAUAGUCAAACUGCUCGUACUCCAAUUUCUUCCCAAAUAAGACCUCUUUAACAAAUUCCAAAAACCUCAGAAAAAUCUAAUGAAAACUCUUAUUUCACAAAACCAUCUACUCAACAUAUCACUUUAACCAGAUUCCAAGAAAUACCGUUAUAUUCUACACUCAAUCAGCUUAUUCAAAGAAUCUUUCUACAAAAAUGUUAUUGGCAACCUGAUGACCCUUCAAAAAAUUUGAAUUAUUAUGAAUUAAUUCUUACUGAUACUCAAUCUGUAAAAAUAUUCCCCACUCCAGAUAGAAAAAAUCUAAUUAGUCAUUCAAAAUGUAUAAUAAAGAAAGUUUGUUCUCCUAAUGAAUGGACUUCUCUUUAUUCAAAGAAAUUUUUCUCAGUCAGAUUUAUUCCAGAUGGAUUUACUUAUCAAGAUUACAAAAUGGCAUGGUAUCGUGCUUUUUUAUAUAGACCAUUCAAUCAUUCGUGGUUCUUUACAUUCAAAGAAAGUUGCAGCAGAGAAUUCCCAAUUUGGUUCAAUCACUGGUGGAAAUGGUUUGGCCCUCAACCAGAAAUUCUACCUCUAAAUAUUCUUAUGGGAUUCCAAACUUAUCUCAAAAAAGCAAAGGGGAAGGAGUAUACAAGACCAAUACUAUUCCAUAUGGAAUUCAAAAUACCAUGGAUUUUUUGCUGGAGUUUCAAGAUUCAUCAAGAAUUAGAAAAAUCACUCCCAAUGUCUCUAGUCAGAAAAUUCAAGAUCAAAUGGUGGAUAGGAUUUAAUCAAGAAUUUGGAGAUCAGGCAAAUGUGAUAAGAUUUCUAACAACCGGAGACAAACUCAAGUGGACAAGUCAGCCAACCACUUCAACCACUCCAACAACUAUGCCAACCACUUCAACAACUAUGCCAACCACUCCAACCAUUCCAAAAAAGAAAGAUAAAGAAAAAGUUAUGGUAUCCGAGACAAUUACAAACGACUUUUUGAUGAAAAAGAUGAUGCAGAAUCCCGAGAUGCUUAAAGAAUAUUUUGACUAUUUACAAAAGUAUGAUAAGAAUAAAGAAAUCGACAAAAUUGAUGAGUCAGCUGGAUCAUCCGAAUCUACUUUUGAUCCUUUCGGGGGACCAUGCGGACAAGACCCAAAUGACUUUUGAAAAAAGAUGUCGGCCAUAUUUCAAAGAAAGGCAAAUGAAAUUCAAAUGAAGAUGAAAUACAAGAACAGAUGAUUCUAUAAAUAGAUUCAAGAUCAGAAAACAAAGCAUCGGUGAAAAAAGAGAACAAAACCUUCCCGUGUAAAAAUCCUUAGAAAAAUCUCCUAAUCUCUCUUAUUCAACUACUCUUGUAUUCAACUACUUUUGCUUCCUUCUUCAAAUAUUUUAAUAAGAAGUGCAAGGAUUCAACAAACAUCAAGCUUCCGUUAUCAAAGGCAACUCUAAAUUUUCAGUAAGUCUAAUCGUUUAAUUUCUAUGAACAUUUCAAUAGAAAGUAACCUGGGUAAAAGUGGUAUCAGUGCCACAUAGACGUGCAUAUUUAAACUUUGUUAUUACAAUUACUUCAUUUGAAUUAUUUUCUAUUUUGAUUUGGCUAAUUCAUGCAUUUAUGUUUACGUAUUUUAUUAAACUUUUACUGAAAUCAUUGGUAAGACUUUGAUGCCUUGUUAGACCGUUGGUAAGUCCAGAGUAGGAUGUUCCCGGCAUAGUGCUCAGUUGUUUCUGAUCAGGUAAAAAUUUAAUUAAUAUUAAACAUGGCUGCAUUUCUUAGACAAUUAAAAAUAGGAUCUAAUUCAAAGCAAGCUAAUGUAGUACAAAAUCAUGAAUAUCAUAUGCCCAUAAAUAAUUCAGAUUGGACAAUUCCAGAAGAAAAAAUAGAACAUAUUUAUCGAAUAGGCCCUUUAGAUUUCAAAACAGCUUUAUCAGUAAAAACACAUGAAAAAACAAUAUCUAUUCAAGAAGAAUAUCAAUCCAUUCCAUUAUUAAAUCAUAGUACAAUUCAAAUAUAUUUAAGUAAAGGAUAUCGAUAUAUUCAUAUAGGUUUGAUACAAAUUACAGUAAAACCUUUAUUCCAUUUAGGAGUAGAUGCUCCUAUAUAUUUAGCAUUAAGAGAUACUAGACUCAAAAGAUAUAAAACUUCUUUACUUUCUAUGAUUCAAACUAAUGUAUGCAAUGGACCCAUAUAUUUUAACUGUACUCCAAAUUUCUCAAUAGAUCUAACAGACCCACACAUUCUGAAGUCAGUCAUAUUAGAUAUUCACCUACAAGGAAAUCAAUUUGAAAAACAUACAAAGAAUUUUGCAAUAAUAGAUAGAAUAUAUUAUAGACCCCUAUCUUCACAUUUAAAUUCUAAAUUUAUAAUGACUCCAACUCUUAAAGAAGAAACAACUUUAUUACAAGUAGAUGCAGAUAGACCCACAACUUAUAUUCCAAAAAGACUAAAAUGGAAUGAAAUAAAUAUACCUAGUGAAUUUGAAAUUAAAAAUCCACAAAAAGCAAGAAAUAUAGAACAAACCACUGCAGAAGAUAUUAUAGAAAAACCUGAUGGUAAUACUUUAAUAAGAUUUUCAUCAUUAAGAGAAAAAUCUGAUUCAACUUAUUCUUGGCUACCAGCUAGACAUUCUAAUUAUGAAUCAACUGAAAUUAAUUUUCCUUUAGAAAGUAUCUCAAAUUUUAAGUAUAAAACUCCUAUUCCAGAAGUUAUAAAUCAAAAUCAAUCAGAAUAUUCUCCAAUCCAUUCACAAAUGAAAGGAGAAAUAAAUGUUAUAAAUAAACCAUAUAAAAUAAAUCAUAAAUAUUUACAAGAAGAUUUUGAAGAUAAAGAAAAUACUGAAAAAAGAAUUUGGUUUUUUCAACUAGAAUCUGAAUAUAAAAGAAAAUUAAUUCUAGAAUGGAAAAGUGAAUUAGAAAAGCAAAAAUUUGAUUUCCCUUUCUUCACUUGGUUAUCAUACUAUACUGAAAAAAUAGGAAUAAAUGAUAUAUAUAAUACACCUCAAAUAAAUGUUCAAACCAUUUAUACAAAAAAUGAAAAUUAAAAGAUGAUCAAAUAAUAACAUCUAUACAUCCUCCAUUACAAGAAAUAAAAAUUAAUAUAGGACAAGGAGAUAUAAUAGCCUCACCUUUUAAAAAGGGUAGAGAAGCUGAAUCGAGUUCAAAUAAUACAAUAAAUUUAGAAGAUAUUAAAAAGGUUUAUCAACAAAAUAAUUAUACCAAUCAAAUUCUUCAUACAAUUUCUCAACAUAUGGAAGUAUUAAAUGCAAAAAUAGAUACCAUAAAGAAACCAGAAUUAAAAUUCUCUAAUGAUAUUUCAGCACCUCAUUUUCAACUUAGAAGUUUGACAAGAGAAAAAGAACAAGAUUUGGUUCAAAAUAUUAAUAAUAAAAAAAUAAAUAAUACAGACAAUAUAUUAAAUAAAAUAUCUCAAGCAUUACAAAACUUAAAUACAGAAGUAAAACCUCCAAACUAAAAUAAGAUUUUUAGGACAUGAUAUAUAUCAAGGAACGAUAAAACCAAUUAAUAGAGCUUUAGAAUUUGCUACUAAAUUUUCAGAUGAAAUAAAAGACAAAAAUCAAUUACAAAGGUUUUUAAGAUGCUUAAAUUAUAUAGCAGAUUUUUUCCCUAAAUUAAGACAAGAAUGUUCUAUAUUAUUUAAUAGACUAAAGAAAAACCCAAAACCUUGGACAGAAGAACAUACUCAAAAAAUAAAAUAUUUAAAAGAAAAAAUUGACUCAUUACCGUGUUUAUGUUUACCACAUCCUAAAGCAUUCAUGAUAGUUGAAACAGAUGCAUCAGAAUUAGGAUAUGGGGGUAUAUUAAAACAAAGAAUAGAAGAAUCAAAAGAAGAAUUAGUUAGAUAUCAUUCAUUAUAUUUUGAAAUUCUGAUGGUGCAUUUUUUAAUCCAAAUGGCAUUACAUUCCAUUCAUAAUGACCAAAAGGUGUUGUGAAUGUUGUUUUAUAUCUAUCUUUUAGUGUUAUUAAUAUUUGCCAAUAUCCUGAUUUUAGAUCAAACUUUGAAAAGAUUUUUGCUUUAAAUAAUCUAUUAAGCAAAUAUUUUUUAUUAGGAAUUGGAUAUCUGAUCCAUUGUAAAACUUUAUUUAAUGGUUUGUAAUUUAUUACUAAUCUUGGAACUCCUCUUUCUUUUUCAGCUUGAUUCAUUACAUAAAAUGCAGCACAACUCCAAGGUGAUUUUGAAGGUGUUAUUAAUCCUUUAUCUAUUAAUGAAUUUAUUUCCUUUUUACAAAAUUCUAAUAAAUCAGAAUUCAUUUGUAUUGGUCUUGCUUUAGUUGGAAUAUUUUUAUCAUUAAAACCUGUUUCGUAAGGUAAUUCUAUCAUAUGUUGUUUUCUAUCCCAAAAAACAUUAGGAAUAUCUGCACAAAUUUCUUUUUGUUAUAGUUAUUCUAAUUCUGAGAUUCUUUUUAAUAUUUUACUUUCUUUUAAUUGUUCUUCAAUUUUUAAAUAAGAUUUUUCUUCCUUAAUAUAAUUUAUUUGUUGUUGUACUCUAGUAAUACUAUUUAUUGUUUUGUAAAUAGAAGAUGUUUGUAAUGUCUGUAAUUCUCUUUGUUUUAUUGGAGUUAGAAAUUUAAAAAUAACAGUUUUUCCCAUUAUAUUUAUUGAAAUUCCUUCAUGACUUACUGAAAAUGGGUAAAUUUGAAUUAAAAAAGGUGUUCCUAAUAUUAUAUCAUGAUUUAUAUUUUUUACAAUUAUAAAAUUAUGUCUAAUACAAUAUUCAUUGUUACAUAUUGAUUCUUUUGUAAAUUUAUAUUUUACUUGUAAAUUUUCUCCAUUUGUUGCCAUUAAUGUUUCUUUUGUUCUUUCACAAUAUUUAGUAGGAAUUAUUCCUUCUUUAAUACAACUUGAAUCAGCUCCACUAUCUAUUAAAGCUACAUAUGUUUCUUUGAAAUCUUCUACUGUAAUAGUUACUAAAGCAUACCAUUUUUGAAAUAUCAUUUUCUCUAUUGUAUUUAAAUAUUGAAUUUCAUCUGUUGGUCUUUCUGAUAUACUUAUUUCUUCUGUUUUAGAAUUGGAAGUUGAAGGUUGAUUUUCUAUUAAUGUUAUUUUUGCUUCUAUUUCUAAAUCUUUUGUUUUUAAUUCUAUAAUUUCUCGCUGUAGUUGUUUUACUUGUAUUUUAAGAUAAUUAAUUUCUGUUUGAAGGUCUUUGGUGGUUUCUUUUUUCAUUAUAUUUAUGUUUGGAUAUUUAUCUAUUAAUUUAGAAAUACUAAAAGAUUCUAUUAUCUUUGGCAUUUUGUCUUCUUGUAUAAUUAGACUUUUUAAUCUUUCUAAAUAUUCUUUUUUAGCUAUUGGGUCAUCAAUUUUUUCUAUUAUAUCUAAUAAAAAUUCUUUAUCCUCUUUUUUAGUUAUAACAUUUAUGUAUUUUGAAGUAUUAGCACAAUUAUAAUUUUCUUCACUUUCUGAACUAGAUAUAUCAUUAUAAUAAUCAUCUUUAGAACUUUGAUCUUUUUCAUUUAUUAAUAAAUUUAUUAAUUUAUUUUUAAUUUCUUCGUCUUGUGUACAAAUCUCCGUAAUUUUUUCUUUUAAUUUAUAUUUGUUUGCUUUAUGUCCUAUUUUUCCGCAUUUGUAAUAGACUAUUUUGUUCUUAAUAAAUCUUUUCUUCUUUUCUGGUUUAUCUUCUUUAGAUCUUUUGUAUCUUAUUUUCUUAUUAUAUUUUUUAACUUUCUUUUUAUAUGCAGAUGGUAAUUUAAUUCUUUUAAUUCCAAAUGCAUCACAAAAUGAUCCUACUUCUUUUAUUUUUGAACCAUAUUUUAUUUGUAAUUUUAAUUCUGAACAUAACAUUAAUCCUUCUUUUUUCACAAAAGCAAAUAAUUGUCCAAAAGUAAUAUUUUCGAAUGAAAUUACAUCUGUUCCCAUUUCCCUUUGUAAAUUAUCCAUUAUUCUUUGUGAAAAUAAACUUGGUAAUCCUAUUAUGAAUCUUUCUUUCCAAAAUGAAGCAUUGCAAUCUGGUCUUCUUAAUACAUUAGUUAAAAACAUAUCUUUAUACCAUCUAAAGUUUGAUAAUGUUGGACAUCUUAAAUUUGUUAGAAAUGUUUUAUUAGAGUUUAAUUCCUCUUUUGGGUUUCCUAUAAAAUACAUUACUAUUGUUACAAUUAGAAAUUCUGCAGCAUCUGAUUGUAUUUGAAUAUUUCCUUGAUCAUCUUCAAUUUCUUGUGUAUGAUCUAGUAUUGAUAAUUUAUCUUGUAAUGUUAAAGCAUUAUCCCACCAAUUUUUUAAUUGUCCAGUAAAUCCUGAAACUAAUAAUGUUGCAAUAUUUCUUUCUUGAAUAUUUUUAAUUUUAUAAGCUAAUCUAGCCAUUCCCAUUUCUUGUAAAUUAUUUAAUACUUCAUAUUCUGCUUUGCCAUCUAUGUUCCAUUCAUAUAUUGAAUCUCCAUCAUAUUUAGUGGUACGAAAUUUUGAUCUUUCUUCAUAUUGAAUGUCUGGAGGACUAGGUUUUGGAUAAUAAUUUCUAUUACUUAUCAUUUUCCAAUCUUUAUUAUUUUUAUUAUAAAUUCUUUUUCUUCUUAUUUUAUUCAUUUGAUUGGUAUAAUUAUUUUGUUGAUAAACCUUUUUAAUAUCUUCUAAAUUUAUUGUAUUAUUUUAACUCGAUUCAAGUCAAUGCCAUUGCUUCAAGGAAGAGUUGUACUCCAUCACAGCAAGCAUUGGCCUGGGUCCAUCACCAAGGCAAUGAUGUUUGUCCCAUACCUGGCACUACCAAGAUUGAGAACCUCUAUCAGAAUAUAGGAGCUUUGUCUGUAAAACUGUCAGCAGAAGAUAUGGCUGAACUUGAAUCUAUUGCAUCAGCUGGAGUCAAGGGUGAUAGAUAUGAUCCUGGCCGUGGUACUUGGCGAACUCCUGAAACUCAUGAAGACAUACCUUUGUUGAGGCAUUAAUUCCUUCUAGCAUUCUACCUGUUGGUGAUUUCACUGUAUUGAGAGUUGAGCGAGUUGUAUUUGUUCCAAAAACUUCGUCAUACUAUUGUCUCGAGGGUUAAGACACGUAAAGUUUUAAGAAAAUGGUGUUUCUUUAGAGUGCUUGUAAUGAAUAAAGAUCUGGUCAUGUAAAAGUAGAAGCCAACAUACCAACAAUGUCAUUGUAAACUACAUCAUACCAACAAAAAGUAGAAAAUGGUCUAAAGUGAAUAAGAAAUCAACAAAAACUAUGUAAGCACCAAUGGAAAGCAGAAAAGUUCUUGAUACCAUAGUAAACACCAAUGGAAAGCUAAAAAGUUCUCGACGCCAUAGAAAUUAGGGAUUCGUUGGGCAAAAAAGUUCUUAACGCCAUACUCUAUAGACGCAAGGGAUCUAUAGAGCAGGGAUCCAGGUUUGGGCAUCUAGCUAAGUAGAACAGGUAAAGGAAAGCUACAUCACAGAUGUAGCAAGUAGUUCCAAUGUCCUUGCCAAUUGUAUAGGCUUUCUUGCUUCCAACAUGGUCUCGAAAGUGCAGAUUAGAGAAGGAUAUCAAAGCCGGCCAGCUGCGAAUCCUGUGGGGUGAAAACCAUACGUUUGAAAAAAUAAACAAAACAGAGCUGCCUGAUCCUCAAUUUAAGCAUUAUACUAGAGAAGGACAAUACAAGCAUUCUCAAUGUUUGAGAAAAUAAACUUUACAUGCAGAAAGCAAAUAAAUGCUUGAAAUUACACAAUGGAUGGAUGUUGAAAAGAAUCACUAAAGAAUAUGUCUAGAAGAUCGAUCUGUUAAGCAUGGGAAGUUCAAAGAGUAGCAUUUUUUUUGAGUCUCAGAAAAAUGAAGAGUCCAACAAUUUAGGGAAUUCAAACUCUAUUUGUGAAUAAACUGCUUGUAUUUUUCCUUUUUCUAGUGUAAGAUUUAAGGAAAAGUUAAAAUCACUUGACCCCUGAUCAGUUCUUUACCAAUUCAUUGAUUUUGACUUCAAUCAUGAACAAAUAAUUCAGAUUAAGACUGAAUAGUUAAUAAAUUGAAAAAAAAUCCAGUCCUUCUUACUUUUCGUGCCUUUGGCCCAGUGUUGCAAAAGGCCUUGCCUGAGGUAAGGCAUUUGUCACUAAUCCAGCAGCACCAAAGCCUUGGAGCAUGGGUUAUAAUUCUCAUGAAUUUUAAAAUUUUUGAAUAUUUUAAAAAUAUUGUAAUAUUUAUGAAAAAUAUUAUUAAAAAACAUAUAACUAUAAUAAAAUAUGUAAAAUUUAAAAAUUAUAGAAAAAUAUAUUAUCAUGAUAUGCGGUAGUAAUGACAGUAUAGAAAAAAAAAAUAUGGCAAAAAUUCAACGAAUACUAGUUGUGGGCAUCUGAAAAUGGUUAUAGAUGACAAGGGACGAUGAUUUUACUUGGAAACUUGGGUUUUUACAUUCUUGUGGUAUGUAUUACUAUACAAAAAUGGUAAAAUUAAAACAUAACCAAGUUUUGGGGUUAAAUAAGAAAUUUGAGAUAACAGGUUAGCUAAAUUUUUAAAGUGAGCCAAAGCACAAGGACUUAAUACUACAUGUUUUACUAGAAUGGGACCCACAUCUCUAAAUUCAGGCCUGUCAAGUUCAUCGAGGUGCUUCGUUCGCAAACCCAUUUGUCAGCCCAAAUCAUCAAACGCUUCCUUCCUCCCCUUUUUAUUUACUAUAAUAAACCCGAUACGACUUCCUGAUUAUUCCAGGAUCCAACAAUUAAAACUUUACAUACAAAUAAAUGGUCAAAUUCACUUAAAAAUUGUGGGGUCAUCUUCCACAUUAAACUUUUGUACCAUCCAAGUUUGUUUUAAUUCCUUUGGGAAAAUCAAACAUCGAAUGCAUUCCCCAAAAAAAAAACAAAAAAAGGGAAAAGGAAAUGGCUUACCUUUGCCCUUACGUAUCCAAUCCCAAUUUGAACAUUACAUCAUCCAUCCAAUUGAAACAAACUCCUAUGGAGAUUUUUUUUUUUUUGCUUUAUUUUGUUGUUAGAUCUGAAUUUUUUUUUUCCCAUGAGCGCUAGUGCUCUGUGGGUCUCUCCUUGCCCGUGCAAGGCCCCUCCUUCCCUAGAUGCCUAGUGGAAGUUUUUGUCCUCUUCCCCCUCCUGCUGCUCUGUUUUUUCCCCGCUAUCUCUAUCUAUUCGUUUGCUCUGGAAUCUUACUUCGUCGGCAUUAUUUUCAAUUCCUUUCCUCUACAACUUUCUGGGCUUCCCCUCCCUCGUCCCUUUUAACCUUGGCUCUCUUUGUAUUUUGCAGGCACGCAGUUUAAAUCACUCAACCUUGGCUACCCUGUCCGCCUCUGCGGGCUGAAUCAAUUCUCACGAGGCCAUGGCUGAGGAGUUAGAAAGGCUGUGCCAAAAUCUUGCGCUAAGGGAUGAUGAGGAGGAGGUGCUGUUAUUGCCCGAUGACAAUGACGGUGGCUCCAAUUUUGACGGCGAUUUGUGCAUUCUCGGAAAGCUGUUCAGUCGGAAGUCCUUCAACGCAGAGGCUAUGAUGGCUACCAUGAAGAAAUCUUGGAACCCGGCUAAAGGCCUCGAGUACUCGGCAGUUGGGGAUAACCUUUUCCUCUUCAAAUUUAACGACAUUGUAGACAAAAGGAAGGUUAUGGCAGGAUGCCCUUGGGCUUUUGAUGGAAGUUUGCUGGUUGUCAGUGACUAUGUUGGUAACAUUCAGCCGUCCAAGGUAAAAUUGGAUCACUGCUCUUUCUGGGUUCGAGUAUACAACCUCCCAUUGGGAUGGAUGAACGGAAGAACGGCGGACUUUAUAGGGAGCAAACUUGGCACGUACGAGGGAUUUGAUGCAAAGGGUGGUCUCUCUGUGGGUAAGUUUUUGCGCAUUCGGGUUAAGCUAAAUCUCAAUAACCCUCUCAAACGACUGAUGAAGCUUCUAAUCGAGGGUGCGGUUUGUGAGGUUCACUGUCGUUAUGAGCGCCUUCCUAUGCAUUGCUAUUUUUGUGGUCGAAUUGGACAUGGAGAAAGGGAUUGCGACGACAAACUAGAUGUUACUGUGGUAAACAACGGCGAACCUCAAUAUGGUGGGUGGCUUAGGGCCACCAACGACAAAAAAUUCGCCGGCCCGCAACUUUCGUCUCGGACGGCAACACCACCGACGAAAGGGGGCCAGUCCCUCCCUGCUGCCGAUAAGGUCGCGUCACCUAAGGAGGUUGUUAGUUUUGAACAUCCGAAUUACCAGGCCUCAGAAUCUCCAAGUUUGGUUGGCAGGCCUGAUCCUACCCAAAGACCAGACGUCCGAGUUCCUAGCACCUUGGUAGCACCCCAGCGCAGACCUUUCUCUCUGGAUAACGGCCAACCAAUCCUUUCAACGGCAUUGGUCACUGAUAGUUCUCCAACAGCGCAGGCAACUUCCACUUCCUUACCCUUAACCACACAUUCCCCCCACUCAAUUGUUCAUGAUGGGCCCUCAAGCUCGGCCAAUUCCAAAGCAAAUGCUCUUGGCUCGAAGCCCAAUGAACACCCCAAAAUCCCAGUCCCUAGCAAACCAAGUCCGCCCAAUACCAUCACCAGCCCCAAAUUCUCUCUAAUCAACCCCGCCACAUCUCAGCAAGAACGUUCUCCUACUUCACAACCUUCUGUCAUGCCCCCCAUACCUUCACAGCCUUUUCACCAAGCUAUUCAAAUAGCCACCCAUGCUUCAUUGGAAAAUGUACACCCCAACCUUGGCCCCCUUUUUCGCCCCUGCGAUGGCAAGCCCAAACCCAGUCAUACAACCACUAACCCCAGCAUACCAUCCAUGCAAUUGUCUAUCACAACAUCUACAGAGCCAACCAUGGAGGAUGUGUUUCUAGUUGAUGCCACCUUAACGCAGCAAAAGAAAUUUUCCGACAUCCACGACAUGCGAACUAUCGCUUCCUCCAAAAAAAUGAAAGGAUGCAAUAUCUCCCGCAGGAAAUCAACACCUUCAAAAUUGGCCCUACAUCCUACUAAUGUUAUAUCGGGUCACAAGACAAAAAGAGAGGCCACGGAUGCUUCUUCUGCAGGGGAGGGAGAUGCUAGUGGUUCGGCCCCAAAGAAACCGAAACAUGCUACGCUGCCCGCACCUCCUCAAACAACCUCUAUAGCGGCGGAGACUGCCUUGCAGUCCCGCCGAGAACCAUGAAUUGCUUGAGCUGGAAUUGUCGGGGGUUAAAGGGUUAAACAACCCUCGGACAGUUCGGGAGCUCCGAAACAUCAUCCGGAGAGAUAAAGUUUCAAUUAUUUUUUUAGUAGAGACGAAGUGUUCGGAUAAAGUAAUCGACAAGCUAAAGCAGGAUAUCAGAUGGUUUGGUUUAGGGGUUGACUCACGAGGGAACUCGGGUGGCUUAGCUCUCCUUUGGAGGAAGGAUCUGGGUGUUGAACUUAUGCGUUUCUCGGAUUGUUUUGUUGAUGUUAAGGUGCAUAUGACUGAUUCCUCCUGGCGUUUGACUGGUUUCUAUGGUCAUCCAGAGGCGGCUAAAAGAAAAUAUACUUGGGAUAUUAUGCGCAAGCUCAGUACAUUAUGCUGCCUACCAUAGGUCUGCAUGGGUGACUUCAACGAGGUACUCACUCAAGAGGAAUUUCAGGGCGCGACAUGGAGACCGAAUUGGCAAAUUAUGAACUUUCGGAAGGCACUUUCGGACUGUAAUUUGUUUGACUUAGGCCAUGAAGGUAAUCACUUCACUUGGUGUCGGAAUAGGUCGGCUCCUGACACAACUAGAGCUCGUCUGGACCGCGCAUGCGUCUCCCAUGACUUUCUCACCUUGUUUCCUGAUGCCAGGAUCUAUCACUCACAUGCUCUUUUUUCCGAUCAUGUUCCUAUUGUCUUAAGAUUAUCGUGCUCGCAUGAUCUCUUAAAAGCUCGCAGCAAAUCUAGGAGGGACAAAUGCUUCAUGUUUGAAGCAAUGUGGAUCAAAUCAGAAGACUGCGAACGCAUUAUCCAAGAUUCUUGGGAGUAUAGCUCGACAGAAGAUGCUUGUGCCAACCUGGUUAUGAAGACUAAUAGUUGUAGGUUAGGCCUUCUCCAAUGGAGCAAACAGUCCUUCGGCAACCAUACUAAGGCUGCGGAUGAUCUUUGGCAAAGGAUUUCUCGCCUCCAACAAGGCGUUUUGACGGACUCUAUCAAAGCUGAGAUUAGUUCUUUAACUACCCAGCUAGAGGAGCUUCUGGACAAGCAAGACAUCAUGUGGAAACAGCGAAGCAAAGCACAGUGGUAUAGAGAGGGUGAUCGAAACACAGCUUACUUCCAUGGCCUGGCUUCCCAGAGACGGAAGCAUAACCAGAUUGUUGGCCUUUUCGAUAACAAUGGUUCUUGGUGUCAGUCACAGGAGGGUCUAGAAUCUAUUAUCAUGGAACAUUUUGGCACAAUCUUUUCUACUUCACAGUCUACUUCUCUGGCAAUUGAUGCAGUCAUCCAGCGAGUGCGGGGAUGCGUUUCCAAGGAAAUGAAUUAUUGUCUCCUGCGUACCUACACUACCAUUGAGGUAACAAAGGCUUUAAGUCAAAUGCAUCCAUUUAAAUCUCCCGGGCCGGAUGGCAUGUCACCAGUCUUCUACCAAAGAUAUUGGCAUAUUGUUGGUCGAGAUGUCACUCGUUGGGUUCUUACUGUCCUAAACGAGGGCACCUUACCUACGAGUCUUAAUCACACCUAUGUUGUCCUUAUCCCUAAGUGUCACAGUCCAUCCAGUAUCACCCAAUUUCGUCCCAUUAGUCUUUGCAACGUAGUUUAUAAGCUAGCCUCUAAGGUCUUAGCUAAUAGGCUUAGGAACUGUCUUCCCAAAGUCAUCUCACCAUGUCAAUCAGCGUUCAUCCCUGGGCGCUGUAUCACUGAUAAUAUCCUAAUUGCUUAUGAAGUCAAUCAUUCCCUUAAGCUGAAAUCCUAUGGGCAGGAGGGAUUGAUGUCCAUUAAGUUGGACAUGAGCAAAGCAUUUGAUAAGGUCGAGUGGCUUUUUCUUCGACAUAUGAUGAUAGCUUUAGGUUUCCAUUCCGCUUUUGUGGACAUUGUUUUUCGCUGCAUUUCUACUGUGUCUUACACUUUCCUACUUAAUGGGUCCCAACUUGGGAACCUACAACCCCACCGUGGUAUCAGACAGGGGGAUCCAUUAUCACCCUACUUGUUCUUGAUCUGUGCCGAAGGCUUUUCUUGUUUAUUGCAGGAAGCUGAACGUUGCGGAAGCAUCUCAGGUUUUCGGAUCGGCUCACGCGGACCCAAACUAUCUCACCUAUUAUUUGCCGAUGACACCUUAUUAUUCGGCAAGGCUGUGAGAACCCUGAAAAUGUAUAUACAAAUAUCAUUUCAUAUUUCAUUUGCAAUUUUAGCACCUCCACAUAAAAUAUUAAAGCAUUUAGUUUUAUUAUGUUAAAUUAAUAUCACCUGAGUAGAUUAAUUUUACUACCUUAAUAUAAAUUACUUGAAGUCCAAUAAUUCAUUCUAAUUAGUGAAUAGCGUUAAAUACUACCAAAAAUUCUCACGAUAGGAAGAAGCCGAUAAAUUUUAGAUAAAAACAAUACACAUAUACUAAAUAUGUGUAGGACGUAAAAAUUUCGAUAAAUGAAAUCUUGUGAGAUUGGUGUAUCAUUAGGAGUUUAAUUUACAUUCGGAAUAAAUUUUUGGUGUUAAGUUAAAAUCAAGGACUCAAGUAAGGAUUAGUAGGGCAAUGUGAAAUGUCUAAACCAACCUUCACAAUAUCACAAAAUCACCAUGCAAUUCCAAAACAUUUCCGGACAGCAUUAUGAUCAACCUCACCAUUCGACCAAUGCUCACCUUCACCACCUACACACUCAACCUCUUCCUACACUCCAACACCCUCCAAAACCGCGGGUCAUCUCCCCAUUUUUCCCCCUCAACCCCGCAACAUCACCUCCCUUAACUCUGCAACAUCUCACCUCAAACACAACUACACCUGAUAACCGAGAGCAAGGAGAGAAACAGUGAGCUGCGAUAGUUUGCUGUUCCUGUCCGAGAAGGAGAAGCGAGAGGGAGAUAGAAGGAGAGAACCGUGUGUGAGCUUCCGUCUGCAUUUUUUUAACUCCAAACAACUGCACUUCAGCACUCCUCACUGCAACACCAUUCCAGUCGCAACCACUGCAACCAAAACCUGUGCGAGCUGAGAGCCGAGAGGGAGAACAGGAAAUUUUUCAGAUUUCUUGUGAGUGAGCUGCAAUUUGAGGUAACCUCUGAGCUAGAUUAAACUAAUUAGAGGUUGUUUGAGUUAAUUAGGAGCAUGCAUAUAGAGUUAAUCGAUCGGAUGAUGUACUGGAAAAGAAAAGAAAAAUUUACUGCGCGAAGGGAUAAAUUUUGGCCAUGAGCUGAAAUCGGAAAUGCAGCUCCGAAAUUGUUCACUCUUAGCAAUCUGAACACCUAAAUGUAAUUAGCCGAGUGAAAACUUGAUGAUUAAGAUCAUGCAUGUUGAUUUGUGCGUUUGGAUGAUUAAAUUAGAAGCAUAAGAAACCUUGAUUUGGAAAGAAAUGGACUGCCGAGUAGCUGAAAUGAAAAGGCAGCACUAAUCUGUUUAUCUGGUAACAAUUUGAACUGAUGAAUGUGAUUACCUCACUAAUAAGAAGGUAAUUAAGUCUUGCAUGAGGCCAAGUAACUCGGCUAACCAAGAAAAUAAAAUGAAAACAGAAAAAUUGUUUCAUGCAUGACCAUCCGAGACUAGUUGAUAUAAUUUCUAGAUUUUAGCGAUGUUUGUAGUAUUAAAUGAACCCGAUGUUGAACUAGAAAUGUUAAUCAAGUGGUUAAGCAGUUGCAUGCUGAAUUUGAGUCCCUAAAAUACUGAUUUAACCAAGGGAAAAGCUGGAUUAAGAACAUACAAUUGCUGGAAAAUUUUUGUGAACUGCGGUGAGUUUGAACCUGGAAAUUUUGAGGAUUAUAACAGCUGUUUAAAUUUAAUUUCGAGCUGGAAAUGUUAACGGUCUAGCCAAGUAAUUGCAUGAUGAAGCUGAGAGUUUAAUAGCAUGUCUUAGCCAAGGAAAUAUUGAAUUCAUGAACAACGAAGUACUGGAAAUUUAAAUGACCGAGAGGUUGAGCUGAAAAUUUUAAUUGGUUUUUGGAAUUUUUCCUUGGAAGAAAAUGGUUCAGAAAUGUAUGAAAAAUGUGUACUUAAGCCAUGUAGGUGGUUUAGCUAUGAAACAUUUGUUAUAUUGGAAGUUUGGACCAAAAGGUUGGAAUGUAAAUGCUGAACAUUUUUGUUAGUAGCCGAGAGACUUGGAUUGGAAAUGUUAACUUGUUUCUGGAAUUUUUCUUAGAGUACAAUGGUUUCGAAAUGUAUGAAAAAUAUGUAUUUUAAGCUGUGUAAGUUGUUUAGCUAUGAAACCUUUGAUAUUUUGGAAGAUUUGAUAAAAAAUGUUGAAGGGUAGACCUGGAAAAUUUUCAAGUGAGUUGAUAGAGGAAGUAAAGGAAUUUUUCAGAUUUCUUUUGGCGAAUUUUAGUUCUAAAAAUGCUGUUUUGAGCUGUAAAAUAUUUCAUGCUUAUUGACCUCACUCUAGAGUAUAUUAAGAGGGCCGUGCAUGUGAAUUUUUGGGGUGACCAUUUGAUUUUUAUCAUGGCUACAAGAAUGAGAUUUUGGUUGAAAUCUUGGACAAAAUAGGGUUGCAAAAUCUUGCCUUACGUUCAUACACCUGUUAGUGAUUCCAAACGUUCGAAAUUUUGGCUUUGUUGCAAUAAGAAAUAAUUGUUGGGUGCUAAGGGCUAAUGAUUGAUGAAACCCUUGGCCAUUUGAAUGAUUUUAUAUAAGUGUUAAAGUUUGAAGAAAUUAAAUUGCUGGAAUUGCUUGGAGGCCUUAUGUUUAUUUUGAUUAAGUUGAGAUAGGAUAUGAGCUUGCCAAAACCAAGAGCUAAUGAUUGACGAAACCUUGGUCACUUGUUUCAUUUUUCUAUCAGAAAUGAACCUGUUGAAAACUAGGGCGAAUGAUUGACAAAGCCCUAGUGAUUUGCUAAAUGAAAUGUGAUUUGGCCAUGUUGACAAAUUUGAGCCGUAAUGUGAUUUCGAAAUGAAAUCGAAAUUGUGAAAGUCGUUUCGACCCUGUGAACUCGAGCAAUUCUGAGCAAACGAAUCAAAAAUAUUUUUCGCUAGUAUUAGACGAUGAAAUUCAGUAUUUAGUAUUUUGCCCUAAAUUUUGCUAACUCGACAAUUUUUUUGUAGCUUGAACUAGCCUUAAUAGUUAUAGAAAAUAAUUUUUAUAGCUUUUAAAACCCUAAGUCUUGUUCUAAUUCCUUUUCUUUCUUUAAGAUUUGCCUUUGGCUAGUUGUCUAUAGGAAAAGUUCCAAAAUAAGAAUUUUAAUAACCUUAAGUUAAAAACUUAGAAACUUGCUCGGCAAGAAACUUUAGUUUUGGUAAAAUAGUUUUAGUGACAAUUUUUGCAAGAACCGUAACUUUAAAGAAAUUUUUCAAAGUAUCUUUCCAGCUUUGAUAUUAAGUGGUUUAUCGACUUAUUUCAAGAAAAUAAUACUAGUUACCUUUUUUAUAAGGAAAAGUAUCUCAAGGAAAAACUAUAAAAAACAUUUUUACUACUUUUGUCAAGUUUCAACCCAAGUGGAUUUUUAAAAUUUCUCUGAGAAGGUAAACUAGUAAUAUAUUAGAUAAUCCUCUAUAUGUAUAAGCUUAAAAACUGAAUAGAAGACUUAUAGUUUUAAAACUUGGUUUUCUAGGGUACAGCGAGGACGUGGAACUUUAAUUUCCCAGCUUGAUCAGUAACUUCACUCUCGGUGAGUGUCCCUGCUUGUUCCAUGUCUACGUGAUUAAAGUGCUUUGUUGACUUGAUAUAUGAUAAUUGUGAAAUGGUUUUGAUCCAUCGAAGUGAGCAGUGUGUACUUUAUCACACUAGCCUUUCGAGUGGUGACUUGCGUGAAAUAUUUUAGUGAAUCCAAGUGUUGUGACGUCGCUGGGUGAAUCCCUCGACCAAUUUCUGAGGGUAUACGCAAGUAUACUGCUCCCAAUUUCUGAAGGUAUACGCAUGUAUACUGCUCCCAAUUCCUGAGGGUAUAUCUCGAGUAUACUGCUUCCUUAGUUGGUGUUCGGGCCCGGGACAGGGGUAUGAAUGGUGACGGGUUAGGAAACAAAAUGAGAUACUCUACAUGGAUCAUAAGUAGUGAGAGUUGACGGAGGGUCAACUACGAUGGUGUUUGGUCAAGCGAGGAAUCGGCUCCUGAGAGCCCCUGUAUCCUACCUUGUACUGUUAUACGCUUUUCUAAUUGUUGAAUUUAAUACUUGUUACUUGCCUUAUGUGAUUGCAUGUUUUGGGGCACCACUGAGUUUUAGCUCACCCCACAUUUAUUUGUUUUCCUUGACAGGUUUUGACGUUUGAGAAAUUUGAGCCUACUUAUAUUUGCUUAUGAAUGUAUUUGAACCUUGUGACUUGGAUUUGCAGUUCGUAAUGUAAUUCGAAUAAAACAAUGUACUUUUGUCUUGGGUUGCCACUUGAAGCUGGAAAAGUGUAAAACCCAGAUUGGUUAUGUGGCUUGUGUAAAUUUGUUACUUAGCUUGUAAUUCUGAUAUUUGGCUUGUAUGAAUUUGUGAGAUGGGAUUGUUUGACUUUAUUCCGUGGUUUGUAACGCGUAAGGUAUUUAAGAGUCGACAAUUGGUUUUUUUUAAAGAUGCUGUUAUCUCUGAAGUUAAUGGGGUUUUAGUCAUCAGCCUAUUUGGAAGGAAACAGUGUUGUAAUAGUUUAGGUUAUUCUUCGGAAUGAUUUGGAUAGAUUGCUUGCGUGAGUCCUGGCGAGAGUUAGGCAGACGGCCCGCCAACCCUUUGGUUCGCCUUAGGGGAAAGUGGGGUCGCCACAAAGGCAUCGCUGCAGGAAGCUCAGCACAUAAAGACAGUCCUUGACCUUUACAAAGCAGCUUCAGGUCAGGAGGUUAACUUUGAUAAAUCAGCAGUGGUCUUCAGCAAAAACACAGACCCCACAGUUCGUCGAAGUAUCACACAGCUUCUUAACAUCAAGGAAGUUCCCACUCACGACAAAUAUCUUGCCUUCCUACUGUUGUUGGUUGUUCCAAGUCUGAAGUUUUUUCAUCUGUAAAGGAGAGAAUCUGGCAGAGGAUACAUGGAUGGAAUGAACAGCGCCUCUCAACGGCAGGUAAGGAAAUCAUGAUCAAGGCUGUUGUCCAGGCCAUUCCAACAUACUCAAUGUCCUGUUUCAAGUACCCGGACUCCUUGCUUUCCGAUAUUCAAUCUAUGAUUAGUAACUUUUGGUGGGGUGAUGGCACAAAACAGAGACCAAUCCACUGGGUGAGUUGGAAUAGAAUGUGCUCGUCCAAAAAUGAUGGGGGCAUGGGCUUUAGACAACUUAAGGCUUUCAAUUUAGCUUUAUUGGCUAAACAGGCAUGGCGCAUUGCAACUCAGCCAUCUACUCUGCUUCAUCAGGUUUUUAAGGCUAAAUAUUUUCCAACGAAGGACUUUUUUCAUGACGAGCCUACUUCCAGGCCUUCUUUUACUUGGAGGGGAUUGUGCGUUGUUCGAAGAUAUUUACUCUCUGGUAGCAGAUGGCGAGUUGGAAAUGGGAACCAUGUCAGAAUCUGGAAGGAUAGGUGGAUUCCACGCCCUUCUACUUUCAAAAUUAUAUCCCGUUAUGAUGUGCUGCUGGAUGAUUCCACUGUGGAUUGUUUAAUUGACGGAAAUAGCAGGAAAUGGAAAGUUGAGUUGCUUCAGGAGCUUUUUUGGCAUGAUGAGAUUGAGUUGAUUAUGGGUAUUCCAUUGGGUGAUAGUCACAAUCACGAUAAGCUCAUCUGGCACUACUCUAAAAAUGGCUCAUUCACAGUGAAAAGUGCCUACCACCUUAUCAAAACACAAUCUACAGGCUGGCAAGAUGUAGCUUCAGGGAGUAAUGGUUCGGUGCAGGAUAUUUGGCCUCGCCUGUGGAAGCUCAACAUACCAAACAAAGUUAAGAUAUUCUUGUGGCGUAUCUGCAAGGGUAUUCUCCCUACAUCUUCCACGCUGAAUAGCCGUGGAGUCCACCUUGACCCUAUGUGUCUUUUAUGUAAGACCCCUGUUGAAGAUGUAACUCACCUCUUCUUGUGCUGUCCGGUAGCAGUUCAGGCUUGGGCCCUCAGCUUUCUUACACUAAAGAUAAGGUUAGACUCCGCCAAGCAGGUCUCUUCUUGGUUGCCUGGCCUUCUGAAUCUCUUGAAGAAGCAGGACAUGGAAUUGGUAGCCAUAAUUCUUUGGAAUCUAUGGCUUAACCGAAAUGGUGCUUUAUUCGAUGGUUCAUAUCGGGACCCGCUCAGUCUAGUCUCUCUCUCUAUCAAUUUCUUACAGAAGUACCGGGAAGCCAACACAUCUCCAAAUACUCCAAUCCGCACUUCCAUUGCUCCACUCCACUGGACAAAGCCCCCUGUGGGCUUCCUAAAGGCGAACUUCGAUGGCGCAGUUUUCUCCGAAUAUGGCUACUCUGGUGUUGGAGUUGUUGUGAGGGACGAGCGGGGCAAUUUUGUUACAGGAACUUCUCACAAAAUCUCUGGUAUCUUUUCCCCUGAGGUCAUCGAAGCCUAUGCUGCGAGAACUGCAAUUUCCUUGCUGCUUCAAUGGAAAGUGCCCAACAUUAUUUUGGAGGGAGACUCUUUGAAGAUCGUCAACAUGCUUAAGCUUAUGGAGUCUGAUGACUCCGCUUAUGGGGUGCUGUUAGAUGAUAUCUUUGUUAGGUUACAGAACUUCGCCGCUUGGGAGGCUAAUUGGGUCCCUAGGAAGGCCAAUGUGCCAGCACAUUUAUUAGCUAGAAAUGCUCGCUCUAUUUCAGAUAUCUGUAGUUGGAGUUAUUCUCCACCACCUUUUCUUCCCUCCGCAAUUUCGGCGGACCUAUCCUCACCUUAAUGAAAUUUUCUAGUUUGCUAUCAAAAAAGAUCUGAAAUUUUUUUCAAAAUUUGAAUCUAUUUUAACAUAUCUCAUUAUCAUUAUUGAAACUUAAAACCAUUUAUUGACAAAUCUGGCAAUUGCCAUAUGCACAAAAGGGAGACACUUUAAAAUUCUUUAUAUUUUAUUAGAUGUGUUUGUAAUUUUCAAAUCUAUUGUAUUAGUUAAAUUAUAAUCUGUAAUUUUUAAUGCAGGCUUGACCUGCCAUUAGGGGAGUUAUGUAAAUCAAAUCAUGUUGGACGAUUUUCAAAAAACAAAAAAAAAAACUUAACCGUCAAUUACUCUUCCCCGUUUUAUUUGUCCACUUUUCAAUUGUCAAUAACUCUUUUAAAAUAUUUUGCAAUACAAAAAUCAACUGAAACCAGUAGACAUUGUAAUUAAUAGCAGUAUUCAAUUCAUGUUUUUGUAUGUUACUCGUACAUCUAAUUAGUCCAAUUUGGAGGAAAAAAAAGAUGAAAACAAAAACAUAUAAUAGUCACAAAAAACACAGAUCUAGCUCAAAAUAUGGCAGUGACCAAUUGUUCUGCAAAAUUAGUGGGAUAAGCAGUUGACAGAUUCUAUAAUCCCUUUUGGUCAAAUAUUAUUUUUAAUAUUUAGGUCGUUACAAUUUCAAUCAUUUAAAUUACCCGUUACUAUCAUCAGUGGAAGAAGCACAUUGAAGGAAUGAUACUUUAAGAUGACUACAGAAUUUUUCUAGUUGGUCAUACAACAUAUUAAUAUUUGAAAAAAAAUUCUAAUCACACAAUUGUAUUUGAUCUCAACCAACCGCCACUACUUUAAAUUAAUUUGGAUCGUAAGUAAUGUCAUUACUUUAUGUGAAUAUCAAAUAUGAAAAGUGCAUUAUAUAUAUGAGGAAAGAAAAUAAAAUGUACUAGUUUUCAAUUUCUUUAUGUAGAAUAUUUUCUUGAAUAUUAAUUUUUGAUAUAUCUUAGUCAAGGUCAUUAAUCAACCCGGACCUAAUCAACUCCAAACCCAGGGCAAAUUUCUUUAAAAUAUUGCCAAAAAGAACUUCGAAAAAUAUUGUUGAAAAGUUGAGUAUUUUUCUAUCCAGGCUCGUUGUAUCUCUGACAUGCGGUGGACUAGUUCACUAGUUCCAUUUUCUUUGUAUAAAAGGAGUCUGUUUGCCAGACACAUGGUGAGCCACAUUUAAAAAUUGGUUUCUAUCAUAAAGCCUAUCAUGUCCGGACAGAAGAUGGACUGUUUUUUAAAUUUUUUUUUGAAAGCAAGUGAAAAGCGUUGCAACUCAGGAUUUGGAUAGUAAUUUUAAAAUUUAAUGGUGCACCUACCUUUUAACAUUUCGUGUGCUUUUAAGGUAUCAAAUGGGAAAAAAAACCAACACCAUAUAACUUCAAAUGCAAGAUGGUACGAAAUUUGUCAAUAUGUAGAUGUUAAUAUACAUUGACAUGUAAAAAGUGCACCAUUCAUCACAAAGAUAUUUAUCCUAAUAUUAGAUUCAUUUUUUCAAAAAUUCAACUUUUCAUGCAAACAUGUAAUCAAUAUGCAUAAAUAGAUAACAUUAGAUGAAUUUAAACAAGUAGCCUUAAAAUUUAAAAAUAUUUGAUUUCGUAAAUGUGCAUUCGCAAUUUAGAAAAAGUACUUUUCAAAUGGCAACUCUAGAGAACAAGAAAUACUCCUACUUUAUUUUGAUUUCAAAUCUUCUUUUGACUUGUCAAAAAAGUGAAAACACGAAACCAAUAAUGGGUCAGAUAGAGAGAAGUAUUAGAAAGAGAAAUUUGUCAAAUUGGUCCCUAAUAUUUACACAAAUCAGCCAGAAUAGUUAUUAACAUAUAAAUUAUGAUUCAUUUUGGUCCUAAUGCUCGUAUUUGCUCAUUUCUUUGACUAAAAAUAGCACGCCUCUCUCACGUGGGCAUAUUUUCAAGGGCAAAAUUGAAAAACACAAGCUUUUCUCCCCUUUUCAAGGAUAACAUUUUAGCAUAUUUUUCUUUCCAUGUUCUGAAAUUAGGGCUUUUCUCCCCUUUUGCUUCUGGUCAUGGACUCUUUGCUAUCGAGCUACAUCUCUUCCGAUGAAGAACAAGAAGAUAAACCACAGCUCUCAAAUCCCAGUUCCGCUGGAUUCCUCUUCUCACUGCCACCCCCAAAAUCUUCAUCAUCAUCUUCUUCCUCAUCCAUCUUCUUUCCAUUUCCCCCAACCCAAUCCCACCCCCCAAAGCCCCCCGUCUCAUCGUCUUCCUCAACCCUGAAUCCACAUAAAUCUAAUGAACUUCAAGAAGAGAGGGAUGGGCAGCAAUUGCUAAAAAAUCGGGAAAGUUCGAGAUUUUUUAUAUCGCUUCCAAAACCAUUGUCAUCUUUGUUCGCUUUGUUUCCUCAACCCAAAUCAUCUUCCACGUCAUCUCUUUUCUCUUCUCUUCCGCAGCCCACCAAAACCCACAAUCUUGAUGCCCGGGUUUCGCCUCCUGUGCAAUUUGCUAGAAAGAAGGUGGUGGUGAUUCCUUGGCAGUCGGAUCACACAACUUUAAUGGAAAGGUGAUGGAAUCAAGCUCGCCGGGUUUAUUGGUGGUGGUUCCUUGGGGGAUCAACAGCAGCAGCCACACCGCUAAAGGGAUCAAGCCUCAAAUUGACGCGGGUGCUUUUCAGUUUGGGGAGAAUAUACUGAAGUAGCAGCAGUAGAAGCUUCAAUUCCACGUUUACACUGAAAACAAUAGUGUUUUCUAGUUUUGUCCUUGAAAAUAUGCCCACAUGAGAGAGACGUGCUAUUUUUAGUCGGAGAAAUGAGCAAAUACGAGCAUUAGGAUAAAAAUGGAUCAGAAUUUAUAUGUUAAGAACUAUUUUGGCUGAUUUUAAAUGUUAGAGACUAAAAAAGUUUUUUGUGUAAAUGUUAGGGACUAAUUUGACAAAUUUUUCUAUUAGAAAUUUGUUUUCUAGAUUCUUUGGUUUCCCAAUUUUUUCAACGGGUCAACUCGACCAUUAUCACAUGCAUGUGAUUGUAGGUCUACCACGCUUCAUAGUCCAUAACGUGGCACCACAAAAGAUGGUGUCAAAACACUUUUCUAGUUUAGUAAGAUCUGUGUAUGUAUUAGUUCCUAACACAAGUCUCUUUAGAUUUUCUCUCCUUUGUAAUUUAGAAUAAAAUAGGUUAUACAAUUGUUAUCGUCUUCAGAAAAAAAAAGAAUAAGUCCCAUCCUAUUAUUAUUAUUUUUCUUUUAUCAAUCAACAACGCCUAUUCUACACCUAUUUGACUUCUAUUCUAGGGGAAAGGGAGGUCCAAUUGGAAAAUUAAUGGUGAUUGAACCACAAUUAGACCAAAAACUUUCUAGAUAAAAUUUGAUCUAAAAAAUAAAUAAUAAUAUAUUAACUUAUUAUUUAAUAUGAUAUAUAUUCAAAUAGAUUAAAUUUAAUAAUUUUAAAUUUUAAAUUUUACAUUUUAAAUUUUAAUUUUCAAACUUCAAUGUUGCCAUACUUACAACAACAACCUCUAGAUGGUCAACACUUAGAGUCGUAGCCCUUGCUUUUGGCAUUCCCCGGUCCAUAUGCUAUGUUGUUCUCAAUGAGGAAGCAAAUGUCCGCUAUUAAUUACACGAGCCAUCAGUCAAAUCAGUCAAAAGAUGUUAUUGAUUGAACCAAGUGGGCAAAUUGAAUGAACCACCAGCUCCACUAAGCCCUUAAGGCUGUGUUUUCAAACUCGGACCGGACCGGCCGAUCUGAUCGGUUGAACCGGGAACCGGUCGAGUGUCCGGUCCGAGUUGAUCAUCAAAACCGGGAGAUUCAAAACCCGGUCAAUUCCGGUCAAAACCCGGGUUUGACCGGUACAGAACCGGAAAAAUCGGUCCAACAGGAGAUUUUGUAAAAAAAGUUCAAACUUUUUUAAUAUUAUGUUUUGGCCCCCUAAAUUGUGAAAACUUAUUAAUAUAUCUCAAAUAUUUCAUACUUUAUAAAUAUUGUCCUAAAAUUUGAUGUUAUUUUUCAAUUAAAUCCAUAAUUUUAAUUCUAAACUUGUUAAUGUUUAUUAAAUAAUAUAAAUUGUUACUUGAUUGUUCUAUUUCAAGUAUAUAUGAAUAUACCUUUAUUAAUAUCAAUAUGUUAUUGGAUAUUUUAUAUACAAUAAUUUAAUUUUUAAAUAAUUUUUAUUUAUGACGUCAUCCGGUUCGACCCCUAUCGACCCCCGAUCUAACCCAUUGACCCCUGACCCCUGACCUCGGCCGAGUCGAUAUCCGGUCCGGUUCUGAAAACAUAGCCUUAAGGCUUUGGUAAACUUGUCUCCCAUCAAAAUAUCAUUCUUGUGGCUCUUCUUAAAAUUCAGAAGGGUGUAUUGUGCACCUGUCUGAUCCAGUGGUGAUUCUGUUCUCAUCGAUCUUUCGUAGGUUCAGUUGAGCCUUCCUGUAAUUAGAGUAGAUGUAGGAGUAGGGAUGACAAUUGAAAAAAAAAAAAAAGUGGGCAAAUUGAGUGAGGAUGAGUAAUUGACCUGUAAGUCUUGGCAGACUUGGAGGAAUCAAUCAACAUUCUCUGACUUGAAUGAGGUAAGCACAAAGGUGAGCAUUUUCCAUUUUUAUUUUGGUUUUCAUUUCUUGUAUACUCUAAAACUUUUUUCAUUCUACCCCACGCACAUAUAAUAUAUAAUGAAAUGUAAAUUUUUUUAUGAAAACAUAUAAAAUAUAUAAAAUGUAAAAUAAAUUUUUUAUAAAAACAUAUGUUUAUAUUUAUCUUUGUAUAAUGAAAAUAUAUAAUUCAUUCUACCAAUAUAUACGCAUAUAUAUAUAUAUAUAUAUAUAUAUAUGUAUAAUGAAAAAUUAAAUUUCUCCUUCAUCUUCAGGGCUGCACCUACAAACAACAAAACUCCGCUCCACUCAACUCUUUCCUUCGUGUUUUGUGUUUUUUUAUAAAAAACAUAUAUAUAUAUAUAUAUAUAUAUAUAUAUAUCUUUUAAAUUUCACUAAUUAUUUUAGCUCUUAAUGUUUUUUAUUUUUUUUACUAAUAUUACCUCAUGAGAGGUAAAAAGGGUAUAAAUGGAACAACAUUAUUAUCUCACUUUCCAAAAGACUUUUUUAAUGGUACUUUUUCUAACAUGGGUUGAAGCUAUUAUCAAAAUCUAGUUUAGGAAAAAUUAGUGCUAUUUUUCAAAUUUUAGGAAAGGUGAGUACAACUGUUAGAAAUCUCAGGGACGAUUUUUGCAAUUAUCCCUAAAAGCAUAGACCAAGACUACACUAAUCUCUAAAAAUUUGACACCUAUUUCUUAUAACUAUACUAGAUAAUUUCAUAAUUGUAUAGAAAAAUAAAUCAAAAUUUAUUAUACAAAGGUAUUUUUGGAUAUUUAUUUAAAAAUUUGAUCAAAUUAAUAUUAUUUUAAAGCUUUAUUACAAAAACUAUCAAAUCAAAGGAAGUAAGCGUAAUAUUUCAAACCUUACAGUAAAAUUGUUAGAAACCUCAUAGAGGUUCCUGAAAUUAUCCCUAAUAUUUUUUUUUGUACAAAAAACUCCAAAAAAUUGGCAGCUCAAACGGGGCCAACAAUCUACUAUGUUUGCCUGUUCUCCCGCCGGACCCACCAGCCGCCGGCGGCCAUGGGUCAUCUAUAAAAGCAUAGAUCAAGACUACACUAAUCCCUCAUCUGUCCAGUCCAUCCAUAAUUGCAGAAACUGGUAGGUUUUGUAUUUAACAAAAAUAUGAGACUUUGUAGAUUUUGAAGUUUAAGGAAUGGAUAUUUGAAGUUUAACGAUCGUUAUACAACUUUCAAAACAAAUAAAUUCAUUUUAUUUUUUUUUUGGAUAAUUUCAUAAAUCAAAUCGUGGUCACUUUCGCAAAAGUCAUAUUUUCCCAUAAAAGACCAGUUCUUUAUGACUUUCCUCCAUUAUAAGAACAGAGUACCCAUUUUUCCAUAAACAAAUUUAUUUAUCGAAUAAAAUAAAAAUAAAUCCGUUUUUCAAUAAAACACCAGUUCUUUAUGGUUUUCUUCCAUUAUAAGAAUAGAGUAACCAUUUUCCCAUAAACAAAUUUAUUUAUCGGAUAAAAUAAAAAUAAACCCGUUCUCCAAUAAAACAUGAGCUCUUUAUGACUUUAGAAUGAAGGGUUACUCCCUCUUGUUUGAUAUAUCUGAACCUCUUGUUUAAUUUAAAAAUCACCACCAUCAUUCUUGUUUGAUAUAUCUGAACCUUUCACAUUUUUACCAGUUUUUUUGCCCUUUUAUUUUUCUCUCUGUCAAUUUCCUAAAGAUUGAUGAAAUCUUUGCAGGUCCGAAUAAACCAAAGAACGAAAAUCCAAUCAAAAAGUUCGAAAUUUAAAGUUUAAAGGAAUGGCAACCUCAGAAGUCGUUCUCCGGUGCCUCCCUAGUCCCUCACGUCGCAGUAGUCACCAAGUCUUCAGCAGUCAACAUCCAAAGCUUAUAAAGUAGCACAAAUACUAUUGUAUAUAAGAACUUAAAUUUUGCAUCCGCGAGGGCGGCAGAAGUCAAUACUCCAGGAGGGACUAGGGGCAGAGGGCGGCCGCCGCCGAGGGAAGUGGGAGCUGGCUAUAGAAGGUCAUCGGGCGGUGGACUAUGAGGAGAGCAAAGGAAUAUCAAUUGAGAGUGCAGCGUGUGAUGGAGAGAAAGAGAGGGUAUGUCCGUCGUAAAUGUUGUCUGAGGGAAUAAGUUGAGGGUUUUGUCCAAAACUUCCCAAUUUGCUCGAGAAUGGGAUAAGUCAGAUUUUUUAGAAAUGAUUCCAAAAAUUACAUUCCAAUAGGCUUAAUCCAAGCAACAAAUAAGGGGUUUAUUCCAUUCUGUGAUUCCCAAACCCUUUAACCCAAUAGCCCCUUAAUAUUUUUUUACUAAUAUUACCUCAUGAGAGGUAAAAAUGAUAUAAAUGGAACAAAAUUAUUAUCUCACUUUCCAAAAGACUUUUUUAAUGGUAUUUUUUCUAACAUGGGUUGAAGUUACUAUCAAAAUCUAGUUUAGGAAAAGUUAGUGCUAUUUUUCAAAUUUUAGGAGAGGUGAGUACAACGGUUAGAAAUCUCAGGGACGAUAUUUGCAAUUAUCCCUAAAAGCAUAGACCAAGACGACACUAAUCCCUAAAAAUUUGACACCUAUUUCUUAUAACUAUACUAGAAAAUUUCAUAAUUGUAUAGAAAAAUAAAUCAAAAUUCAUUAUCCAAAGAUAUUUUUAGAUAUUUAUUUAAAAUUGAUCAAAUUAAUUAUUUUAAAUUUUUAUUACAAAAUCUAUCAAAUCAAAGGAGGUAGGCGUAAUAUUUCAAACCUUACAAUAAAAUUGUUAGAAACCUCAGAGAGGUUCCUGAAAUUAUCCCUAAUUUUUUUUUGGUACAAAACCCUCCAAAAAAGUGGCAGUUCAAACGGGGCCAACAUUCUCCUAUCUUCACAAGUCCUCCCGCUGACCCACCAGCCGCCGGCGGCCCUGGGUCAUCUAUAAAAGCAUAGACCACGACUACAGAAAUCGUCCAGUCCAUCCAUACUUCUUCUUCAGGCCUCAGCUACUAAACAAUAAACUCUGCUCCACUCAACUUGUGCUCAAAAUAUGACAGUGACCAAUUGUUCUACAAAAUUAGUAGGAUAAGCAGUUGACAGAUUCUAUAAUCCCUUUUGGUCAAAUAUUAUUUAAAUUCAUACUUUAAUCUUAAAUUUAUAGUUGGAUGGUCCAGGAUGUGGUAAAAUUUUUCAUUCAAACUAACGAUAGUGCGAAAAAAAAGACUAAUUAAUAAAAAUACGAUCUCGAAAAAUUUUUAAUUCACAUUCACAAUAUGUGAAUUCAUGAUAAAUACAAAAAAGUAUGGUACUUUGAUAAUACAAUGAAGGAAAGCCAUAAAGAGCAUGCCAUUUACGAGAAAAGUUUUCAUUAAUAAAAAUACCAACUCUUCACGGCUUUUUUAACGGUCCUUCAACGUAUGAGCAAAGUGCCAAUAAUUAAAUUAGUAAUUUUUUCGAUUUAUACAUAAUUAAUUUUUUUUUGCAUUUCCACAAAAAACAAAUGAAAAUUUUUUAUCAGAAAGCACAAAAGUCAAAAUGAUUGGUUUAAAAGGGAAAGGAAUAGCAUAUAUGUACAGUACUUGUAUUUCACGUUCGAAAUACUACAGUGCUGUUUGAAAAACACCCCCAACAAUAUCUAAUCCAAACGGAACCAAUCUUCAGUAUUUAAAAUACCAAAUUUGUGAAUGUGUUUUAACUGUUAUUCAUUGGUAUCCUAAAAUGUCAUUUUCCCAUCAAAUACCAGCUCUUUAACACCCAUUUUCCCAUAAAUAAAUUUAUUUAUCGGAUAAAAUAAAAAUAAAUAGCUAUUUCCAAUAAAUAGCUGGUGUUUUAUUGGAAAACCUGUUUUCCAAUAAAUAGCUAUUUCCAAUAAAUGGUUGGUGUUUUAUUGGAAAACGGAUUUAUUUUUAUUUUAUCCGAUAAAUAAAUUUGUUUAUAGAAAAAUAUGUCCUCUGUUAUAAUGGGAAACAAAGUACCUAUUUUAAACAUUUCCCAUUGAAUUUGUUUUGGAUAUUUAUUUAAAAAUUUGAUCAAAUUAAUAUUAUUUUAAAACUUUAUUACAAAAACUAUCAAAUCAAAGGAAGCAAGCGUACAGUAAAAUUGUUAGAAACCUCAUAGAGGUUCCUGAAAUUAUCCCUAACUUUUUUUUUGUACUAUAAAAGCUCCAAAAAAGUGGCAGCUCAAACGGGACCAACAAUCUACUAUGUUCGCCUGUUCUCCCGCCGGACCCACCAGCCGCCGGCGGCCAUGGGUCAUCUAUAAAAGCAUAGAUCAAGACUACACUAAUCCCUCAUCAGUCCAGUCCAUCCAUAAUUCUCCUAUCUUCACAAGUCCUCCCGAUGACCCACCAGCCGGCGGCGGCCCUGGGUUAUCUAUAAAAGCAUAGACCAAGACUACAGAAAUCGCUCAGUCCAGUCCAUCCAUACUUCCUCUUCAGGCCUCAGCUACUAAACAAUCAACUCUGCUCCACUCAACUCUUUCCUCUGUGUCUUGUGCUCUUGUCCGAAAAUGGCGGCGUCAGAAGAAGUGAAAGUGCCAAGAAUCAAGCUGGGCUCGCAAGGUCUUGAAGUUUCAGCUCAAGGGCUGGGCUGCAUGGGCAUGUCAGAAGCCUACGGGCCGCCGAAGCCCGAGCCUGAUAUGAUCAAACUCAUCCACCAUGCUAUUUGCAGAGGUAUCACCCAUCUUGACACCGCCGAUAUGUAUGGACCUCACACCAACGAAAUACUCAUUGGCAAGGUACCGUAUUUACAAAUUUUCUGCUGUUGUGUGCUGUGCAUAAAAUCUUGUACUUUUAAUUUCUAAAAGAGCAUAUUUGUAAUAUUUUAUUUGGGUAUAUUAUACUUGACCCCCUGCACUUCAAAACUUGUCUCCCUUUGUGCCCCCUUAAUUUUGUUUGUGAGCACUUGAACUCCAUUUGUUUAAAUUGUAAGUAUUAUUAGUCAAAUAGGACAUUGUUCUUCUUUUCUUUUGCUUCAUUUUUUCAUGUUACUGCCUUUUCAGUUUGUCCUCCUUUAUAGACAUGGGAUGAAUUACUUUGAUUUUGAUUUUGGCGCAAUUUUGUAUAAAAUGAUUUUUGCUAUGAAGUUAUUGAUUUAUUAUGAGCUAUGCGUUGUAUAUUUACACAAAUUCUGCUAGCUAAACAUUUACUUGAGCAAGCCUUCCAUACAUGAGCAAUAUAAUACUCUAUGGGUGCAUUUCGUAAAAUUGAAGUUUGAAAAUUAAAAUCUAAUUUAAAGUCUAAAUUCAUAAAGUUAUUAAAUUGUUAAGUACUAAAUUUGAUAUGUUUGAGUGCAUGUCACAUCAAACGAUCAGUGAAUAAUUGAUCAUUUAUUUUUUAGAGCAAGUUUUGUUUAAGAAAUUCAAUGCUAUUUAAUUAAUUCAGAUAUUCAUUUUUUGGUUAUCAAACAUGUUUGAAUAUGAUAAGAUUUGAACCUAUUAAUUUUAAGUGUUGAAUUGGAUUAUCAAAUAGGACCUAUAAUUAUUAGGUAACCAAGCAGACAACAUGUUUAGUGUAUAAUAGUAAUUAACGUUCAAUUUGUCUCGUUAUUCUUUGGUAAAGAACUCUUUGAAUAUUAAUAAUAAUUUUCUCAUCCACGGGAAUCAAAAUAAUUGAAGUUUUAUCUCUACCAUUGAGAUAUGUUACCUUCUAAAAGAAAGGAAAGGGAAGGAAACAUGGGGGAAAAAUAGGGAAAGGGCAAAGUGAUGAUAAAUAAAAUUGGAAGUAGCAAAAUGAGACAAGUGAAUUAUUGCAAGGGGUUAAGUGUAAAUUAUGUUUAUUUUAUUAGACUAUUUAACCAGAAAGACUGGACUCUUUUAAGGCACCAAUCAAAGGUUCCAAUUGCUGGAAAUAACAUGAAAACCUAGACUUUGGUUUGGCGUUUUUGGAGGUGGUUCAUGAAAAUUUUAUUGUAGUUUUUUUUUUCUUCUUGAAAAAUAUAUUUGUAAGAGAAAAAAAGUGGUUGAAAAAAAAUUGAGAGUUUUUUUUAAUAAAUUGUUUUCUAAAUAGUUCAGUCACCCAAAAUUUUCAGUAUUCCGACAAUGGCAUCCAUGUGGUGUCAAUUGUCAAACGUGCAACAAAGUUGAGAAGAGAAGGUCGCAGGUCUAGCGCAUACUUUGAAUAGCUACCAUCUCUUUAUUUUCUUUUUUUUUUUCCGUCAAAAUUCUACAUCAUAAUGGAGUUGGUAAAAUAGUACUAUUUUCGUCUUUGAUGUUAAAAUUUUCAUCAUUUUAUGGAAAGUUUACUAUUUCUCUGAUAAGAGAUAGUAAAAUUUACUUUUUAUGAGCAGUAAAGUUUUAAAGAUUAUGAAAAGAGAAAUGUAUGAAGGAAUAGAAGGGAAAGAAAGGUAAGAAAAUGGAUGGAUUGUAUUUGGAUUGAUUUUGAGAGGGGAAAGGAGAGGAAACGGAAAGAAAAGGAAAUGGAUGUAUUGUGUUUUGCUCAGACUCAUUUCCAUACAAAAGUAGACGGAAACAGAGGGAAAGAAAAUCUUGUUGAUGAUUUUCUAGUAAAAUGCCUCAAGCACCCAAAUAAAUUGUGGGAUGCAACAGCAGGCUAGGAAUGUUUGACGAAGCAACUUAUGUAAAUAUUUUAUCGUUAAGUAAAGUUCCUCUUUUGCUGUUAAAAAAAAAAAAAAAAAAGAGGAAAACUAUUCCUUUCAUGUCUGUCAUUCUACCAAACAGUAUAUUUAGGUUUUCUUUCUUUUCCAACCAUAUCUGAUCCAAAUAAGACAAAUGAGAACUAUUUUCCUCUGCUCUCCUUUCCUUUCUUUUUCACUAGGAUGUUUUAUUUAUAUAUUUAUCCUUUCCUUUGAUCCAAAUGGUUCCUAAAAGGGCCCUAAAUAAUUAUUCUACAUUGAUCAGUUCCCUAUUUUUGUACUAAUUUGCAUGUGCACGAUUCUGUGUAUGUUCAUGUUGUGCAUCAAAUCUUGUGAAUGACAAAGCUAGAGUGUAAAUUUAAGCUGAAGAAAUAUAAACCAAAAAAAAAAGAAAAUGGAUUGGCUCCGUUAAAGAAAAUGGAUUACAUACUUUUCAUAUCCUUUGCCAUACAAAGAAGUGGCAUAGCCUUAACAAUGAAGUGUUGGUAAAACUCCAGAAGGACUGUGCCAUCCAUGAAAUCACAAAUCCACUUGUUAUACCAUGCAAUAAUGUGUAUGUCCUUGAUGAUUAAUAUAAUGAAACCAUGGUUCUAGGCCUUGAAGGAAGGAAUAAGAGCGAAAGUGGAGCUAGCAACCAAAUUUGCAAUCAGUUUUCAGGAUGGGAAGUGAGGAGGUGAUUUUCGGUUGGUAACUAGACCGACCUGGAUCAGUCCUCUCUGAGAUGAAGUGAGGUGAACUCCUGUGUCCGAAGUGAACCUCGGUGUCCGAAGUGAGUGGCGGGGCUUCUCCCCUGGGAUCACUCCGACGAUCAAGUUAGUAUGAGAACGAGAAUAAUGAGAAUGAGUUAAUGAACAGUGUCCGCUUACUUGUUGGGAGUGUGUCUGGGGUAUUUAUAGAAGAGAGGUGGUCAAGACGGAAGGCUCAUGCUAGCGGGACCCACUCUCUGGCAUUACGGCUCUGUCUCCUGUCAGGAGGUCUGACUCUGACACUGUAGCCGCCUGGGAGUGAUGACGGAGGAUAUGGUGCAGGUGCCAUUAAGUGCCUCCAGUGCUUUUCAGAUAAAGUGCUGGUCCUGGAUGAUGUCAGGUGGGUUGACAUCAUCAGCGUGCAGCUGAGGCGGGGGUGCCGAGGUCGGCUACACAGUAUGCUAUGGAAACGGCCGAGCCCGAGCUCAGGGAUGAUGUCCGGGACACGGAUGAACUCCGAUGAGGGACGAGGUGAGUCCACCUCGGCCACUCGGGAUGGCCGAGGUGAGCAUCCUCAGGAAGUUUGAUGUACGUGGUGAUCCAGCCUAUGUGAGGGCUUGUUGUGAAGCAAGUUUGAAGCGGCUUGAUGUGGACUGCAUUGAUCUCUAUUAUCAACAUCGCAUCGAUACAAGUGUGCCCAUUGAAGUCACGGUUUGCUCCAUCUUGCCUUUCUUUUAUUUUAGCUCCACCUCAUUCUUGAUGAAACAAAAGUUUGAUCAACUCCAAAUUUAGAAUAAUUCAGUUUCAUGUCCGUUUCAAUUCUUCAAAAAUUGCACAGAAAAGUUAGUCAACCUUAUGGUCUCGGCUAAUCAGUAGUAUGGUAUAGCUGAUUUUGCACAAGGCAUCCUGAAAAGUGAAAACAAUGAAAAUGUCUUGUAUUAGCUUGACAGUCCUGCUGAGGGAUAUACAGAUGGAUAUCAUGCUAUACAUUGUACAGCUUUCCUUUAGAACCAAGAGACCUGAGCAUUCUCUUUCAUUUGAGAUAGGCUAUUUACUUACAUUGUCAUUCGUUUUCAGUCGGUGCCAAAAGCACUGCAGAUAGACAUUUAUUAUUGAUAUCUAAAAAACAUGGUACUCAUUUUGUUCAGAGCACAGCUUUUUGUCUAAUUGUGAAAGCCAGCUGCAACUGCCCCAUUGACCUCUCCAAGCAAUUCAAAGAUUUCAGCAGCUUGCUUACAUUAAGCUUUUAUGAAACGAUUUCUCUGUCUUCUUUUUCUCAUGUAAUCAGCAAAGAAUUGUCUUGUUUUCCCUGAGUAUUAGGUAGAAACUUUCUUGCAGUUUAAUCACUCAAAAUACAGGCAAGUAUAACGGAAAUCAAGCAAAAUUGGCAACUGAUAAUUGAUAUGUACAGCCAUCAUUAUAUAUAGAAGUCAACAAUGCCAUGUAAUCAUAUUGGAGGAGCAUUAUGUUGGCAUGGUCCAGUAGAACUAAGUCCUCCGGUUGGCUGUACAUAGAGAACUAUCACUGGAUGCUUAUUGCCAUUUUCAUCAAUUAGUGAUUUCAGUUUGAUGUAUACUUUGUCCACAACUUCGUUGAACUAGUGCAACUUUUACUUUUUGCACGUAAUAUUUCGAUUAUCUGCCUAAGUGUUGAAUGUAAUAAAUCAGCUUAGCAUCUUCUUGUCCAUUGAAAUUCUCUAGAUAGGAGAGCUCAAGAAACUGGUUGAAGAGGGUAAAAUAAAGUAUAUAGGUCUGUCUGAGGCCUCAGCUUCAACAAUUCGAAGAGCACAUGCUGUUCACCCAAUAACAGCUGUACAGUUGGAGUGGUCAUUGUGGACCAGAGAUGUCGAGGAAGAGAUUAUUCCCACUUGCAGGUAGUGCAUAUAUUCUGCUGAAUUUUCUAAAUGGUCUAGAAGAAAUAUGAAGUUCUCAAUUCAGUUUUUGGUAUAAUCUUUCAGAGAGCUUGGCAUAGGGAUUGUUGCAUACAGUCCACUUGGACGAGGUUUCUUCUCAUCAGGUCCAAAGCUGAUGGAGAAUUUGGCUGAAGGUGACUUUCGAAAGGUUUGUACAUAUGUUUUUGAGUAUAGAUUGUUUAUAGUUCGAAUAAGUUUCUCACUCAUCUACUUUUACCAGAUUCAGUGGCAAUCUUGCUUGAUAUCCCUAUUGUUGUCUAUCUGUUAUAUGUUGCUGCACUUUUUGAUAUCCAAUAAUUUGAUUAAGGCUUGUAAUAUGAUCACAUUUAAUAAAAUUUCUAUUAAACAUAGCAAUUCAACAGGAUUUUUUUUCCCUCUCGAACAAGUCUUGGAGUCUUUAGUUGAUUCAAUGAAUGCAUAUUUUGGUGUCCUCUGUAUUUAGUUCAAAUUAAGAGAUAUAGCACAAGCUUUGUCAAAUUUAAGAUCUUAUAUUAAUUGAAGGUUGUUAUUGCUUGCUGGAAAUUUAUAUAGUGGACAACAAUCACAAGCAAUGGGUAGUAUCAAAUUUUAAAGUGCAAAGAUGUCAAAACAUGAAAAAACUACGUCAUUUUUUAAGUGAACGUCUCUUUACAGUUUUGAGGGGAAAUGGACCUUAGACUUCAGUUUCAUCAUUUAGUCUCAGGCACAGAACUUAUGUUGUCCUGUGAAACUAUCAUUUUUCCUUUACCAUCAGUCCUAGAACUGAGUUUCAUUGGUCAGAAAUAUACUUCAUAGUAGUACCUCCUCCAUCGUUCUACAAACAAACAAAAAUUAGUUGAUUUGUAUUUAAGUUUCCUCUUUGAUGGGAAAUGUGUCUCAGAACUUAACUCCAACAGUUGAUGUUUCCUACUUGGAGUGUUCAGUCCACCUUGAUGCAUUGUUCUUUCCCCUGAACUUGUGCCCUUCAAACAGUAUUUCUGAUCAUCUUGAAGUAAUUAGUACCGUCUGUUCAUUGCUCCCUCCCGAUAUCUUGCAUUAUAGUUUCCUCCUCUUUAAUGGGAAAUGUAUCUCCGGAUCUACCUUCUACAAUUGAUGUUUCUUAGAGUACUCAGUCCACCUUACUUGAUUGUUCCUUCCCCUGAACUUUGUACACCUCAGACAAUACUAUCGAUCAUCUUGAAGUUAUUCAUAUUGUCUUCAUUUGUAGACGACACAUGCUUCACUCCCUUUUGCAUUUCUGGCGUUACAGUUGCUUGAAAUUUUGAAAUUCAUACAAUGCAGGGUUUGCCAAGGUUCAAGCAGAGAAUUUGGAGCACAACAAGAAGUUGUAUGAGCGGGCCACUGCCAUUGCUUCAAGGAAGGGUUGUACUCCAUCACAGCUAGCAUUGGCCUGGGUCCAUCACCAAGGCAAUGAUGUUUGUCCCAUACCUGGCACUACCAAGAUUGAGAACCUCAAUCAGAAUAUAGGAGCUUUGUCUGUAAAACUGUCGGCAGAAGAUAUGGCGGAACUUGAAUCUAUUGCUUCUGCAGGAGUCAAGGGUGAGAGAUACGGACCUGAAAUCAGCACAUGGCAAAAUUCUGAAACUCCACCAUUGUCAACCUGGAAGAGGACAUGAAGACAUAGCUUUGUUGUGGCAAUAAUUCCUUCUAGCUAUUUGCCUGAUGGUGGAUUUCACUAUAUUAAGAGUUGAGUGAUAUGUAUUUGUCCCUAUAAAUUUCGUCAUACUAUUGUCUCCAGGGUUAAGGCAAGUAAAGUUAUAAGAAGAAUGGAGUUUCUUCAGAAAGGUUGUAAUGAAUAAAGAUCUGGUCAUGUAAAAGCAGAACAUAAUUUUCCUUGCAGUUGAAUGCAUUAAAGGUUAUGUAUUGUACUUUUGAAUGCUAAAGUGGUCCAUUUUUUAUGUGUUACUGCUACGAGAGUUAUAGAUUGUUGGACAUCAUUUUUUGGUUGGAAUGUUUACAUCAAAGCGUCUCCAAGGACAUGUCAUUCUAAAGUUUAAACUACAUCAUACCAACAAAAUGCAGAAAAAGGUCUAAAGUAUGGGAUGUUUGUAAAUUUUCACGGGAGGCUUUGUUGGGUAAAUUGUAAAGGACUAGCAAAUAUUGUAACAAGAAUUGGCUUCAAAUCGUGAUAGAAAUCACUUUCCUUUAGGCUUUAUUUGUCCGGUAUAACGUGCAAUAACCUUAGACAAAUAUCCUUUAAGAUAAGAUGAAGUUUUGUUUGUCUUAAACUCUUGCACAAAGCAAGACAAACCCUUUGUGAACUAAGGAGUGCUUUUGAGAGAGUAAGGAUAGUAGGAAAGUGAUUUUCUGCAGCAAACUACUCUCUACUUGACCUCUUUAUAUAGGAAGAUUGUUUGGGAAACAAAAGAUCUCAUUAAACACUUGUAUGAAUAGAUUCAAAGUAUUGUGUACACAUUCAUGCACUUUAAUUCAUGCAUCUCAUGAUCAUUUAGAUCAAAACAUGAAUCUAUCCUUUCAUUCAAUAAUUCUCAUAUACAUGAAUACAUUCAUAAAUGAAUGUACUUUUAGGAACAUUCACAAUACUAUACAUGUACCAAAAAUUAAUGAAUACAUUAAUUACAUGUAUGUACAUCAUACAAAUUUUGAAAAGUUUCCAACAAUCCUCCGCCAUUUUCAAAAUUUAGAAAAUGGAUUUCUAAAAGGUCACCAAGUAAUCUGACACUCAUAUGCAUAAAUAAUGGUGUCUUUCGAUUGAACCACUAUCUUAGUGAAGGUUCUUUGAAAUCAAUCCUUCAAGAUGGUAGACAAGCUUUGAACCACUUGGACAUUGGACCAACCUCAUAAACACAUCACACACUGAGCAAUGCACAACCAUAAGUUCUUCAACGAUACAUUUUACGGCCUUGUAUCACUAUCCUUUCUUGAAUGUUUACAAAGUAAAGUCCUUAAUUUUGUGGUUUGCCAAAAAUUAACAUUCAUAUAGGCGACAUCUUAGUGCCCCCGCCAUAGAUAGCACUUUUAAGAUUCGUUAAGAGUCCAAUGACUCAUCCUUACAUUUGCACUGGCGAGAAUAACAUGCACUAUUCAACAUUGGGAUGUCUAAACUUCACAUAGUGCACCAACCACUAGAAUGGUGUACUUUCACUCAUUGAAUUCAAGACUAGACGUUGUAUUUAGCGUUGAAUUGAGGUUCCACCAUUAGCGAUAAAAAAUUUUGGACUUUAAACCAAUUCCCCUUGAUGUCUUUGACACCAAAUUUCUUGAUAAUCCUUUUAUCAAAGGAUCACUUAAAUUUUCAUUUGAUCUCACAAAGUCAAUUGAUAUGACUCCAUUUGUAAUCAAAUCUUUGACAUAACUAUGUCUCAAACCGAUAUGUCUUGAUUUACCAUUAUACACUUGACUAUAUGCUUUAGCAAGUGUAGCUGCACUAUCACAAUGGAUUGAGAUAGGCGAUAAAGGUGUUGGCCACAAUGGUAUAUCAUAAAGUAAAUUACGUAGCCAUUUAGCUUCUUUACAGGCCGAAACAAGUGCUACAAACUCUGCUGCCAUUGUUGAAUCGGUGAUACAAGUCUGUUUCUUAGAACCCCAAGAAAUUGCACCUCCACUAAGCAUAAAGAUUCAACCACUUGUCGACGAGUGAUCAUCUUUAUUGGUGAUCCAACAAGCAUCUGAAAAUCCUUUUAAAACUGAAGGAUAACCGGUAUAACAUAUACCAUAGUUCUUAGUGGCCUUUAAAUACUUUAAAAUUUUGGUUACACCUUGCCAAUGUAACCUACUAGGGUUGCUUGUAUAUCUGUUCAAUAUACCAACUGCAUAUGCAAUAUCAGGUUUAGUACAAGUCAUUGCAUACAUUAAAUACCCUAUAACCUUGGCAUAUUCCAUUUGAGAUUUUAGAUCCCCCUCAUUUUUCACAAAAUUUAUUUUAGAAUCCAAUGGUGUUGAGGCUGGAAUACAAUCACUUUGAUUGAAUUUGUUAAGAAUCUUUUCAAUAUAAUGUGUUUGAGACAACAUUAUAUUGUUAUCAUAUUUGAAGAUUCUCAUACCAAGAAUGACAUCUGCCUCACCCAUGUUUUUCAUGUCAAAUUUGAUUGAAAGCAAAGUUUUUGUGACUUCAACUUGUUCCAAGUCAGUCCCAAAAAUCAACAUGUCAUCAACAUAUAAACAAAUUAUGACACCUUUGCCAUAAUCAAACUUGCUAUAAAUACAUUUAUCAGAUUCAUUUAUUUUGAAUCCACUAGCAAGAAUAAUUUGGUCAAAUUUCCGAUGCCAUUGCUUCGGUACUUGUUUUAGUCCAUAUAAAAACUUUACAAGUUUACACACCUUAUGCUCUUGACCAAGUAUCACAAACCCUUCGGGUUGCUCCAUAUAUAUUUCUUCAUCCAAAUCACCAUUCAAGAAUGCUGUUUUAACAUCCAUUUGGUGAAUGACUAGAUUUUGGAUAGAAACUAUAGCAAGUAGCACUCUAAUUGUAGCAAUUCUAGCUACUGGUGAAUAUGUGUCAAAAUAGUCCACACCAUACUUUUGUGUAAACCUUUUGGCAACCAACAUGGCCUUGAACUUAUCAAUAGUUCCGUCGAUCUUCAUUUUCUUCUUAAAGAUCCACUUACAACCAAUUGGUUUUGAACCAGGUGGUAAAUCUACUAAUUUUCAGGUUUUAUUAUCCAUGAUUGAGUCCAUCUCAUCAUUAAUAGCUUCCUUCCAAAAGGGAGCAUCUUGUUAGUUCAUUGCUUCUUCAUAGGUCUUGGGAUCAGUCUCAAUAUUGAAGCAAUAUGAGAUUUGGUUGCUCACUGUAUCUCUAGUUCUUUCAACUAGAUACAUAUAAAAGUCCGAACCGAAGUCUUUUGAUUUUCUAGCUCUUUUGCUCCUUCUCAAUUCAAUGGUUUCAUUUUCACCAUCUUUUGUCAAUUCACUUGAUUUUGGAAUAACAUCUUUUAUAGAGGUGAACCUAUUCUCUUCAAAAAUAGCAUCUCUAGACUCAAUUAUGGUAUUAACCGAAAUUGAAUCAUUAGGUUCAAUUACCAUGAACCUAUAUGCUUUGCUAUUUUGUGCAUAUCUUAAAAAUAUACACUCCACACCUCUUUCUCCCAAUUUCCUUUUUUGAGGUUCUGGGAGUUUUACAAUAGCUCUACAACCCCAAACUUUCAAAUAGUUUAGGUUGGACUUCCUUUUAUUCCAAAAUUUAUAAGGGGUUAUAGAACUUCUUUUAUUAGAAACUCUAUUUAGGAUAUGACAAGCCGUUAACAAGGCUUCACUCCAAAAUCCUUGACUUAAACCAGAUUUUGACAAAAGUGCAUUAACCAUUUCUGUCAAUACACGAUUUUUCCUUUCGGCUACACCAUUUUAUUGUGGUGUGUAAGGAGCAGUCACCUCAUGUUUUAUCCCAACAGACUCAAAAUAGGUAAUAUCAUAAUAUUCCCCACCUCUAUCUGUUCUUAGACAUUUGAUAAAGGAUUCACAAUGAAGUUCAACUUCUGAUUUGUAUGCCUUAAAUUUUUGCAAAGUUUCACUUUUUGAGUGUAACAAGAAAACAUGACAGUAUCUACUAUAAUCAUCAAUAAAAGUCACAAAGUACUUUUUACCACCCAAAAUAGGAGUACCAUGCAAAUCACGUACAUCACUAUGAAUCAAAUUCAAGAUUUUAGAUGAUCUUUCAACUUUAGAAAACGAAUUUCUUGUGAUUUUCGUUAGCAUGCAUGUUUUGUAUUUUCCUUCAAUUUUAUCACAAUAUGGCAGCAAAUCAAGUCUCAUCAUUUCAUGCAUUCUUUUGUAAUUAACAUGACCAAUCCUAUUAUGCCACAAUUUAAAAGAAGACUCAACCAAAGACGCAGAAAUAAUAUCACUCUUAUUAUUUCUAAUAGCGAGUACAUUCAACUUAAACAUCCCACUGCAAAGAUAACCCUUGCCUACAAACAUACCACCUUUAGACAAAAUAAAUUUGUCAGACUCAAAUAUAAGUCUAAAGCCAAAUUUAUUUAACAGCUCAGCCGACACCAAGUUCUUCCUAACUUCCGGUACAUAAAACACAUUUGUCAAGGUUACAACAUUUUCGAAAGUAAAUUUUAAUUCUAUUUCUCCAAUGUCUUGAACCGGAAUUGUAGCAGAAUUUUUCAUGUAAACAACGGUGCUUUCAUCCACCGGUUUCAUGGACUUGAAGAACGUUCUAUUGUUGCACACGUGUCGCGUAGCUCCAGAAUCAACCCACCAAGCAAAAUUAUCUUCAAUCAUAUUGAUUUCAGAUAUCAUUGCUACAAGAAUUUUGCUUGUGGUUUGGGAAGACUCUUGCUUCUUCUUCUUGUUUUGAAGAAUCUUGCAAUCGGACUUGUAGUGUCCCUCUUUCUUGCAAUAGAAGUAUUGUCCCUUCUUUCUUUUCUUGGAUUGAUUCUUGGGUUGUUGGCCCUUCUUACUUCCUUGAGACUUUUCAGUUUGCCUCUCUUCAAUCACAUGCACUUUUGAAGUAGAAUCUUUGUUCUCUUCAAGGAUUUGACUAUCCUUCUUUUCUUGCAUGCGAAUUUCCUCUUCUACUCGAAGAGAUUUAGCAAAAAUCUCAAGAGAGAUAUCAUCUUUUUUAUGUUUGAGGUCUCUUUUGAAAUCUUUCCAAGAAAGUGGUAACUUAUCUAUUAUAGAGCAAACAAUAAUGGCUUCAUUCAUGUGUAGAUUGUGUUGUGUGUAGUGAUUAAGAAGCCUUUCAAUCUCACUAAAUUGCUCCAAAACAGACUUAUUAUCUACCAUUUUAUAAUUAUUAAAAGACGAGACAAGAAACUUCUUACUUGUAGCAUCUUCUUGCAUGUACUUGGACUCCAAUCGAUCCCAAAGUUCCUUGGCAGUAGUAAUUGAAUGGUAGACAUCGAACAGGUUGUCACUCAUGGUAUUGAGGAUGUGACCACGGCAUAUUUCAUCGUCGUUCUCCCAUUUCUGACGGUUUCAGAUGUGUUCAAGAGUUUCUUCAUCGGGAUUGAUCAAUGAUUUUGGUGUGAUCAAAACAUAGACCACUUUGAGUGCAGUGAGAAGGAAAUGAACACGUUUUUGCCAACGAACGAAAUUUCCUCCAUCAAACCGCGUGAGCUUGACAAUAUUGGAUGCCAAAUCUUUCAAGGUACCAUCCAUUGUAGAGUAUAAAUAAAGCCUAAAAAUUGUUGGGUAAAUUGUAAAGGACUAGCAAAUAUUGUAACAAGAAUUGGCUUCAAAUCGUGAUAGAAAUCACUUUCCUUUAGGCUUUAUUUGUCCGGUAUAACGUGCAAUUACCUUAGACAAAUAUCCUUUAGGAUAAGAUGAAGUUUUGUUUGUUUUAAACUCUUGCACAAAGCAAGACAAACCCUUUGUGAACUAAAGAGUGCUUUUGAGAGAGUAAGGAUAGUAGGAAAGUGAUUUUCUACAGCAAACCACUCUCUACUUGACCUCUUUAUAUAGGAAGAUUGUUUGGGAAACAAAAGAUCUCAUUAAACACUUGUAUGAAUAGAUUCAACGUAUUGUGUACACAUUCAUGCACUUUAAUUCAUGCAUCUCAUGAUCAUUUAGAUCAAAACAUGAAUCUAUCCUUUCAUUCAAUAAUUCCCAUAUACAUGAAUACAUUCAUAAAUGAAUGUACUUUUAGGAACAUUCACAAUACUAUACAUGUACCAAAAAUUAAUGAAUAUACAUUAAUUACAUGUAUGUACAUCAUACAAAUUUUGAAAAGUUUCCAACAGGCUUGUGAUAGCAAAAACUUCAGGAGGCUUCUGAAAUUAUCCCUUAAACUAAACUAAAGGAGGUAAGAUUUUAAGCAGAUCUCGGUAAGUUAAAAGGUUAAAACUUUACAUACAAAUAAAUGGUCAAAUUCACUUUAAAUUUGUGGUGUCAUCUUCCACCUUAAACUUUUGUACUAUCCAAGUUCGUUUUAAUUCCUUUGGGAAAAUCAAACAUCAAAUGCUUACCAUUUAUUGAAACAUUACAUCAUCCAUCCAAUUGAAACAAACUCCUACGGAGUUUUUUUUUUUUUUUUUUGCUUUAUUUUGUUGUUAGAUAUGAAUUUAUUUCACAUUUGGUUGUCAGAUCUAAAUUUUUUUUUCAAAUUUUAAAUCUAUUUCAACAUAUCUCAUUAUCAUUAUUGAAACUUAAAACCGUUUAUUGGCAAAUCUGGUGAUUGCCAUAUGCACGGAAGGGAUGCACUUUUAAAAUUCUUUAUAUAUAUUUUUUUAGAUUUGUUUGUAAUUUUCAAAUCUAUUGUAUCUGUUAAAUUAUGAUCUGUAAUUUUUAAUGGAUGUUUGGCCUGCCAUUAGGGGAGUUAUGCAAAUCAAAUCAUGUUAGAUGAUUUCCAAAAAAAACUUAAUCGUCAAUUACUCUUUCCCAUUUUAUUUGUCCACUUUUCAAUUGUCAAUAACUCUUUUAAGAAACUUUGUAAUACAAAAAUCAACUGAAACCAGUAGAAUAUUACUUUGUAAUAUUUUUUUUGACAAAAAAAAGUAGAAUAUACAAUUAAUAGCAGUAUUCAUAUUAUGUUUUUGUAUAUUACUUGUACAUCUAAUUAGUCCCAUUUGGAGAAAAAAAAAGGAUGAAGACAAAGACAAAAACACAUAAUAGUCACAAAAAACACAGAUCUAGCUCAAAAUAUGGCAGUGACCAAUUGUUCUGCAAAAUUAUUAGGAUAAGCAGUUGACAGAUUCUAUAAUCGCUUUUGGUCAAAUAUUAUUUAAAUUAGCUGGAUGGUCAAAUAUUACUUUUAAUUUUAAUCAUUUAAAUUACCAGUUACUAUCAUCAUUGGAAGAAGCACAUUGAGGGUCUGUUUGGAUUGUGAAUUAUUAGAGAUAUUUUUACUGUAGCACUUUUUAUGAUGUGAUGUAUGUGAGAUAAAAAGGUAAUUGGAAAGGUAAAAAGGUGUAUUGGAAAUUGUAAUAAUGAUGUAAGCAAAUAAAUUUUGAGAAAUAAAGCCCAAUCCAAACAAAGCCUGAAGGAAUGAUACUCUAAGAUGACUACAGAAAUUUUCUAGCUGGUUAUACAACAUAUUAAUAGUUGAAUGUUGACCUCACCAGCCAUCCCUCAUUCCUUGUCGCAUCCUUUUUAUGAAUUGGAUUCAUCUAUUUGGUGUUCUAAAAUCACAUUUAAAAGUUUUUUUUUUUUUGCGAAAGUGUUAUUAUUCAGGAUGUGUAUGAUAAUUUAAAAUUUUAAUAGUGGACCUAAAAAUAAAACUUGUAAAUUUUACAUAUGAGCCUACCUACUUUUAAAAUAGAGGGAAAAAAACAUCACAUAACUUCAAGUCCAAGAUUGUAUGCAGUUUGUCCAAUAAAUAGAUAUUCAUAAUUCAUAAUUUCAUAUACACAUGUUAACUAGAGAUGUCAAUCACAACCCAAUUAUAUUGAUCCGUUCAAAACCGUUCACUAAUAACCCAUCCAAAUUCACUCAUUAAAAUUUAAAUGGGUCUAAGUGAGUACCUAAUUAAAUCCAUUUAAUUGGUGGAUAGUUGAUUGAUUUGACUCACCCAUUUAUAACCAUUUAAAAAAAUAUAUUUUUAAACUCAAUUUUUACUAAGUGUUAAGAAGAUAAAUUUGAAUUUCCUACAAAUCUAAUAACAAUAAAAUAUCAUUUUUCUUGUUAAACGACAUGCAAAAAAUUUUAAAAAAAAUAGAAUUUCAAAUCAGUGUAAAUGGGUAAUUAAGUAUUUUCAUAUCCAUUUAUUAAAUAGAUAUAAAUGGAUUGAUUCAAUUAUAUCUAUUAUCCAAUUAAAAUUUGCUCAAACCUGUACAAGUCACUCAUUUUUAUGCUUCUAAUGUUAAUAUAUAUUCACAAGUGAAGAGUGCAGCAUUGACAAGGAAGAUAUACUUAUUUAUCCCAAUAUUAUAGUCAUUUUUUUCAUUACAAAAGUAUUGAUAAUUUCAUAAUUUCAUCAUCAGUGACAUAACAUUACAUGAAUUUCAACGAAGUAUGUAAUCAGUGACAUGACAUAACAUGUCAUCAUUAGUCUUCAGCGGUGAAUCUUAUCACGAGGCUUCUUUUCGAAGCUUUGAUUAUGGCAUACACUUCUGACAAUAUGUCCCUUUUAGAAUAGGGAUAAGUUUCUGUGACCAGGCUUCUUUUCAAAGCUUUGAUUAUGGCAUACACUUCUGACAAUGCCCCUUUUAGAAUAGGGAUAAUUUCAGAAACCUCCCUAGGGUUUGUAACAAUUUCAUCGAACUUUCUUGAAAUUUUUAAUAUUACACUUAUCUCCCUUUAUGAUAGACAAUAAUUAUAAUAACCUUCAUAAUUUUUUCAAAGACAAGCUAUUGAUAAAAAAGAUAAAAAAAAAUGAAAACAAUUCUUCUUGGCUAAGCCUCAUAUUGUGACUAAAUUGUUUCACCCAUAACCACUAAAUUGUAAUUUCUAUUACUCAGAAAAGAAGCAUUUUGGUAAUUGAGGGGCUUGGUUGUUUGAGUGGGAAAAGGGUAAGAAUUGUGAAUUUUAUGAUUGACGGUUUGGUAGACAACAUAUGGAAAAAACUUAUAGAGAGGUAAAAAUUAUAAAGAUAAGAAUUAUGAUGAUGGAUUUUGACAUCUAAAAUAUCGAGCUUGUUCGAAAAAAGGAAGAAAUGAUAAGAUCGAGUUUGAAAACUUGGGUAGAUGUAGAAAAUUAUGAGAUGAAAAAUAUUAGGACAUUGUCUAAGUAAUAAAACUCAUAGGUUUAUAGUAUACAAGUGUAUUCUUGAUUUUUGAAAAAUUUUAAUGACUAUUCAUAUUUUGAAAAUUAGAUAAGGGCAAUUUUGGACAUUCAUAUAUUUUUCUGGUCUUACAUCAUCAAGGUGAAACUCAAACCUAUGUUUUAGUAAAUGUAUGUGUAAUUUUCAAAAAGUGAGGAAAGCUGUCUGAAAUUAUCAGAAACCUCAGGGGUGAUUUAUGAAAUUAUCCCUAAUUUUUUUUUUGGUACAAAAAACUCCAAAAUAAUAUGUCCCACACUCUGUGCCACACUCUGUGCCACUUUUUAUUAUAUUGCUAUUUUUCCUACAUAAAUAACAUGUUUUAAUUCUUUUUUGCUUUCUUAAGAUCCAAUAACUAUUAAUUAAGUAAAAAAUAAAUACAACAACUUCAAAAAAGCAAUAUAUAAUAGAAAAUUAAAAAAUACAGCAGAAAAUUCAUAAAAAAUCUCAUUUUUUAUAUAUUUUGAUUUUUUGACUUUGUUAAAUUUUGUGUAUUACUCAAUUAAUAGUUAUUGGAUCUUAAGGAAGCAAAAAAGAAUUAAAAUAUGAUGUUUAUGUAGGAGAAAUAGUAAUAUAAUAAAAAAUGGGACAGGCACAUGGUGUGGGACAAAAGGUCCGUUGCACCAAAAAAGUGGCAGUUCAAACUGGAACCAUCUCCUAUUUUCGCAAGUCCUCCCGCCGGCGGCCCUGGGUCAUCUAUAAAAGUAUAGACCAAGACAACACUAAUCCCUCAUCAGUCCACUCCAUACUUCUUCUUCAAGCCUCAGCAACGAAACAAUAAACUCUGCUCCACUCAACUCUUUCCUCUGUGUCUUGUGCUCUUGUCUGAAAAUGGCGGCGUCAGAAGAAGUGAAAGUGCCAAGAAUCAAGCUGGGGUCGCAAGGUUUUGAAGUUUCAGCUCAAGGGCUGGGCUGCAUGGGCAUGUCAGCCUUCUACGGGCCGCCAAAGCCCGAGCCUGAUAUGAUCAAACUCAUCCACCAUGCUAUUUGCAGAGGAAUCACCCAUCUUGACACCUCCGAUAUCUAUGGACCUCACACCAACGAAAUACUCAUUGGCAAGGUACCAUAUUUGCAAAUUUUCUGCUGUUGUCUGCUAUGCGUAAACUCUUGUAAUUUUAAUUUCUAAAAGAGCAUAUUUUUAAAUAUUUUAUUUAGGUAAAUUAUACUUAAUCCCUUGCACUUCAAAAUUUGUCUCCCUUUGUGCCCCCUUAAUUUUGUUUGUCAGCACUUAAACUCCACUUGUUUAAAUUGUAAGUAUUAUUAGUCAAAUAUGACAUUGUUCUUCUUCAUUUUUUCAUGUUACUGCCUUUUCAGUUUGUCCUCCUUUAUAAAUAUGGGAUGAAUUACUUUGAUUUUGAUUUUGGUGCAAUUUUGUAUAAAAUGAUUUUUGCUAUGAAGUUAUUGAUUUAUUAUGAGCUAUGCGUUGUAUAUUUACACAAAUUCUGCUAGUUAAACAUUCACUUGAGCAGGCCUUCCAAACAUGAGCAAUAUAAUUCUCUAUGGGUGCAUUUGGUAAAAUUGACGAUUGAAAAUUGAAAUCUAAUUUAAAGUCUGAAUCCAUAAAAUUAUUAAUUUGUUAAGUACUAAAUUUGAUACGUUUGAGUGCAUGUCAUGUCAAGUGAUCACAGAAUAACUCAUCACUUAUUUUUUAAAGCAAGUUUUGCUUAAGAAAUUCAGUGCCAUUUAAUUAAUUUAGAUAUUCAAUGUUUAAUUAUCAAACAUAUAUGAAUAUAUUAACAUCUGAAUCUAUUAAUUUUAAGUGCUGAAUUGGGUUAUCAAACAUGACCUAUAAUUAUUAGGUAACCAAGCAGACAACAUGUUUAGUGUAUAAUAGUAAUUAACUUUCAAUUUGUGUCGUUAUUCUUUGGUAAAGAACUCUUAGAAUUAUUAAUAAUAAAUUUCUCAUACACGGGAAUCAAAAUAAUUGAAGUUUUAUCUCUACCAUUGAGAUAUGUUGCCAUCUAAAAGAAAGGAAAGGGAAGGAAACAUGGGGGAAAAUAGGGAAAGGGCAAAGUGAUGAUAAAUAAAAUUGGAAGUAGCAAAAUGAGACAAAUGAAUUAUUGCAAGGGGUUAAGUGUAAAUUAUGUUUAUUUUAUGAGACCAUUUAGGCAGAAAGACUGGACCCUUUUAACGCGCCAAUCAAAAGUUCCAAUUGCUGAAAAUAACAUAAAAACUUGACUUUGUUUGGUUUGGCGUUUUUGGAGGUGGUUCAUGAAAAUUUUAUUGUAGUUUUUUUUUUCAUCUUGAAAAAUAUACUUUUUUCAUCAAUUUAUGGAAAGUUUACAAUUUCUCUGAUAACAGAUGGUAAAAUUUACUUUUUACGAGCACUGAAGUUUUAAAGAUUAUGAAAAGAGAAUUGUAUGAAGGAAUAGAAGGGAAAAGAAGGGUAAGAAAAUGGAUGGAUUGUGUUUGGAUUGAUUUUGGGAGGGGCAAGGAGAGGAAACGGAGAGAAAAGGAAAUGGAUGGAUUGUGUUUUGCUCAGACAUCAUUUCCAUACAAAAGUAGAUAGAAACAGAGGGAAAGAAAAUCUUGUUGAUGAUUUUCUAGUAAAAUGCCUCGAGCACCCAAAUUUUACAUAAACUUGCCAUUUGUGAAACCUGCUUUAGAUAUGAAUUGUGGGAUGCAACAGCAGGCUAGGAAUGUUUGACGAAGCAACUUGUGUAGAUAUUUUAUCGUUAAGUAAAGAGAAAAACUAUUCCUUUCAUGUCUGUCGUUCUACCAAACAGCAUAUUUAGGUUUUCUUUCUUUCCCAUUCAUAUCUAAUCCAAAUAAGACAAAUGAGAACUAUUUUCUCUACUCUCCUUUCCUUUCUUUUUCACUAGCAUGUUUUAUUUAUUUAUUUAUCCUUUCCUUUGAUCCAAAUGGUUCCUAAAAGGCCACUAAUUAUUCUACAUUGACCAGUUCCCUAUUUUUGUAUUAAUUUGCAUGUGCACGAUUCUGUGUAUGUUCAUGUUGUGCAUCAAAUCUUGUGAAUGACAAAGCUAGAGUGUAAAUUUAAGUUGAAGAAAUAUAAAACAAAAAAGAAAAUGGAUUGGCUCCUUUAAGAGUAUCAGACUUCUAAACCCCAAGGAUUACAUAAUUUUCAUAUCCUUUGCGAUACAAAGAAGUGGCAUAGCCUUAACAAUGAAGUGUUGGAAAAACUCCAGAAGGAAUGUGCCAUCCAUGAAAUCCCAAAUCGGCUUGCUGUACCAUGCAGUAAUGUGUAUGUCCUUGAUGAUUAACAUAAUGAAAUCAUGGUUCUAGGCCUUGAAGGAAGGAAUAAGAGCGAAAGUGGAGCUAGCAACAAAAUUUGCAAUCAGUUAUCAGGAUGAGAAGUUUGAUGUACGUGGUGAUCCAGCCUAUGUGAGGGCUUGUUGUGAAGCGAGUUUGAAGCGGCUUGAUGUGGACUGCAUUGAUCUCUAUUAUCAACAUCGCAUUGAUACACGUGUGCCCAUUGAAGUCACGGUUUGCUCGUCUUGCCUUUCUUGUUUUUUAGCUCCACCUCAUUCUUGAUGAAACAAAAGUUUGAUCAACUCCAAAUUUUGAAUAAUUCAGUUUCAUGUCCGUUUCAAUUCUUCAAAAGUUGCACAGAAAAGUUAGUCAACCUUAUGGUCUCGGCUAAUCUGCAGUAUGGUAUAGCUGAUUUUGCACAAGGCAUCCUGAAAAGUGAAAACAAUGAAUAUGUCUUAUAUUAGCUUUGGCUGUCCUGCUGAGGGAUAUACAGGUGGAAAUCAUGCUAUACAUUGUACAGCUUUCCUUUAGAACCAAGAAACCCGAGCAUUCUCUUUCAAUUGAGAUAGGCUAUCUGGUUGAGUAAUGAUCUGCUAUUUACUUACCUUGUCAACCAUUUUCAGUUGGUGCCUAAAGCACUGCAGAUAGACAUUUAUUAUUGAUAUCUAAAAAACAUGGUACUCAUUUUGUCCAGAGCACAGCUUUUUGUCUAAUUGUCAAAGCCAGCUGCAACUGCCCCAUUGACCUCUCCAGACAAUUCAAAGAUUUCAGCAGCUUGCUUACAUUCAGCUUUUAUGAAACAAUUUCUGUCUUCUUUUUCUCAUGUAAUCAGCAAAGAAUUGUCUUGGUUUCCCUGAGUAUUAGAUAGAAACUUUCUUGCAGUUUAAUCACUCAAAAUACAAGCAAGUAUAAAGGAAAUCAAGCAAAAUUGGCAACUGAUAAUUGGUAUGUACGGCCAUUAUUAUAUAUAGAAGUCAACAAUGCCAUGUAAUCAUAUUGGAGGAGCAUUAUGUUGGCAUGGUCCAGUAGAACUAAGUCCUCCGGUGGGCUGUACAUAGAGAACUAUCACUGGAUGCUGAUUGCCAUUUUCAUCAAUUAGUGAUUUCAGUUUGAUGUAUACUUUGUCCACGACAUCGUUGAACUAGUGCAACUUUUACUUUUUGCACGUAAUAUUUCGAUUAUCUGCCUAAGUGUUGAAUGUAAUAAAUCAGCUUAGCAUCUUCUUGUCCAUUGAAAUUCUCUAGAUAGGAGAGCUCAAGAAACUGGUUGAAGAGGGUAAAAUAAAGUAUAUAGGUCUGUCUGAGGCCUCAGCUUCAACAAUUCGAAGAGCACAUGCUGUUCAUCCAAUAACAGCUGUACAGUUGGAGUGGUCAUUGUGGACCAGAGAUGUCGAGGAAGAGAUUAUUCCCACUUGCAGGUAGUGCAUAUAUUCUGCUGCAUUUUCUACAUGGUCUAGAAGAAAUAUUAAGUUCUCAAUUCAGUUUUUGGUAUAAUCUUUCAGAGAGCUUGGCAUAGGGAUUGUUGCAUACAGUCCACUUGGACGAGGUUUCUUCUCAUCAGGUCCAAAGCUGAUUGAGAAUUUGGCUGAAGGUGACUACCGAAAGGUUUGUGCAUAUCGAAAAAGAUGGAGUUUUUGAGUAUACAUUGUUUAUAGUUCGAAUAAGUUUCUCACUCAUCUAUUUUUACCACAUUCAGUGGCAAUCAUGCUUGAUAUCAAAAGAGGAAGAAACUAUGUCACUUUUUAAGUAAAAGUCUCUUUACGGUUUUGAAGGGAAAAGGACCUUAGACUUCAAUUUCAUCAUUUAAUCUCAGGCACAGAACUUAUGCUGUCCUGUGAAACUAUCAUUUUUCCUUUACCAUUAAUCCUAAAACUGAGUUUCAUUGGUCAGAAAUAUACUUCAUAGUAGUACCUCCUCUAGCGUUCAUCGUAGUACCUCCAUCGUUCAAACAAACAAAAAUUAGUUGAUUUGUAUUUUAAGUUUCCUCUUUGAUGGGAAAUGUAUCUCAGAACUUAACUCCAACGGUUGAUGCUUCCUCCGUGGAGUAUUCAGUCGAACUUGAUGCAUUGUUCUUUCCCCUGAACUUGUGCCCUUCAAACAGUAUUUCUGAUCAUCUUGAAGUAAUUAGUACCGUCUGUUCAUUACUCCCUCCCGAUUUCUUGCAUUAUAGCUUCCUCUUUAAUGGGAAAUGUAUCUCAGGAUCUACAUUCUACAAUUGAGGUUUCUUAGAGUACUCAGUCCACCUUACUGGAUUGUUCCUUCCCCUGAACUUUGUACACCUUAAACAAUACUAUCGAUCAUUUUGAAGUUAUUCAUAUUGUCUUCAUUUGUAGAUGACACAUGCUUUGCUCCCUUUUGAAUUUCUGGCAUUACAGUUGCUUAAAUUUUGAAAUUCAUACAAUGUAGGAUAUGCCAAGGUUUCAAGCAGAGAAUUUGGAGCAGAACAAGAACUUGUAUGAGCGGGUCAAUGCCAUUGCUUCAAGGAAGGGUUGUACUCCAUCACAGCUAGCAUUGGCCUGGGUCCAUCACCAAGGCAAUGAUGUUUGCCCCAUACCUGGCACUACCAAGAUUGAGAACCUCAAUCAGAAUAUAGGAGCUUUGUCUGUAAAACUGUCAGCAGAGGAAAUGGCGGAACUUGAAUCUUUUGCUUCUGCGGGAGUCAAGGGUGAUAGGUAUGGGCCUGGCCUUGGUACUUGGCAAACUUCUGAAACUCCACCUUUGUCAACCUGGAAGAGAACAUGAAGACAUACUUUGUUAUUGCAAUAAUUCCUUCUAGCUAUGUGCCUGAUGGUGGAUUCCACUAUAUUAAGAGUUGAGUGAUAUGUAUUUGUUCCAAUAAAGUUUGACAUACUAUUGUCUCUAGGGUUAAGGCAAGUAAAGUUAUAAGAAGAAUGGAGUUUCUUCAGAGGUUGUAAUGAAUAAAUAUCUGGUCAUGUAAAAGCAGAAUAUAAUUUUCCUUGCAGUUGAAUGCAUUAAAGGUUAUAUAUUGUACUUUUGAAUGCUAUAGUGGUCCAUUUUUUAUGUGCUACUGCUACGAGAGUUAUAGAUUGUCGAACAGCAUUCAAUUCAGGACUUAUUAAACAUAAGCAUAUAAACAUUUUAUGCUCGGAAUAUUUACAUCAAAAGAAACUCCAAGGUCACAUCAUUGUAAAGUGUAAACUACAUCAUAUUAAUAAAAAGCAAAAAAAAAGGUCUAAAUGAGGAAAAAAAUGUACUAUAGAAGAAGUCAACAAUGUCAUGUAAUCAUUUUAUCCUAAAAUUGAGAUUCAAAUUUAGUUGAUUUGUAUUUUGAGUUUCCUCUUUGAUGGGAAAUGUAUCUCAGAACUUUAACUCCAACAGUUGAUGUUUCCUACUUGGAGUACUCAGUCCACCUUGAUGCAUUGAUCUUUCCCCUGAACUUGUGCCCGUCAAACAAUAUUUCUGAUCAUCUUGAAGUAAUUAGUACCAUCUGUUCAUUACUCCCUUUUGAUUUCUUGCAUUAUAGUUUCCUCUUUAAUGGGAAAUGUAUGUCAAGAUCUACCUUCUACAAUUGAGAUUUCUUAGAGUACUCAGUCCACCUUACUAGAUUGUUCUUUUCCGUGAACUUUGUUCACUUCAAACAUUACUAUGAUCAUCUUGAAGUUAUUCGUAUUGUUGUCUUUUGUAGACGACACAUGCUUUACUAAUUACUGCACUUUGAAUUUCUGCAUUGCAGUUGCUUAAAUUUUGAAAUUCAUACAAUUUAGAAUAUGCCAAGGUUUCAAGUAGAGAAUUUGGAGCACAACAAGAAGUUGUAUGAGCGGGGUCAAUGCCAUUGCUUCAAGGAAGAGUUGUACUCCAUCACAGCAAGCGUUGGCCUGGGUCCAUACCAAGGCAAUGAUGUUUGUCCCAUAACUAGCACUACCAAGAUUGGAAACCUCAAUCAGAAUAUAGGAGCUUUGUCUGUAAAACUGUCAGCAGAAGAUAUGGCUGAACUUGAAUCUAUUGCAUCAGCUAGAGUCAAGGGUGAUAGAUAUGAUCCUGGCCGUAUCAAGGGCAGAGGUUAUGGGAUCUGAUUAUGGGCAACUGAUUAUGGAAUCUAUUCUAUCAUAAUUGCAAAGAUUAUGACUGAAAUUAUGGGAUCUGCUCUAUCAUGUAUAUUAGCUGUAUAUUAGCAUAUGUGUCAUUAAUAUAUCAGAUAGGUAGAUAUAUUCUUACAUAGAAUAGAAUGUACAGAGUUUCUAUUUAAUGGAAAAGAUGCACAAAAGACAGCAUUCAGUCUUUGAUCUAGAAAAUUGUCAUGGUAUCAGAGCUGGUUAUUUGAAUUUCUGUGUCUUUCAAAAUUUGCUGAGUUGUUAUUCUUCUUGGGUUGAUUAUUUUGAUCAAUCAUUUGGUUUCAAGAUAUCAUUUUGGGUCAAUCAUAUUGUGGUUGGCAGCCUUUCUUGUAAUUCAGAUCUUUGUUUUUUUGAAAGUAUGUCUGUGGCAAACUCUUUGGGAAAAACACAUACGGAAUCUUUGUCUAUCAAGUUCAUUGGGAAAAAUUAUGCAGCAUGGGAUUUAGAAUGUUUCUAAAGGCAAAGAGCUUUGGAGUCAUAUUGAUGGGUCUUCUACAGAACCUAGAGAUGGAAAAGAAUUUAGUCAAUGGGAGGCAAAGGAUGCUAGAAUUAUUUCUUGGAUUCUAGCAUCUAUUGAAGCUCAUAUGGUGAAUAAUUUACACUCCUUUAAUACAGCAAAGGAGAUGUAGGAUCAUUUGAAGCGUGUAUAUCAUCAAGAUAAUACAGCAAGAAGAUUUCAACUUGAAUUGGAAAUUAGUAACUACGGCCAAGAUAACCUCUCUAUUAAGCAGUAUUAUUCUGGAUUUUUUAAUUUAUGGAGCGAAUACUCUGGUAUAAUCUAUUCUAAGGUACCAAGCGAAGCCUUAGCUGGUAUUCAAGCAGUUCAUGAAGUUAGUAAGCGUGACCAGUUUCUAAUGAAACUAAAGCUUGAAUUUGAAGCGGUCAGAGCUGGAUUGUUAAAUAGAAAUCCAAUUCCUUCUUUAGAUGUAUGUCUUGGUGACUUGUUGCAAGAAGAACUGAGAAUGGCUACACAAACUAUCAUAGGUGCAUCGAAGGAGAUAUCCGAAGUUGUCAAUAUUGCCUAUGCUGCUCAAGGGAGGAAUCGCGAAAAGGGACAAGUACAGUGCUUAAAAGCAGUCUGUUUGCCAGACACAUGGUGAGCCACAUUUAAAAAUUGGUUUCUAUCAUAAAGCCUAUCAUGUCCGGACAGAAGAUGGACUGUUUUUUAAAUUUUUUAUGAAAGCAAGUGAAAAGUGUUGCAACUCAGGACUUGGAUGGUAAUUCUAAAAUUUAUUAGUGCACCUACCUUUUAACUUUUGGUGUGCUUUUAAGGUAUCAAAUGGGGGAAAAAAAACCAACACCAUAUAACUUCAAAUGCAAGAUGGUACGAAAUUUGUAUCCAUUGACAUGUAAAAAGUGCACCGUUCAUCACAAAGAUAUUUAUCCUAAUAUUAGAUUCAUUUUUUCAAAAAUUCAACUUUGCAUGCAAACAUGUAAUCAAUAUGCAUAAAUAGAUAGCAUUAGAUGAAUUUAAACAAGUAGCCUUCAAAUUUAAAAAUAUUUGAUUUCAUAAAGGUGCAUUCGCAAUUUAGAAAAAGGACUUUUCAAAUGGCAAAUCUAGAGAGCAAUAAAUACUCCUACUUUAUUUUGAUUUCAAAUCUUAUUUUGACUUGUCAAAAAAGUGAAACACGAAACCAAUAAUGGGUCAGAUACAAGGCUAAUUACUCAGAAUAUCGAUGUAAAAAAUAUUGGACAUAUAUGAUUUUGACAAUGGGCAUGUAUAAAACUAUUGCUGUAAGGUUGUGUCAGCCCGGCAGCAAAAGAGGGUUUUUUUUUAAAGCCUGCCAUUGCCACCGAGCUGACACGGCUCGGCAGCAAUAGUUUAAUUUUUUUUAAACGCUGCCGGGCCUUGUCAGCCAGAUAGAACAAAAAAAAAAAAUUUUUUUUUAAACACAGCCCGGCAGCGGGCAACAUUUGCAAAAAACUUUAAAAAGCUGGCUGCCGGGCUACGACAGUUCAAAAGAUUUUGCUAUCCGCCUACAACACCAGGUGAUAAAGAUAAGGGCAAAGGCGUACCGGGCAUUGAUAUGAUCAUUUCCGGUGCAUGUUUUAAAAUUUCAAAUAUUUGAAUAUGGGGAUUUAGCGUUAUUUUAAUCUUUUAUUAUUAUAAUGCUUGUCGUUAUUUUUAAAUUUCACAAUUUCAGCAUGUCAUGUUGUGCAUUUUUCCUUCUUUUUUUUUUUGCCUAUUUUGUUUUUAUAUUGCACAAUAACUUUAUAUUUAUAAAAUUAUAUUGUACAUUAAAAAUUACAUAAUAAUUUUAACAAACAAUUUUCCGGUACAAUUUGAAAACUGCAUCUUAUUGUAAAAUGAAAGAGAUUUUUUGUUUAAAAAACCUUUUUUUAGUUUUUUUACCUAUCGGAGUAAUUAUUAAUUUUACAAAUCUGUUUUCAUCUUUUUCUUACGUUCCAACUUUGAAACGUAAUUUAAUUAACUUAAAAGACUGUCGGGUUUAGUAUGUCAGGUAUCACACUUGUUGUAAUUAAAAAAAAAUUUUCUUCUUAUUUUUCAUUUUUUGUUUUUAUAUUGCAAAAUAAAUUUAUACAUUUUUUCGAUUUUUCUAUACAAUUUAUAACAAAAAAAAUAAUAUCAAAUAUUAUACAUUGUAAUUUUAACAAUUAUUUUGCAACGGUUUAAAAAACCUUUUUUUAGUUUAACAUCCUAUAUAUUUUACGAAAAUGAUUUGAAUAUUUUUUAAUCAUUUAAAGAAAAGAUAGAUUUCUACAAUUACUAUUUUUUAAAUUUUAAUCCUUAAGAUAAAGAUUUUUGCGGGAAAGAUGAAGAUUUAAAGAAACAAUAAAGAGGCAAAGAAAAUAAAAGAGAAAAAUAGGAGAGGUAAUUUUGUCCAAUGGAGGAUAUAAUGAGACAGAAAAAUUCCGAUGAGGGAUAAAGUAAAAAAAGAGAUAUAUUUUAAGGACAUUAAUUGUGAUUAACCCUAUUUCUUAUGCUCAAUUUGUAACUGGUCCAAAGCAUCAAAAGUAGCGUCCGCCUCCCAGGUGAUGAAUUCAUGGUCUUGAAUGUCCAAUAACCUAAGAAGAGUAAAAAGAUCACUUUAAAGUUGCUCCACACCCUACAAAUGCUUCUGAUACUAACUUUCUCGUCAUAUUAACAAAUGCUCCGCACCUUAAUGCUUCAGCACCCGUAAAAAACGUGUUUUUGCAACUGGUCCAAGAGUUGAACCCUUCGCUCAGAGUUACUUCUGGAUGUUGAAAAAAACAUUUCGAUCACUUGAAUCUAACCUCCCGCGUCUAAUCAAGCCAGAAGGCCAGCUUUUUUUUCACUGACCCUUCAACGUGAACCUUCUGAGAACUUAUCUCAAGGGAAACUUUUAGUGGUUCAGUAGAAUUUUUUUUAAUCCUCUUACAUGUUUCAUUCGUAUCUCCUACUUCAUGUCCGUGCAUUGUUGAAUUCUGAAGUGCAGGUCUUCUUUCGCCCGUAUUGUUAACCUUCUUUUUCAUGUUCAUUGAAGCACAGCAUUCUUUUUUCAGGUUUGAAAUUUUUUUUUUAAAUUGGACUAGCUGCUGGACUGAGCUUUUUAAAGUUUUUUGCAGAUGUGCGUCAGCCCGGCAGCCAGCGAAUUAAGAAAAAAAAAAAUUUUUUUGAGGCCCGGCAGCGUUUAAAAAAAAAAAACUAUUGCUACCGGGCAAGCUUUAAAAAAAAAAAAAAAAAAACCCUAACAGCAAUAUUUUUAUACAUGCCCAUUGUCAGAACCAUAUAUGUCCAAUUUUUUUUUCAUCGAUAUUCUGAGUAAUUAGCUGAGAUAGAGAGGAGUAUUAGAAAUUUGUUUUCUAGAUUCUUUGGUCUCCCAAUUUUUUCAACGGGUCAACUCCGAUCAUUAUUAUCACAGUCAUGUGAUUGUAGGUCUACCACGCUUCAUAGUCCACAACGUGGAUUGGCACCACAAAGGAUGGUUUCAAAACACCAUUUUAGUCUAGUAAGGAUUGUGUAUAUAACACAAGUCUUUUUAGGUUUUCCCUCCCCUGUAAUCUAAAAUAAAAUAAAAUAGGUUAUACAAUUGUUAUAGUCUUCAGAAAAAAAGGAUAGGUCCCACCCUAUUAUUAUUAUUUUUCUUUUAUAAAUCAACAACGCCUAUUCUACACCUAUUUCAACUUCUAUUCUAGGGGAACGGGAGGUUCAACUGAAAAAUUAAUGGUGAUUGAACCACGAACGGACCAAAAACUUUCAAGAUAAAAUUUGAUCUAAAAAAUAAAUAAUAAUAUAUUAACUUAUUAUUUAAUGCGAUACAUAUUCAAAUAUAUUAAAUUUAAUAAUUUAAUAAAUUUUAAAUUUUACAUUUUAAAUUUUAAUUUUCAACCUUCAAUGUUGCCGUACUUACAACAACAACUUCUAGAUGGUCAACACUUAGAGUCGUAGCCCUUGCUUUUGGCAUACCCUAGUCCCUAUUUCUGUUGUUAUCAAUGAGGAAGCAAAUGUCUGCUAUUAAUUACACGAGACAUCAGUAGGUUUGUUUGGAUUGGAGGUUAUUUGAAAUAUUUUUUUGAGAUAAUUAAUGUAGUACUUUUUGUGAUGUAAUGUAUAUAAGAUAAAAUUGUGAUUGGAAAUUGUGUGGAUGCAAAACAAAAUUUUGAAAUUUUUUUUUGAAAACCUUAAUAUUAUUGGCUGCACUACAAAUCAGUCAAAACUCAAGAGAUGAUAUUAAUUGAAACAAGUGGGCAAAUUGAACGAGGAUGCGUAAUUGACAUGGAAGUCUUGGUAGACUUGGAGGUAGGCUUGUCAACGGAUUGGGUCUGGGUCGGAAUUCAUUAUUCUGGACCCGGAUCCGACAUACUAUAUUGGACUCGGAUUCGACCCAUUUAUUCGACGGGCCUUCUACUCUAUAUUCUGAAUCCGGAUCCGACGGGUCUCGGAUUCGGGUCGAGUCUACCCGAAAAAAUCUAUCAAAACUUACAAAUUCUAAUAAAAAUGAGAAAAAAAUAUAUUUGUAAACCAAUUUUUAACUAAUAAAAAAAAUCAAAUAAGAAAAAAAAUCAAAUUGACUUUACUCAAAUACAUCACCCUAAUCAAAUUAUAUUGAUAAAUAUAUAUAUAUUUAAAUUGUUAAUCCAUUUAUAUCCGAAUCCGGGUCUAAUACGGGUCGAAAUAUUAUAUUCCGUAUUCGACCCGUUUUUUGUUUGAUAAAACGGAUCCGGAUCCGGGGUCCGAGUAAUGGAAUUAAAUCCCUACUCGUACCCACAAUAAUUUGACGGAUUCGAUCCGGAUCCGGAUCUAGACUCGAACUGUUGACAGGCCUACUUGGAGGGAUCAACAUUUGAAUCUGACUUGGAUGAGGUAAGCACAAAGGUAAGCAUUUUCCAUUUUUAUUUUGGUUUUCAUUUCUUGUAUACUUUAAAACGUUUUUCAUUCUACCUCACUCACAUAUAAUAUAUAAUGAAAUGUAAAUUUUUUAUGAAAACAUAUAAAAUAUAUAAAAUGAAAAAUAAAUUUUUUAUAAAAACAUAUGUUUAUAUUUUUCUUUGUAUAAUGAAAAUUUAUAAUUCAUUCUACCAAUAUAUACGCAUAUAUAUAUAUAUAUAUAUAUGUAUAAUGAAAAAUAAAUUUCUUCUUCAUCUUUAGGGCUGCACCUACAAACAACAAAACUCAGCUCCACUCAACUCUUUCCUUCAUGUUUUUUUAUAAAAAACAUAUAUAUAUAUAUAUAUAUAUAUAUAUAUAUAUAUAUAUAUAUUAAGUUACACUAAUUGUUUUAUCUCUUAAUAAUUUUUAUUUUUUUUACUAAUAUUACCUCAUGAGAGGCAAAAAGGGUAUAAAUGGAACAAAAUUAUUAUCUCAUUUUCCAAAAGAAUUUUUUAAUGGUACUUUUUCUAACAUGGGUUGAAGCUACUAUCAAAAUCUAGUUUAGGGAAAGUUAGUGCUAUUUUUUAAAUUUUAGGGUAGAUGAGUACAACUGUUAGAAACCUCAAAAAGGGAUGGUUUCUGCAAUUAUCCCUAAAAGCAUAGACCAAGACUACACUAAACACUAAAAAUUUGACACCUAUUUCUUAUAACUAUACUAGAUAAUCUCAUAAUUAUAUAGAAAAAUAAAUCAAAAUUCAUUACACAAAAGCAUUUUUGGAUAUUUAUUUAAGAAUUUGAUCAAAUUAAUAUUAUUUUAAAGUUUUAUUACAAAAACUAUCAAAUUAAAGGAGGUAGGGGUAAUGUUUCAAACCUCACAGUGAAAUUGUUAGAAACCUCAAAGAGGUUCUUGAUAUUAUCCCUAAUUUUUUUGGGUACAAAAACCUCCAAAAAAGUGGCAGUUCAAACGGGGCCAACAUUCUCCUAUCAUCACAAGUCCUCCCGCUGACCCACUAGCCGCCGGCGGCCCUGGGUCAUCUAUUAAAGGCUUAAAGCAUAGACCAAGACUGCAGUAAUCCCUCAUAUACACAUGUUAACUAGAGGGGUCAAUCACAACCCAAUUAUAUUGAUCUGUUCAAACCCGUUCACUAAUAAUCCUUUCAAAUUCGCCCAUUAAAAUUUAAAUGGGUCUAAGUGAGUACCUAAUUAAACCCAUUUAAUUGAUGGAUAGUUGAUUGAUUCAACUCACCCAUUUAUACCCAUUUAAAAAUAAAUAUAUGACAGGGUGUCGAGCCUGUGCAAUAAUAAUUAUCUACUCAAGAAAAACACAAAUUCUGUAUAUAGCAGUGAGUAGAGUCGAAUCCACACGGACUGUAGAUAAUUCGUUUCUUUUAGAGUCCAAAGUAUGGGGGGUUUUGGAGAAUAUAAAAUAACUAAUUAACUAACUAAUAAAACAACUAAUAGAAAUAAAUAGAAAUUAAUCAAUAACCAAUAUGACUCUAGCCAAAGGUGCAACUUUUCAGACACGGUCCAUUCAACUGAUCAUCGAUGCAAAGAUAAUUCAAUUACUCAUUACUAGAUUGGUUAUAAUUGUCAUACACGCGAUGAACAACCAGCCUUUUCUUAAUUUCUCGAUAGUUAAAGUACGACCGUUAACUAUUUCUCUAACCAAGUAAUAACCCUAGGUACGACCAUAGGAUUUAAUUACUCGAUUACAUUAAUAAUUAGAAAAACCCAACCCUAACCAACAAACACGCUACGAGGGUUUGUUUAAAUUAGAUCAUACGUUUCCCUAACAUGAAACCAAUCACGCUAGUCGCCACUGGUAUUAAUCAAUUGAACAAUUACGGAUUCAAUCAAUUAAUUUAGCAUUAGAUCAUUAAGUUAAUUUGAAUAUCGGGCCCUUGACAUUCAAAUAACAUAACAAACAUAAGCAAUUAAAUCAGGAAACGUAAAAAUACCAAUGAAUAAAAGAAAUAAAUAAAAUUAAUUCGAUCUCACAGAUAUUUGGAACCGCGCCUUCAAAUUGGCCUUCGACUAGAUGAAAGGUUUAGUUCAUCUACAUGGAGGAAACCCCAUGUGAAAUUGCAGAAGUAAUUAUUCUAAAACAAAGCUAUGUUUUCGUCCUCCAUUGAAGAAAACGGCAAAGCUAUAUAUAAAGUAAUGAAUACGAAGGAACUACCUAGAAGCAAAAACAAAACGAAGCUCUCCUAUUCUAAAACAAAAACUACUUGUCUAGUGGUCCCCGCCGAAUUUAGAUAAAAGGGUGCAAUCCGUCAGAUCAAGCUUUGCCGACUUUUUCUCCUCUUUGUUGCCUAUUGCUAGGCAAAGACUUCAGUGCCCAGACCAUUCCUAAUCAGUGAAAAGAAAAUGCACUCCCUCUGCCGCACUCUGUGGGCCAGGUUGUUGAAGCUCUUUGGAGUCUCCUAUGUGUGGAGCUGUUUUAUCCUUCAGAUGGUCUCGCUCUUUUUUUUCUUUUUAUUUUCUUUUGUGUACUUUUCUGCUCCAUUCCUGAAAUGAGAUCCAAAUACCAAAUAUAAAUAUAUAUUAACAAUUAAACAAUAUUUAGUAAGGACAGAGGGGAAAUUAAUAAUAAAAUAAUCAAUAAUUAACACCCUAUCAAUUCCCCCCACACCUAAAUCAUACUUGCCCUCAAGCAUGGGGACGACAAAUAACACCAAAAUUUGAAAAUGGGUAUUGCCCCAUCUACCCUAUUGUCAAGAUACCAAGGAAAACAUCUAUCAAGCAUCAGUGAUCAGGGUUCAAGAAACAUCACCCCAAUUAGCUUCUAAACCACAAACUCCUCCAAUUUAAGACAAACUAAUCUAAGAAAAAGGAAUGGUUGCUCACAUUUAUCAACAAAUGGUCCAACUAUUAACUAAAAUCUCGAUAUUAAGAUCACAAACCGGCAAGCUGACUUAUUCACAUACUAACACAAUCUUUACUUUACUUCUUUUUUUUUUUUUUUUGAAUAACAAAAGACUUAGUCUAUAGCCCUUAGAGCCUUUUGACGCGAACUCCAACAUUUGCCAGAUGGAGAAGCCCGGUUUCUCAGCUCCAAUCGCUACGGGACCACGCACUCAUAGUAACUACUACCUUUUGAGGCGAAAAUCGACACUUUAGGUCAAGAUCCCCGAUCACUCAGUAGUAACCACUAGCGGAGUACAGUCAACUCUUAUUUACAACCAUAUAGCACGAUAACUAAAAAUAACAGCAGGCAGCCUCAAAUUUCCAAACAUGGAGAACUAAAAUUAAUAACUGGACCAAUUCACAUGAAAAAUGCCAACAAUCAUUCCCUAUGCCUAGAAAAGUUAACCAAAAAUUAGAAAAGUCAAGCAAUUACUGAUAUUCACAUGAAAAGUCAAGCAGAAGUAAGCAAAAGAGCAACUGUACUUCCCUGAAAUCACGGGGGGCAUGGCGGGGCCACAGCAGUGGGUGAGGCCGGAAAUGGUUGAUUUGGGUUGGGGUAGGCUAAGGUCGAGAGGUUCCGGACCUAGAAGAGGACUUUGAUCUCACCAUCGUCGCUAACAGGUAACCCAAUCAACAGAAACAAAAUUGCCAACAGAUAGAGGAACAAGUAAAUCUAGAUCAAUAGAAAUCAAUAUCCUCAAGUGAAGUCAACAAUCAACCCAAUAAGCACAGGUAUCUUCCAAUUUAAAAGGGUAGUGCACAAUAAAUGGCCCACCAAAUUUGCAAUGUAAAGCCCUGAGCAAUUCAAUCAAUACCAGAAAAUCGCCCCAAACAAUGUAACAGUUAAACUCCAUGGGCCAUGGACGUCCAACCAAUUUCACUCGAACAAACUAUGAGCAGUGCGAGUGACGAAACAAAGCAACAAAUUUCAGCAAUUAGACACAAUUCCACUCAAAAUCUCAACAAAUAUCUCCAAUGGACAGUCUUACACAACUUAACCAACUGGAAUUAGCAAAUAUCCCCAAGAAACUGACAAAACAAGCAAUAGUAGUUCAAAAUUUGGACUACAACUAAAUCAAAAUGUUGUUUCAGUUUUCAAUCAGGUAGCCAACCAAGUAGAAUCAAUAAAUGUAGACAAAAUACCCCAACCAGUACCACUGGUGUAUUCCACAGAAAAGAAUUAAUUCAAAUGCCAAUCCAAACGACUGAGAAACCCUAACCAAGACCAAACCGUACCAGAAAUUAGAAGAAAUGAAAAUGGGAAUCAAUUGGCAAGCAACUCCCAAAUCAACCCCAAAGAACUCCCAAAUAAAUGAAUUAUCAGAGGUGCCUUCAAAAACCAAAUACCAAAAAUGCAUAAAAACUCCCAACCAAUUCAACGGGAAAAACAAAAUUAAGCAAAUCACCUCCUGUGUUUAUCCAUCAAGGAACCCAAAAGCACAAAUUCCAGUAACUGAGGAUUCAGGAAAAAUGCCAAAACAAGGGUAGAAAGUUAAUACCUCCACCUGUCAAUUUUGACAGGUAGUGAUGCGCGGCAAGGAGGUGGCGCACGAGGUGGUGGCCGCGAGCUUUGGAAGAUGAGUUGGCGAUAGAGGCUGUCAGCUACGCGUGCGACUGUGCGCACAAUGGGAGGAGAGAGGCGCGGCGAGCUGGUGGACAGCAGCAGCGGCACGGGCUGGUGGCAGUGGCUGUGGAGCGUGGGCAGGCGGCGGUGCGCAGCUGGUCAACGAAGGAGGAGAUGGGCGGCGCUCGGGCUAAGGAGAGAGUGAUUUGGGGGCUGUGGCGGCGUGGGGUGGAGUUGCGGCGGCGGUCAAAGGCACUGGUGAGUGGAGGUGGCGGGGAUGGAGCUUGGAACGGAGGAGCUCAGCGAGCUGUGGGUGGACGGCCGUGGGCAGGGGAGCAGCGGCGGCCUUUGGAGCUGCUGAAGGUGGUCCGUGAGGUGGAGCUUGGAGCUCGGAGGCGGCGGCGAUGGAAGCUAGUCAGCGGCGUGCGGCAAUGGAUGAGAAAGGGAGACUGGUGGCGUCGGGCUAAGGAGAGAGUAAGGGAGAUGAUGGCGGAUGAGCGAAAGAAAAGAAGGAAAGGGAUACAGGGCAGCGAGGAAGAAGAGGAAGAAAAGGGAAAGAAAGGAAAGAAAAAAGAGAAGAAAAAGGAAAAAGAAAAGAGAGAAAGAAAAAAAGAAAAUAAAAUGGUUUUGGGGUUUUUUUUUCAAUAUUUUUUUUUCAAUUUUUUCCCUAAUUUAAAUUUUCAAAAUUUGAAUUUUUGAAGAAAAAGAAAGAAAGAAAAAUGCUCUUUGAAUUUUUGAAUUUUCUCAAUGUGAAAUUUUAAAUUUUUUUUUGGUUUUGGAUCGUCAAACACCGCGUGAGCACGCCAAGAUUACACUUCCUGGUCACAGUAGAGGAAAAUAUUAAGACCGACUACCACCCAAAUGAGAAAUGACAAAAUGAAAGUAAUGAACAAUGAAAAACGAUAAAACUAAUAUUUGGGUUGCCUCCCAAAAAGCGCCUUUCUUUUAUGUCUUUGGCCAGACAUUGCCAUAUUUGUUUAGGGAGGAUAAAAUCUUGUACCUCGGUUUAAUGUUUCAUCCUCUAUAUAGUCCUGAUAACCCUCGUAAAUAGAGUAAUUCUUGAACACAUGAGCUACGGUCUUCCCUGGACUAGUAAAUGGUGCCAAACAAGUCAACAAUAAGUUGAAUUUUCCAUUCACUCCUCCAUCACUUGCAUUUAUUGGUUUAAGAUAUCUUGCCAUCGCCACUCUUAAUUUAUUUCUGUCAUGAAAUUCGAAAUUUUCUGAUAUAAUAAAAUCAAUUUCAUUAACAGGAAUUGAAGAAUAAGAGUUAGAAGAAUAUUGAUGAAGGAAUGGAUGCGAUGUCACCGCAUUUGAAGAUUGUUCACUGGUUUCAUUCACUUGAACGAGUUGAUACUGGGGCAUUAUUUCUUGCACUUCACCUUUUUUUUCAACUGCAUCUUUAGAUCCGUUUUCUUGAAACUCUUGCAGUUCCAUGUCAUUUGACGGGAUAACUGCACUCUCAUCCUCUUCAAGGUUGAUAUUGGUUUGUGAGGGCAAUUCUUCAAGGUGAGAAGCUAAUCGCUCUAUCCUGGAUGUCAAUUGAUUCAUUUGAUCCGCCGGAUCCCUAAUGCUCGCUUGUGUCUCCUGAUGAAAUCGAUAUGUAUUAGUAGCAAAUAAUUCAAUCAAUUCCUGAAGAGACAUACCUGACAUGGAUGAUGGCUGUUGAGAUUCUUGCUGUUGAAAAUCCAUUGGCCCGGUCGCAUAAUUAAAAUUGGAAUCAUCCCACCAUCCUUGAUCAUACCCGUUUGAAUAAGGAUCGUACCACGUUUGAAAUCGAGGUGAAAAAUCUCCAAAAGUAUCAAUUGGAGCACUUAGAUUAUCUUGAAAUGCGGGGCAUGUGUCGGUUGAGUAACCUGAGUCAAAAUAAGUUCCACAAUUUGCAACAGUCCAUUGACCAUUAGGAAAAACUCGAGUCUCAUAACCUCAUUCGGGAAUAAAGUCCAGUCUAUCAUCAAAAUAUGGAAUGUUAGCUACCAUAAACUAUAUAUAACAAAAAAGAGAAAAAAAAAAAACAAGAUGAACUAAAAAAAAACAAAUUAAUUAGGCACCAGUCCCCGGCAAUGGCGCCAAAAAUUGACAGGGUGUCGAGCCUGUGCAAUAAUAAUUACCUACUCAAGAAAAACAUAAAUUCUGUAUAUAGCGGUGAGCAGGGUCGAAUCCACAGGGAUUGGAGAUAAUUCGUUUCUUUUAGAGUCCAAAGUAUGGGGGGGGAGUUUUUUGGAGAAUAUAAAAUAACUAAUUAACUAACUAAUAAAACAACUAAUAGAAAUAAAUAGAAAUUAAUCAAUUACCAAUAUGACUCUAGUCAAAAGUGCAACUUUUCAGAUACGGUCCAUUCAACUGAUCAUCGAUGCAAAGAUAAUUCAAUUACUCAUUACUAGAUUGGUUAUAGUUGUCAUACACGUGAUGAACAACCAGCCUUUUCUUAAUUUCUCGAUAGUUAAGGUACGACCGUUAACUAUUUUUCUAACCAAGUAAUAACCCUAGGUACGACCAUAGGAUUUAAUUACUCGAUUGCGUUAAUAAUUAGAAAAGCCCAACUCUAACCAACAAACACGCUACGAGGGUUUGUUUAAGUUAGAUCAUACGUUUCCCUAACAUGAAACCAAUCACGCUAGUCGCCACUGGUAUUAAUCAAUUGAACAAUUACGGAUUCAAUCAAUUAAUUUAGAAUUAGAUCAUUAAGUUAAUUCGAAUAUCGGGCCCUUGACAUUCAAAUAACAUAACAAACAUAAGCAAUUAAAUCAGGAAACGUACAAAUACCAAUGAAUAAAAGAAAUAAAUAAAAUUAAUUCGAUCUCACAGAUAUUUGGAACCGCGUCUUCAAAUUGACUUUCGACUAGAUAAAAGGCUUAGUUCAUCUACAUGGAGGAAACUCCAUGCGAAAUUGUAUAAGUAAUUAUUCUAAACAAAGCUAUGUUUUCGUCCUCCAUAGAAGAAAACGGCAAAGCUAUAUAUAAAGUAAUGAAUACGAAGGAACUACCUAGAAGCAAAAACAAAACGAAGCUCUCCUAUUCUAAAACAAAAACUACUUGUCUAGUGGUCCCCGCCGAAUUUAGAUAAAAAGGUGCAAUCUGUCAGAUCAAGCUCUGCCGACUUUUUCUCCUCUUAGUUGCCUAUUGCUAGGCAAAGACUUCAGUGCCCAGACCAUUCCUAAUCAGUGGAAAGAAAAUGCACUCCCUCUGCUGCACUCUGUGGGCUAGGUUGUUGAAGCUCUUUGGAGUCUCCCAUGUGUGGAGCUGUUUUAUCCUUCAGAUGGUCUCCCUCUUUUUUUUCUUUUUAUUUUCUUUUGUAUACUUUUCUGCUCCAUUCCUGAAAUGAGAUUCAAAUACUAAAUAUAAAUAUAUAUUAACAAUUAAACAAUAUUUAGUAAGGAUAGAGAGAAAAUUAAUAAUAAAAUAAUCAAUAAUUAACACCCUAUCAAUAUACAUUUAAGCUCAAUUUUUACUAAGUGUUAAGAUGAUAAAUUUGAAUUUCCUAUGACUCUAAUAACAAUAAAAUAUCAUUUUUCUUGUCAAACAACAUGCAAAAAACAAAAAAAGGUAGAAUUUCAAAUUAAUCAUAAAUGGGUAAUUGAGUAUUCUCAUGUCUAUUUGUUAAAUUGAUAUAAAUGAAUUGAUUCAAUUAUAACUAUUACUCAACUAGAAUCCGCUCAAACCCGUUUAAGUUAAUCAUUUUGACACCCCUAAUGUUAAUAUAUAUUGACAAGUGAAAAGUGCAGCAUUUAUCACGAAGAUAUACUUAUUUAUUUUAAUAUUAAAGUCAUUUUUUCAUUACAAAAAUAUUGAUAAUUUCAUAAUUUCAUGGAAGUAUGUAACCAGUGACAUAACAUAGUCGCCAGUGGCGAAUCUUGUCACGAGCCUUCUUUUCAACGCUUUGAUUAUGGCAUACACCUUUAACAAUAUGCCCCCACGUUGUCUUUCGAUCACUUUUUUUUUUUUUUUUAACCUCACAUUCGUUCGUUAUGUAUGUAUAAUUUCUUUACAAAAAAGUGAAAAACUCCAAAAACGUGGCAGCUCAAACGGGGCCAACAAUCUACUAUGUUCGCCUGUUCUCCCGCCGGACCCACCAGCCGCCGGCGGCCAUGGGUCAUCUAUAAAAGCAUAGAUCAAGACUACACUAAUCCCUCAUCAGUCCAAUCCAUCCAUACUUCUUCUUCAGGCCUCAGCUACUAAACAAUAAACUCUGCUCCACUCAAUUCUUUCCUCUGUUUCUUGUGGUUUUUGUCUGAAAAUGGCGGCAUCAGAAGAAGUGAAAGUGCCAAGAAUCAAGCUGGGGUCGCAAGGUUUUGAAGUUUCAGCUCAAGGGCUGGGCUGCAUGGGCAUGUCAGCCUUCUACGGGCCGCCAAAGCCCGAGCCUGAUAUGAUCAAACUCAUUCACCAUGCUAUUAGCAGAGGCAUCACCCAUCUUGACACCUCCGAUAUGUAUGGACCUCACACCAACGAAAUACUCAUUGGCAAGGUACCGUAUUUGCAAAUUUUCUGCUGUUGUGUGCUAUGCAUAAACUCUUGUACUUCUAAUUUCUAAAAGAGCAUAUUUGUAAGUAUUUUAUUUGGGUAUAUUAUAUUUAACCCCCUGCACUUGAAAUCUUGUCUCCCUUUGUGCCCCCUUAAUUUUGUUUGUCAGCACUUAAACUCCAUCUGUUUAAAUUAUAAGUAUUAUUAGUCAAAUAAGACAAUAAUAUUCUUCAUUUCUUCUUCUUCUUCUUCUUCUUCUUCAUUUUUUCAGAUGUUUGUCCUCAAUUGUAAGAGAAGGUCGUAGGUCUAGCACAUACGUUGAGUAGCUGUAUCCGAUUAGAAGGAUUUAGAUCAUAAUGGAGUUGGUAAAAUAGUACUAUUUUCGUCUUUGAAGUUAAAAUUGUCAUCAAUUUAUGGAAAGUUUACUAUUUCUCUGAUAAGAGAUGGUAAAAUUUACUUUUUACGAGUACUAAAGUUUUAAAGAUUAUGAAAAGAGAAUUGUACGAAUGAAUAUAAGGGAAAAGAAAGGUAAGAACAUAAAUAGAUUGUGUUUGGAUUGAUUUUGGGAGGGGCAAGGAGAGGAAAGGGAAAGAAAAGGAAAUGGAUGGAUUGUGUUUUGCUCAGACAUCAUUUCCAUACAAAAGUAGACGGAAACAGAGGGAAAGAAAAUCUAGUUGAUGAUUUUCUUAUAAAAUGCCUCAAGCACCCAAAUUUUACAUAAACUUGAGUAACCAUGUGUUUCAUAUCUGUAGAACUUGCCAUUUGUGAAACCUGCUUUAGAUAUGAAUUGUGGGAUGCAACAGCAGGCUAGGAAUGUUUGACUAAGCAACUUAUGUAAAUAUUUUAUCGUUAAGUGAAGUUCCUCUUUUGCUGUUUAAAAAAAAAAAAAAAAAAGAGAGAGAAAAACCAUUCCUUUAAUGUCUGUCAUUCUACCAAACAGCAGAUUUAGGAUUUCUUUUUUUCCCAUCCAUAUCUAAUCCAAAUAAGGCAAAUGAGAACUAUUUUCCACUACUCUCCUUUCCUUUCUUUUUCACUAGGAUGUUUUAUUUAUUCUUUCCUUUGAUCCUAAUGGUUCCUAAAAGGGCACUAAUUAUUCUACAUUGAUCGUUCCCCAUAUUUGUAUUAAUGUGCAUGUUCACGAUUCUGUGUACGUUCAUGUUGUGCAUCAAAUCUUGUGAAUGUCAAAGCUAAGAUUGUAAAUUUAAGUUGAAGAAACAUAAAAGAAAAAAGAAAAUGGAUUGGCUCCUUUAAGAGUAUCAGACUUCUAAACCCCAAGGAUUACAUAAUUUUCAUAUCCUUUGCUAUACAAAGAAGUGGCAUAGCCUUAACAAUGAAGUGCUGGAAAAACUCCAGAAGGACUGUGCCAUCCAUGAAAUCACAAUUCCGCUUGCUAUACCAUGCAUUAAUGUGUAUGCCCUUGAUGAUUAAUAUAAUGAAAUCAUGGUUCUAGGCCUUGAAGGAAGGAAUAAGAGCGAAAGUGGAGCUAGCAACAAAAUUUGCAAUCAGUUAUCAGGAUGGGAAAUUUGAUGUACGUGGUGAUCCAGCCUAUGUGAGGGCUUGUUGUGAAGCGAGUUUGAAGCGGCUUGAUGUGGACUGCAUUGAUCUCUAUUAUCAACAUCGCAUUGAUACACGUGUGCCCAUUGAAGUCACGGUUUGCUCGUCUUGCCUUUCUUGUAUUUUAGCUCCACCUCAUUCUUGAUGAAACAAAAGUUUGAUCAACUCCAAAUUUCGAAUAAUUCAGUUUCAUGUGCGUUUCAAUUCUUCAAAAAUUGCACAGAAAAGUUAGUCAACCUUAUGGUCUAGGCUAAUCUGCAGUAUGCUAAAUCUUAUUUAGCACCAGGCACCCUGAAAAGUGAAAACAAUGAAAAUGUCUUAUAUUAGCUUGGCAGUCCUGCUGAGGGAUAUACAGGUGGAUAUCAUGCUAUACAUUGUACAGCUUUCCUUUAGAAGCAAGAGACCUGAGCAUUCUCUUUCAUUUGAGAUAGGCUAUCCAGUUGAGUAAUGAUAUGCUAUUUACUUACCUUGUCAUUCGUUUUCAGUCGGUGCCAAAAGCACUGCAGAUAGAAGUUUUUUAGUCAAUAUCUAAAAAACGUGGUACUCAUUUUGUUCAGAGUAUAGCUUUUUGUCUAAUUGUGAAAGCCAGCUGCGACUACCCCGUUGACCUCUCUAAGCAAUUCAAAGAUUGCAGCUGCUUGCUUACAUUCAGCUUUUAUGAAAACAAUUUCUGUCUUCUUUUUCUAAUAUAGUCAGCAAAGAAUUGUCUUGUUUUUCCUGAGUAUUAGGAAGAAACUUUCUUGCAGUUUAAUCACUCAAAAUACAGGCAAGUAUAAAGGAAAUCAAGGAAAUCGACAACUGAUAAUUGAUAUGUGCAGCCAUUAUUAUAUCUAGACGAAGUCAACAAUGUCGUGUAAUCAUAUUGGAGGAGCAUUAUGUUGGCAUGGUCCAAUAGAGCUAAGUCAUCCGGUGGGCUGUACAUAGAGAAGUAUCACUGGAUGCUUAUUGCCAUUUUUGUCAAUUAUUGAUUUCAGUUUGACGUAUAAUUUGUCCACGACUUCAUUGAACUAGUCCAACUUUUACUUUUUUGCACGUAAUAUUUCGAUUAUCUGCCUAAGUAUUGAAUGUAAUAAAUCAGCUUUGCAUUUUCUUGUCCAUUGAAAUUCUCUAGAUAGGAGAGCUCAAGAAACUGGUUGAAGAGGGUAAAAUAAAGUAUAUAGGUCUGUCUGAGGCCUCAGCUUCAACAAUUCGAAGAGCACAUGCUGUUCAUCCAAUAACAGCGGUACAGUUGGAGUGGUCAUUGUGGGCCAGAGAUGUCGAGGAAGAGAUUAUUCCCACUUGCAGGUAGUGCAUAUAUUCUGCUGCAUUUUCUACGUGGUCUAGAAGAAAUAUGAAGUUCUUAAUUCAGUUUUUGGUAUAAUCUUUCAGAGAGCUUGGAAUAGGGAUUGUUGCAUACAGUCCACUUGGAAGAGGAUUCUUCUCUUCAGGUCCAAAGCUGGUCGAGAAUUUGGCUGAAGGUGACUGCCGAAAGGUUUGUGCAUAUCCAAAACUAUGAAGUUUUUGAGUAUAGAUUGUUUAUAGUUCGAAUAAGUUUCUCACUCAUCUACUUUUACCACUUCAGUGACAAUCUUGCUUGAUAUCCCUAUUCUUGUCUAUCUGUCAUAUGUUGCUGCACUUUUUGAUGUCCAAUAAUUUGAUUAAGCCUUAUAAUAUGAUCACAUUUAAUCAAAUUUCUAUUAAGCAGAGCAAAUCAACAGGCUUUUUUUUUUCCUGUCGAACAAGUCUUGAGGUCUUUAGUUGAUUAAAUGAAUGCAGAUUUUGGUGUCCUCUGUAUUUAGUUCAAAUUAAAAGAUAUAGCGCUAGCUUUGUCAAAUUUUAGAUCUUAUAUUAAUUGAAGGUUGUUAUUGCAUGCUGGAGAUUUAUAUAGUGGACAACAAUCACAAGCAAUCGAUAGUAUCGAAUUUUAAAGUGCAAAGAUGUCGCAAGACAUCAAAACAGGAAGAAACUAUGUCACUUUUUAUGUAAAAGUCUCUUUUCAGUUUUGAGGGGAAAUGGACCUUGGACUUCAAUUUCAUCAUUUAGUCUCAGGCACAGAAUUUCAUCAUUUUGUCCUGUGAAACUAUCAUUUUUCCUUUACCAUUAAUCCUAAAACUGAGUUUCAUUGGUCAGAAGUGUACUUCUUAGUACAAACAUUAGUUGAUAUGCAUUUUAAGGUUCCCCUUUGAUGGGAAAUGUAUCUCAGAACUUAACUCCAACAGUUGAUGUUUCCUACUUGGAUUAUUCAGUCCACCUUGAUGCAUUGUUCUUUGCCCUGAACUUGUGUCCUUCAAACAAUAUUGCUGAUCAUCUUGAAGUAAUGUACCGUUUGUUCAUUUCUCCCUUCUGAUUUCUUGCAUUAUAGUUUCCUCUUUAAUGGGAAAUGUAUCUCAUGAUCUACCUUCUACAAUUAAUGUUUCUUAAGAGUACUCAGUCCACCUUACUGGAUUGUUCCUUCCCCUGAACUUUUUACACCUUAAACAAUACUAUCAAUCAUCUUGAAGUUAUUCAUAUUGUCUUCAUACCUAUCACCCUUUACAGUUGCUUGAAUUUUUGAAAUUCAUACAAUGUAGGAUAUGCCAAGGUUUCAAGCAGAGAAUUUGGAGCACAACAAGAAGUUGUAUGAGCGGGCCAAUGCCAUUGCUUCAAGGAAGGGUUGUACUCCAUCACAGCUAGCAUUGGCCUGGGUCCAUCACCAAGGCAAUGAUGUUUGCCCCAUACCUGGCACUACCAAGAUUGAGAACCUCAAUCAGAAUAUAGGAGCUUUGUCUGUAAAACUGUCAGCCGAGGAAAUGGCGGAACUUGAAUCUAUUGCUUCUGCGGGAGUCAAGGGUGAUAGGUAUGCGCCUGGCCUUGGUACUUGGCAAACUUCUGAAACUCCGCCUUUGUCAACCUGGAAGCGGACAUGAAGACAUACCUUUGUUAUGGCAAUAAUUCCUUCUAGCUAUGUGCCUGAUGGUGGAUUUCACUAUAUUGAGAGUUGAGUGAUAUGUAAUUGUUCCAAUAAAUUUUGACAUACUAUUGUCUCUAGGGCUAUGGCACGUAAAGUUAUAAGUAGAAUGGAUGGAGUUUCUUCAGAGAGGUUGUAAUAAAUAAAGAUCUGGUCAUGUAAAAGCUGAAUAUAAUUUUCCUUGCAGUUGAAUGCAUUAAGAGUUAUAUAUUGUACUUUUGAAUGCUAAAGUGGUCCAUUUUUUAUGUGCUACUGCUACGAGAGUUAUAGAUUGUUGAACAGCAUUCAAUUCUGGACUUAUUAAACAUAAGCAUAUAAACAUUUUAUUCUCGGAAUAUUUACAUCAAAAGAAACUCCAAGGUCACAUCAUUGUAAAGUGUAAACUAUAUCAUAUUAAUAAAAAGCAAAAAAAAUGUCUAAAUGAGGAAAAAAAAUGUACUAUAGAAGAAGUCAACAAUGUCAUGUAAUCAUUUUAUCCUAAAAUUGAGAUUCAAAUUUAGUUGAUUUGUAUUUUGAGUUUCCUCUUUGAUGGGAAAUGUAUCUCAGAACUUUAACUCCAACAGUUGAUGUUUCCUACUUGGAGUACUCAGUCCACCUUGAUGCAUUGAUCUUUCCCCUGAACUUGUGCCCGUCAAACAAUAUUUCUGAUCAUCUUGAAGUAAUUAGUACCAUCUGUUCAUUACUCCCUUCUGAUUUCUUGCAUUAUAGUUUCCUCUUUAAUGGGAAAUGUAUAUCAAGAUCUACCUUCUACAAUUGAGAUUUCUUAGAGUACUCAGUCCACCUUACCAGAUUGUUCUUUUUCCUGAACUUUGUUCACUUCAAACAAUACUAUGAUCAUCUUGAAGUUAUUCGUAUUGUUGUCUUUUGUGGACGACACAUGCUUUACUGCCUUUUUGAAUUUCUGCAUUGCAGUUGCUUAAAUUUUGAAAUUCAUACAAUUUAGAAUAUGCCAAGGUUUCAAGUAGAGAAUUUGGAGCACAACAAGAAGUUGUAUGAGCGGGUCAAUGCCAUUGCUUCAAGGAAGAGUUGUACUCCAUCACAGCAAGCGUUGGCCUGGGUCCAUGCCAAGGCAAUGAUGUUUGUCCCAUAACUAGCACUACCAAGAUUGGAAACCUCAAUCAGAAUAUAGGAGCUUUGUCUGUAAAACUGUCAGCAGAAGAUAUGGCUGAACUUGAAUCUAUUGUAUCAGCUGGAGUCAAGGGUGAUAGAUAUGAUCCUGGCCGUGGUACUUGGCGAACUCCUGAAACUCAACCUUUGUCAACUUAGAAGACUACAUGAAAACAUACCUUUGUUGAGGUAUUAAUUCCUUCUAGCAUUCUACCUGUUGGUGAUUUCACUGUAUUGAGAGUUGAGCGAGUUGUAUUUGAUCCAAAAACUUUGUCAUACUAUUGUCUCGAGGGUUAAGACAUGUAAAGUUUUAAGAAGAAUGGUGUUUCUUUAGAGUGCUUGUAAUGAAUAAAGAUCUGGUCAUGUAAAAGUAGAACACAACAUACCAACAAUGUCAUUGUAAACUACAUCAUACCAACAAAAAAGUAGAAAAUGGUCUAAAGUGAAUCAGAAAUCAACAAAAACUAUGUAAGCACCAAUGGAAAGCAGAAAAGUUCUUGAUACCAUAGUAAACACCAAUGGAAAGCUAAAAAGUUCUCGACGCCAUAGAAAUUAGGGAUUCGUUGGGCAAAAAAGUUCUUAACACCAUACUCUAUAGACGUAGGGGAUCCAGGUUUGGGCAUCUAGCUAAGUGGAACAGGUAAAGGAAAGCUGCAUCACAGAUGUAGCAAGUAGUUCCAAUGCCCUUGCCAAUGGUAUAGGCUUUCUUGCUUCCAACAUGGUCUUGAAAGUGCAGAUUAGAGAAGGAUAUCAAAGCCGGCCAGCUGCGAAUCCUGUGGGGUGAAAACCAUACAUUUGAGAACAUAAACAAAACAGAGCUGCCUGGUCCUCAAUUUAAGCAUUAUACUUGAGAAGGACAAUACAAGCAUUCAGGGAUAUUUGCAGCCCCAUCCUCAAUGUGUGAGAAAAUAAACUUUACAUGCAGAAAGGAAAUAAAUGGUUGAAAUUACACAAUGGAUGGAUGUUGAAAAGAAUCACUAACAAAUAUGUCUAGAAGAUCGAUCUGUUAAGCAUGGGAAGUUCAAAGAGUAGCAUUUUUUUUGAAUCUCAGAAAAAUGAAGAGUAAGGUACAGUCCAACAAUUUAGGGAAUUCAAACUCUAUUUGUGAAUAAACUGCUUGUAUUUUUCCUUUUUCUAGUGUAAGAUUUAAGGAAAAGUUAAAAUCACUUGACCCCUGAUCAGUUCUUUACCAAUACAUUGAUUUUGACUUCAAUCAUGAACAAAUAAUUCAGAUUAAGACUGAAUAGUUAAUAAAUUGAAAAAAAAGGGAAAGACAUCAGAACUUAGAUGUAACACACUAAUCCAUAACAUCCAGUCCUUCUUACUUUUCGUGCCUUUGGCCCAGUGUUGCAAAAGGCCUUGCCUGAGGUAAGGCAUUUGUCUCUACUGCAGCAGCACGAAAGCCUUGGAGCAUGGGUUGUAAUUCUCAUGAAUUUUAAAAUUUUUGAAUAUUUUAAAAAUAUUGUAAUAUUUAUGCAAAAUAUUAUUAAAACACAUAUAACUAUAAUAAAAUAUGUAAAAUUUUAAAAUUAUAGAAAAAUAUAUUAUCAUGAUAUGCGGUAGUAAUGACAGUAUAGAAAAAAAAAAAUAUGACAAAAAUUCAACGAAUACUAGUCGUGGGCAUCUGAAAAUGGUUAUAGAUGACAAGGGACGAUGAUUUUACUUGGAAACUUGGGUUUUUACAUUCUUGUGGUAUGUAUUACUAUACAAAAAUGGUAAAAUUAAAAUAUAACCAAGUUUUGGGGUUAAAUAAGAAAUUUGAGAUAACAGGUUAGCUAAAUUUUUAAAGUGAGCCAAAGCACAAGGACUUAAUACUACAUGUUUUACUAAAAUGGGACCCACAUCUCUAAAUUCAGGCCCGUCAGGUUCAUCGAGGUGCUUCGUUCGCAAGCCCAUUUGUCAGCCCAAAUCAUCAAACGCUUCCUUCCUCCCCUUUUUAUUUAAUAAACCCGAUACGACUUCCUGAUUAUUCCAGGAUCCAACAAUUAAAACUUUACUGGCUCUAAAAAAAAAAAAAACAAUUAAAACUUUACAUACAAAUAAAUGGUCAAAUUCACUUAAAAAUUGUGGGGUCAUCUUCCACAUUAAACUUUUGUACUAUCCAAGUUUGUUUUAAUUCCUUUGGGAAAAUCAAACAUCGAAUGCAUUCCCCAAAAAAAACAAAAAAGGGAAAAGGAAAUGGCUUACCUUUGCCCUUACGUAUCCAAUCCCAAUUUGAACAUUACAUCAUCCAUCCAAUUGAAACAAACUCCUAUGGAGAUUUUUUUUUUGCUCUAUUUUGUUGUUAGAUCUGAAAGUUUUUUCAAAAUUUGAAUCUAUUUGAACAUAUCUCAUUAUCAUUAUUGAAACUUAAAACCAUUUAUUGACAAAUCUGGCAAUUGCCAUAUGCACAAAAGGGAGACGCUUUAAAAUUCUUUAUAUUUUAUUAGAUGUGUUUGUAAUUUUCAAAUCUAUUGUAUUAGUUAAAUUAUAAUCUGUAAUUUUUAAUGCAUGCGUGACCUGCCAUUAGAGGAGUUAUGUAAAUCAAAUCAUGUUGGACGAUUUUCAAAAAAAAAAAAAAAAAACUUAACCGUCAAUUACUCUUUCCCAUUUUAUUUGUCCACUUUUCAAUUGUCAAUAACUCUUUUAAAAUAUUUUGCAAUACAAAAAUCAACUGAAACCAGUAGACAUUGUAAUUAAUAGCAGUAUUCAAUUCUUGUUUUUGUAUAUUACUCGUACAUCUAAUUAGUCCAAUUUGGAGGGAAAAAAAGGUGAAAACAAAAAAAUAUAAUAGUCACAAAAAACACAGAUCUAGCUCAAAAUAUGGCAGUGACCAAUUGUUCUGCAAAAUUAGUAGGAUAAGCAGUUGACAAAUUCUAUAAUCCCUUUUGGUCAAAUAUUAUUUUUAAUAUUUAGGUCGUUACAAUUUCAAUAAUUUAAAUUACCAGUUACUAUCAUCAUUGGAAGAAGCACAUUGAAGGAAUGAUACUCUAAGAUGACUGAUAGAGCGAUUUUUGAGCACAUUUUGUACUAUUAUUCUGUCCUAAUUUUGGCUACUCAUGGUGCUAAGAAUUAAGAUUUUGCUCAUAUUUGAUAUUUGUAUGAAUUAUAGGUGGUUGGCGUUAAAAAUGAUCUUGCGAGGCGAAUUUCUAGAAGACCCUUCAGGUCAAGACGUGCCCAUGCCAGAAGUAGUGGAAGGUUACCCAUAAAGUCGGACCCGCGGGCUUGGUAGCAAAAUAAGUCAACUAGGGAACCAGGUCCACGUGGAUCAAAGGCGGGGGAUUAGAACCCUUAGGCAAAGCUUGUUCCUUUUUUUGGAUUACUACUGGCGGCGCACAUGAAAAAUAUAAGAGACGAAGCCAGGUUCACGUGAAAGGAAGGAGAUAGCUUAGUUUUCUUUUCCCAAAUUUGUCAGACGUUUGUCUUGCUUUUCUCGGUAGAAAACAGAAGACAAGCCAGAAUCACGUGGGCUUAGUAGAUUAGUUUUCGUUUUCUUCACUGGCAACAAUUUCUUUCUCUGUUUUGACUUUUGAUAAAUUUCAUGAGAUUGCUCCAGUACGGACACGAAAUAAGAAAAGGAAUUAAGAGACUUUCUCUUCAUUAUUCCUCCGUUAGUUCACUUUUCUCAAUUCUUCGGCAAUUAAUUGAAUGUUUUCAAUUAAAUCACACGGGAUUGACAGGAUGAGGAGAGGCUAGUUCUCUCCUCUACCCAGAGGUCGACGCGAGGGCGCGGUCCAUAAUAUCAGUAAGAUCUGAUCAAACUUUCAUUAUUUCUUCCAAUUUGUUACUAUUCGUGCGUUUCUUGGAUUAAUUAUUCAUGGGUAUUUUAUUAAUUGAAUAUCAACGGCCGGGUAUUUAAUUUAAUUUAAUAGCCUACUGUCACAUUAACUAAAUUCAAUCCGUAAUUGUUUGUUUAGUUGAUAACUAGUGACAACCAGCAUAAUUAGCUUUAUGUUGGAGGAAUGCAAGAUCUAAUUUAAAUAAACUCUCUUAGCGUGUUUAUUGAUUAGGGUUGAGUUCUUCUAGUUGUAAUGCAGUUGGAUAAUUAAAUUCCUAUAGUUGUACAUAGAGUUGUUAACUGGUUAGAGAAGCAGUCAACGGUCGUACCUUGGCUGUCGAAAAGGUAAGGAAGAAUUGGUUAUCAGAACUUGUUGUUAGCUAUAACCAAUCAAGUAAUGAAUGAGUGAAAUAUCUUUGCAUCGAUGAUCGUUUAAUUGGACCAUGCCUGAAAAGUUGAUCCUUUGGGUAAAAUUUUAUUAAUUGCUAUUUUUACUAAAUUGCACUUGUUGAGUUAGCUCUUGAGUUUUACUUAUUUUAUUUUUACUUUCACCCCAUUAAUUAUCCCUCUCUUUUAUUCUAUUGACUUAGAAAGAAAUCACUUCCUAUCCGUUCCCUGUGGAAUCGACCCUACUUGCCAUUGUACGCAAAUUUAAUAUUUUUAUAGACAAAUCUGGUAUAUCGGAUCAAACAAAUUUUUUGAAAAUAGGGUGAAUCAAGUAACCCAUUGCACACCUAGAGUCCCUGCUCCAGUACUUGGAUUUGUUCUAUAAUGAAUUGUGGUGGUAAUUAGGACUUUUUAGUAAUUAUUAUUGCACAGGUUCGGCACCUGUCAAUUUUUGGCGCCGUUGCCGGGGAGCGGUGUUUUGGUUAAAUUUGUUUCUUUCUAAGUUAUUCUCUUUGAAUCUGUCUAGCAUUUUUCUAGUUUAUGCCUCGCUCUUCUCGUACAGGCGAAUUGAUUUUCGAUUCAGAAGUAGAGAAGGCUGCGCGCCAAACUAGGAAACAGACCAGACAACUCAGGGAGGAGCAAUCCAGUAUUGCAUCUCAGGGACUGGAUCUUGAGGUUGAAUCAACAGAUUCAAGUAGUGAAAAUUUAAAUGAUCCAGGCCAAGAGGGCAUCCUUAUGGCAAAUGCAAGAAUACUAUAGGAGUUGGCUGCUCCAGAAUUACCCCAGCAGCCUUUGUGCAUUACAUUCCUAACGUUGGCUAAAAAUAUCUCAUUUGAAUUGAAGUCAGAAUUAAUCCACCUCCUACCUACGUUCCAUGGCCUCUCAGGUAAGGAACCCUACAAACACAUCCAAGAGUUUGAUGUGGUAUGCUCCAGUAUGAAGUCUCCAGGAAUUACUGAGGAGCAGAUUAAACUCAGAGCCUUCCCCUUCUCCCUCAAGGAUGCAGCAAAUGAUUGGUUGUACUACCUACCUGCAGGUAGUAUCAUCAAAUGAGCCCAACUUAAGAAGAAAUUUUUGGAAAAAUUCUUCCCUGCGUCCCGGGCUGCAAGUCUGAGAAAAGAGAUAUGCAGCAUUAAGCAAUAUCCUGGAGAAUUCUUAUAAGACUAUUGGGAGAGAUUCAAUAAGUUGUGCACUAGAUGCCCACAGUAUCAAAUUAGUAAAUAACUGUUGAUCCAAUAUUUCUAUGAGGGACUCCAGUCGUCUGAUAGAAGCAUCAUCGAUGCUGCGAGUGGGGGAGCCCUGGCGAACAAGACACCACGAGAAGCAUGGAUAUUCAUUGAAUCAAUGGCGAAAAAUUCUCAACAGUUUGGUUUCCUAAAAAGUAACCCUACCCGGAGGGCUAACGAGGUAGAGACGUCAUCCAUUCAGCAGCAGAUAUCAGAGCUAACAUUUUUUGUUACAAUUAGCUGUGGGAAACAUGCAUCAAGCUAAGGCCUGUGGAAUCUGCACAAAUGUGGGUCACUCCACUGACUCAUACCCUAUGUUGCAAGAGGAUGGGGGUGAACAAGUGAACAUAGUCGGAGGCGUGCCCGUGCCUCAUAGACAGUACGAUCCAUACUCCAACACAUACAAUCUGGGUUGGCAAGACCACCCCAAAUUCAGUUAUGGUAAUAAGCCACAGAAUUCAUUUCCCAAUCGCCUACAAGGAUUCCAACAACCGUAGCAACAAAAGUCUCAACCCUCGUCCUCCAGCUCAGGAAGUCAUUUGGAGAAAAUUGUCAAGAGUUCAGCUACGACUAUAACUCAGCUCCAGCAAGAGACUAGGUUCUUGGUCGCGAGCAUUACUCAGUUCCAACAGGACACCAAAGCAGGCAUGAAAGACAUGGAAAUUCGAAUGAGUUAAAUGACAACUGCCAUUAAUCGCCUAGAGUCCCAUGUUUAUGAAAAAUUGUCAUUUCAAUCCGAGCCAAAUCCCAGAAAUGUAAGUGCCAUAACAUUAAGGAGUGGCAAAAAGGUGGAGGGACCUAAGUUGGUAAAUUCGAAAAGCAAAAGUGAGGAAGAGAUAAAAAAGGAGAUUGAAGAAGAAGGACGCAUUCGUAAAGACCCUAAGGUAAAAUUUACUCUUUCAGCUCCUAUUAAAUCUAACUUACCUCAUUUUCCUUGCAGGUUAGAAAAAACAAAGAAGCAAAAUAAGGAAAAGGAGAUUUUAGAGGUGUUUCGAAAGGUGGCAAUCAAUAUCCCUUUGUUGGACGCGAUCAAACAAGUGCCAAAAUACGCUCAAUUCUUGAAAAACUUGUGCGUUAACAAGAAGAAGUUGAGGGGGGAUGAACAAAUUGUGGUAGGUGAGAACGUUUCAGCGAUUUUGCAAAGGAAACUACCACCUAAAUGCGGAGAUUCAGGUAUGUUUAUUAUCCCUUGUAAGAUUGGAUGUUCUAAUAUCAAAAAUGCCAUGCUAGAUUUAGGGGCCUCUAUUAAUGUGAUGCCUAAAUUAAUUUAUGAUUCCCUAAAUUUAAAACCUUUAAAAGAAAUAGGGAUAAUAAUUCAAUUGGCUGAUCGUACAUUUGCUUAUCCGGAUGGAAUAGUUGAGGAUGUUUUGGUGCAAGUAGAUGGAUUAAUUUUUUCUGCUGAUUUUUACGUACUUUACAUGGAUGAUAGAAGUGCCCCAAAUCCAUCACUCAUUAUAUUAGGAAGACCAUUCUUGAGUACUGUCCAAACUAAGAUUGAUAUUAGUAAGGGUACUCUCACGAUGAAAUUUGAUGGAGAAAUAGUCCAUUUUAAUAUUUUUGAUACAAUUAAAAAUCAUGUUAACUCUCAUUCUGUAUUUGCUAUUCAGGCUACUAAUCCCUCUGUGCAAGAAUUCUCUGAGUUUGUUUGUAGGGGUAAAUUCAAAAUUGUUGCGAACAAGUAUCCUGGAAUGAAAGCAAUUCAUGAGGUGAAAAUGAGUAGAAAAUUCAGGAAAAUAUUGCAUUCAAUGGCUAUUUGGAUCCCGGAGGAGGGCCACAAAUUAGAAGAAAAAUUGAAUUACAUCCAAACUGAAGAGCGGUGUAUAGUGUCUAGCCAAAAACAUUAAAGAAAGGCGCUACUUGGAAGGAAAUCCAAGGCUUUCAAUUGUGUUUUUUCAUAUUUGUGUGUUCAAGAUCAGUGGGUUUAGGUUCCUAUUGACAAGCAAUCUUUAUUGUAGGUCAUGGGUGUUUCUGUGUAGUUUUAUUCUAUGUUGGGAGCAAAAAUUUGCGGGCAGAAGACUUCAUGUUACAAGGCUUGCCCGCGCCUUGUACUCACCGCGCAUGAACAUUUGUAAAAUUUGGCGGACAGAAGAUCUCGACCUUCAAGGCGUCCCCACGCCUUCCAACCUUUGCAACAAUGAAAGUUAAAAAAAUUGAUCAGGACCUUCUCUAACCCCCCUUUUCUACUUUUCUCUUUUCUUGUCUUAUCUGGUCUUUUUAAUUUCCUCUAUCUUAGUUUCUACUUUUCAAUUUCCUUUGUUUUGUCUUAGUUUCAGUUUCUUUGUUUCCUCUUUUCUUGUUUGUCCGCUGCGCACAGCGCGUCGCUGUGGCGUGCUCCUCUUACCAUGCUCCUCCUGCUGGGGAUUCCCAAUACCGUGCCCUCCAAGAUUCUAUCCGUGAACUAGGUGAGCGGGUUAAGGGACUAGAUGGCCAUCUUGCAGGGCUACAGGUUUUUGCUCGCAUUCAGGCGAAGAACCAAGCAGCUUUCUUUGCUCAUAUUGGAUUCACUCCAGCUCAUCCUUCCCCCCCUUAGUGUCUAGCUGCACCCUCUCGGUGGUCAAGGAAGUUUAUCUCCUUUUCUUCUAAUACUUCAUUUGUCUUUUCUAUAUUGAGAGCAAUGUAGGUUUUAGGUGUGGGGGAGUGGUUUCCAUUAUUUCUUUUGGCUUUGGUACAAAAAAAAAUGAAAAAAAAUGAAAAAUGAAAAAAAUGAUGAAAACAAUGCAGUUAGUCGGCUUUCUGUUCAUUUCUAUGUUUGUUAGUGCUGGAGUGUGUUGCUAUGAUGGAUUAUACAAUCCUGGGGCACAGGUACAUGGUCAAAUAUGCUAGCUGGACAUUUUGUUUUUCCUUGGCAAUAUCGUUGAAUGUAGAGUGUGUUGAACUUGACCCAUUCUUGUAACUUUUGGAAGCUUUUGAGCCAUGCAUGGGCACAUUAUUCUUGUUUGCUCUAGUUUUGUUUGAUUGAGUGGGUAUCACACAUGGUAUUGGUAUUCUAGAACUUGCUAUUUUAUACAUGUCGAGACUAUAUUUUGUUGAACUGGAUGCAUUUGAAAUGAUAAGGGCAUUUGGGAUUAAACCUUCUUUAACUUCCUAAAACCCAUGCCUUCAUCUUGUCUCCCAAUAGUGAACCAAUUUGAACUUUUAUCCGUCAAAUUUGUUUGUUAGCCAUGUUGAUAACCCAAGACCUUUUUAGACUUUCUUGUUCACCCCGGUGUUGUUAAGGGAUGUCUGAAUUUCAUCAUUUGUGCAAGACAAAUAAAUCUGGAGUCGCAAGUGUUGUUAGAGUAGAAUCUGUAUGAUGCUAUCUUUGUGCAUUUAGAACAAAAAGGGGAGAAAUCGACAAUAAGCUGCUGAUCAGAAGACUCUGUCUUACAGGGUGUGCCCACGCCUUGCAACACGUUUUUCAAAAAAAAUGAAAAAAAAGGAGAAGAGAAGCUAGUGAACAUAAGGCUCUGGCCUCCAGGACGUGCCCAUGCCUUGCAAGACAUCUUUGUAAAAAAAAAAAAAAAUUGCGACAUUUGCACAGUAGGUACAGCAGGUGAAACUGUCUUGUUCGCGGAGUUCAUGUGGUGAAGCAUUGUGGUUAUAUGGUGGGUUUUGGACAUCCUCUUGACACAUUACAUCUUACCUUCACCUUCUUAUCCCGCAUUUUACCUAAACCCCAUUACAACCCUAUUAAAAUCUCUUUGAUUAGUGUAUUUAAUUCACUUUUAAGUGGUGGAGAUUUAAUAAAUGUGCAAGCCUAUGGUAAUGUCAUUCCGUGUGUUGAUUUGACCGUUCCCAGUAUUCAUACAUUCUCUUGAAGGUGACGAGUAUUACUGAGCAUAUUCUUUGGUUAAUUGCCUAUCCGGCAUAUUCUAAUUUCGGCGACAUUGUCGGGGGGGCGAGAUGCUUGUGCUAGUAUAGAUUACUAUAUGACCUCUGUUGUCUUGAUUGUAUUUCUGAGUUUCGGAAUGCUUGAGGACAACCAUUGUUUAGGUGUGGGGGGAUUUGAUAGAGUGAUUUUUUAGCACAUUUUGUACCAUUAUUCUAUCCUAAUUUUGGCUACUCAUGAUGCUGAAAAUUGAGAUUUUACUCAUAUUUGAUAUUUAUAUGAAUUGUAGGUGGUUGGCGUUAAAAGUGAUCUUGCGAGGUGAAUUUCCAGAAGACCCUUCAGCUCAAGACGUGUCCACGCCAGAAAUAGUGGAAGGUUACCCAUAAAGCCGGACUCGCGGGCUUGGUAGCAGAAAAAGUCAACUAGGGAACCAGGUCCACGUGGACCAGAGGCGGGGGAUUAGAACCCUUAGGCAAAGCUUGUUCCUUUUUUUGGAUUACUAUUGGCGGCGCACAUGAAAAAUAUAAGAGACGAAGCCAGAUUCAUGCGAAAGGAAUGAGAUAGCUUAGUUUUCUUUUCCCAAAUUUGUCAGACGUUUGUCUUGCUUUUCUCGGUAGAAAACAGAAGACAAGCCAGAAUCACGUGGGCUUAGUAGUUUAGUUUUCGUUUUCUUCACUGGAGACAAUUUCUUUCUCUGUUUUGACUUUUGAUAAAUUUCGUGAGAUUGCUCCAGUACGGACACGAAAUAAGUAAAGGAAUUAAGAGACUUUCUCUUCAUUAUUCCUCCGUUAGUUCACUUUUCCCAAUUCUUCGGCAAUUAAUUGAAUGUUUUCAAUUAAAUCAUACGGGAUUGACAGGAUGAGGAGCGGCUAGUUCUCCCCUCUACCCAGAGAUCGACGCGAGGGCGCGGUCCAUAAUAUCUGUGAGAUUUGAUCAAACUUUCAUUAUUUCUUCCAAUUUGUUACUAUUCGUGUGUUUCCUGAAUUAAUUGUUCGUGAGUAUUUUAUUAAUUGAAUAUCAACGGCAGGGUAUUUAAUUUAAUUUAAUAGCCUACUAUCACAUUAACUAAAUUCAAUUCGUAAUUGUUCGUUUAGUUGAUAACUAGUGACAACCACUAUAAUUGGCUUUAUGUUGGAGGAAUGCAAGAUCUAAUUUAAAUAAACCCUCUUAGCUGUUUAUUGGUUAGGGUUGGAUUGUUCUAGUUGUAAUGCAGCUGGAUAAUUAAAUUUCUAUGGUCGUACUUAGGAUUGUUAUCUGGUUAGAGAAACAGUCAACGGUCGUACCUUAGCUGUCGAAAAGGUAAGGAAGAAUUGAUUAUCAGAGCUUGUUAUUAGCUAUAACUAGGGGUGGCAAUCCGGUCGGGUUCGAGUUGGUGGGGCGGGUUGAGACCCAAAUAUAACAAAAAAAAUCAUUGACCCGAACCUGACCCGUCAACCCGAAACGGGUCAGGAUGCCUGACGCCAACCCGAAAAUUUCGGGUUGGCGGGUCGACCCGAAAUGACUCGAAACUUAAUUUUAAAUUAUUAAUUUGUCAUUGUAAUUUCUAAUAAAAUCAAUUUCUCACAAAAUUAAUUACAUCAUCAAGUAAUAAAAAUUUAAAUAAAAAUUUCAAACCAAAUCUAAAAUAAAUUAAAUACCGUAAAAGUGUUUUAUCCCAAACCAAAUAUAAAAUAAAUUAAAACAGCAUAAAAGUGAAAAAUAACAUAAUAUAUUAUUUGUUCAAAUAUAAUAAUUUUAACUUCACACAAGUUAAAUAAAUUCAUUUAGGAUUAAGUAAUUAAUACCUUUGAAAAAAAAAGAAUGAUUUAGUUUAGUUAGAUAAAAUAAUUUUAUGCUUAUGAAAUUAUUUUUAAUUCGUAAACGGGUCAUAUCGGGUCAUAUCAGGUCACCAUGGGUUGACCCGAAAUCGACCUGUUUUGUUUUCGGGUCAAUCGGGUUCGACCCGAUUCUGACCCGAAUUCCUGAAACCUCAAUCCAAACCCGUUAAUUUCGUGUUACGUUCAUGUCGUGUUUUCGGAUCGUGUCAGAAAUUGCCACCCCUAACUAUAACCAACCAAGUAACGAAUGAGUGAAAUAUCUUUGCAUCGAUGAUCGUUUAAUUGGACCAUGCCUGAAAAGUUGAUCCUUUGGGUAGAAUUUUAUUAAUUGCUAUUUUUACUAAACUGCACUUGUUGAGUUAGCUCUUGAAUUUUACUUAUUUUAUUUUUACUUUCACCCCAUUAAUUAUCCCUCUCUUUUAUUCUAUUGACUUAGAAAGAAACCACUUCCUAUUUGUUCCCUGUAGAAUUGACCCUACUUGCCAUUGUACGCAAAUUUAAUAUUUUUAUAGACAAAUCUGGUAUAUCGGAUCAAGCAAACUUUUCGGGAACAUGAUGAAUCAAGUAAUCCAUUGCACAUCUAGGGUCCCUACUCCAGUACUUGGAUUUGUUCUAUAAUGAAUUGUGGUGGUAAUUAGGACUUUUUAGUAAUUAUUAUUGCAUAAGUUCGGUACCUGUCAAUGACUAUAGAAUUUUUCUAGUCGGUGAUACAAAAUAUUAAUAUUUGAAAAAAAUUCUAAUCACACAAUUGUAUUUGAUCUCAACCAACCGUCACUACUUUAAAUUAAUUUGGAUUGCAAGUAACGUCAUUACUUUAUGUGAAUAUCAAACAUGAAAAGCGCAUGAUAUAUACGAGCAAAAAAAUUAUAAUGUACUAAUUUUCAAUUUCUUUAUGUAGAAUAUUUUCGUGAAUAUUAAUUUUUGACAUAUCUUAGUCAAGGUCAUUAAUCAACCCGGACCUAAUCAGCUCCAAACCCAGGGCAAAUUUCUGGCAAAUUUCUUUGAAAUACUGCCAAAAAGAAGUUUGAAAAAUAUUGUUGAAAAGUUGAGCAUUUUUCUAUCUAGGCUCUUCGUGUCUCCUACACGCAAUGGAUAGUUUAUUUGUUCAAUUUUCUUUUUAUAAAAGGAGCUUGUCGUAUGUCAGGCACAUGGCGAGCCACAUUUAAAAUUUGGUUCCUAUCAUAGAGUCUAUUAUGUCCCUAACACUGAUGGACUGUUUUUUAAUUUUUUUUUUUUUUAAAAAGCAAGUGAAAAGUGUUGCAACUCAAGAGUUGGAUAGUAAUUUUAAAAUUUAAUAGUGCACCUACCUUUUAAUUUUUUCGUGUGCUUUUAAGGUAUCAAACGGGGAAAAAAAAACCAACACCAUAUAACUUCAAAUGCAAGAUGGUACGGAAUUUGUCAAUAUGUAGAUGUUAAUAGACAUUAAUGACAUGUAAAAAGUGCACCAUUCAUCACAGAGAUAUUUAUCCUAAUAUUACACUCUUUUUUUUUUUUUUCAAAAAUUCCAUAUUUCAUGCAAACAUGUAAUCAAUAUGCCUAAUCAACAUUAGAUGAAUUUAAACAAGUAGCCUACAAAUUUAAAAAUAUUUGAUUUCAUAAAUGUGCAUUCGCAAUUUAGAAAAGGUACUCUUCAAAUGGCAAAUCUAGAGAGCAACAAAUACUCCUACUCUAUUUUGAUUUCAGAUCUUCUUUUGACUUGCCAAAAACGUGAAAACAUGAAACUAAUACUGUGUCAGAUGGAGAGAAGUAAUAGAAAUUUGUUUUCUAGAUUCUUUGGCCUCCCAAUUUUUUCAGCGGGUCAACUCCGACCAUUAUCAUGGUCAUGUGAUUGUAGGUGUACCUGGCUUUGUAGACCACAACGUGGAUUGGAUAUGUCGAUUAGCUCCCAUCCUAUUAUAAUAUUUUUUCUUUUAUAAAUCAAUAUCUAUUCUAUUCCUAUUUCAACUUCUAUUCUAGGGAAAGGGGAGAUUCAACUGAAAAAUUGAUAGUGAUUGAAUCACGAUCGGACCAAACAGAUGUACUAUGCACAUAUACGAAUCUUGGAGAAGCCGGUGCAAUGAUGAGAGGUAAUGUUUGAGUCUUGACCUUCCAUUCCACUAAAAUUUAUAGUCUUUGAUAGUGGCCAACCACCCAAAGAGUUGUUGGUUAACUCCCACCCUGUUAGGAAGUAAAGGUUUUCGACACUCUAAAACAAAUGUUUUUUUUUUGUUUUUUCAAUUAUUUUCAUCUAUCACCAACAGCUGGCGGUCAUGGGUCAUUCAUCAAAGCAUAAAUCCGAACGACACUAAUCCCUCACUAGUCAUCCCCUCAUUCCUUCACGUAUGUUUUUAAUAAAUUGGAUUCAUCUAUUUGGUGUUCUAAAAUCACAUUUAAAAAGUUUUUUUUUUUUUGCAAUGUGUUAUUAUUCAGGACAUGAAUGAUAAUUUUAAAAUUUGAAUAGUGGACCUAAAAAUAAAACUUGUAAAUUUUACAUCUUAGCCUACUUACUUUUAAAACAGAGGGAAAAAACAGCACAUAAUUUCAAGUCAAAGAUUGUAUGCAGUUUGUCCAAUAAAUAAAUAUUCAUAAUUCAUAAUUUCAAACGACCGUGCCUAGUUGCGUGCGACCAUGCCCCGUCGGCCUGCGUUCCGCACACUAGGAUUCUAGAACUGUGUGGAACUCUUUAGAGUCCUUAAAGGAUAAGGAUGCAUGAAUCUUGAAGAUAAGCAUGAACCUUGUAAAUAAGGUUGUGUAGAAAAUUCUAAGCACUUGUAGUGUUUUGGCUUGCCUAUAAAUAGGCCAAGCCCUUUGUAUUGGAAAUGGUUGGCGACCUUGUGUAAAGAAACUUUAUGUAUAAUAUAAGCUUUUCUUUGCCACACUUACAUAUCUUUGCAUACUACUUUGGCGCUUCCGCACUUUAACCGCGCAUUGAGUGUUAAUGCUGAACUAGUUAGGCGUUCAUAGCUUAAGACAUGAGCGUAUGUUAGUGCCGCACGAGGUGUUGGUUUGUAGGAAAACAAGCAGCCCGUGACAAUAGGAAUGUGCUUAGAAAUUGACAUGUGCACUGAUGAUUAAUGCGGUGGACCCGUAAGGGAAAGUGGACAUCGGAAGCCACACGCGCAUGAAUUAAGUGUAAGGAGGAAAUGAUUUCGGGAAUAGCUAAUAUUACCAUUUAUCACUGAUUUUUAAAUUCAAAUUAUUUUUUUAAUUUUUCGUAUGUUGUUUGACAAGAAAAAUAAUAUUUUAUUAUUAUUAGAUUCGCAAGAAAUUCAAAUUUAUCUUCUUAACACUUAGUAAAAAUUGAGUUUAAAUACAUAUUUAUUUUUAAAUGAAUAUAAAUGGAUGAGUCGAAUCAAUCAAUUAUCCUGAGUAUUUUGAAUAACUCAGUUUCAUGUCCGUUUCAAUUCUUCAAAAAUUGCACAGAAAAGUGAAAACAAUGAAAAUGUCUUGGACUCGGGGCACGGACGGUUGCAGGUGCAACCGUCCCUGCCAAUUUUAGUCAUUAUCAACUGUGCGUAACUUUCUUUGUACAUCGUAUAACUUUUUUUUUACAGGAUAUAUUUUCACAACAGAUAGUGGUGAGUCCCACACUUGGCGCGAAAAUCGAGUUACAUGGUGUUAUCUUAGCCGCACAAAAUUUUGAGGACAAAUUUUGAUCCUUAACCGUGCAGGGACGGUCAUACUGCCCCAAAUCCAAAUGUCUUAUAUUAGCUUGGCAGUCCUGCUGAGGUAUAUACAGGUGGAAAUCAUGCUACACAUUGUACAGCUUUCCUUUAGAACCAAGAAACCUGAGCAUUCUCUUUCAAUUGAGAUAGGCUAUCCAGUUGAUUAAUGAUAUGCUAUUUACUUACCUUGUCAAUCGUUUUCAGUCGGUGCCAAAAGCACUGCAGUAGCCGUUUUUUAGUCAAUAUCUAAACACGGUACUCAUUUUGUUCAGAGUACAGCUUUUUGUCUAUUUGUGAAAGCCAACUGCAACUGCCUCAUUGACUUCUCCAAGUAAUUCAAAGAUUUCAGCAGCUUGCUUACAUUAAGCUUUUAUGAAACAAUUUCUGUCUUCUUUUUCUCAUGUAGUCAGCAAAGAAUUGUCUAAUUUACCCUGAGUAUUAGGAAGAAACUUUCUUGCAGUUUAAUCACUCAAAAAACAGGCAAGUAUAAAGGAAAUCAAGGAAAAUUGACAACUGAUAAUUGAUAUGUACAGCCAUUAUUAUAUAUAGACGAAGUCAGCAAUUGAUUUAAGCACGUCUCGGUAAGUUAAAAGGUUAAAACUUUACAUACAAAUAAAUGGUCAAAUUCACUUUAAAUUUGUGGUGUCAUCUUCCACCUUAAACUUUUGUACUACCCAAGUUUGUUUUAAUUCCUUUGGGAAAAUCAAACAUCAAAUGCUUACCAUUUAUUGAAACAUUACAUCAUCCAUAUUUUUUUUUGACAAAAAAAGUAGAUAUAUAAUUAAUAGCAGUAUUCAUAUUAUUUUUUGUAUAUUACUUGUACAUCUAAUUAGUCCCAUUUGGAAAAAAAAAGGAUGAAAACAAAAACACAUAAUAGUCACAAAAAACACAGAUCUAGCUCAAAAUAUGGCAGUGACCAAUUGUUCUGCAAAAUUAGUAGGAUAAGCAGUUGACAGAUUCUAUAAUCGCUUUUGGUCAAAUAUUAUUUAAAUUAGCUGGAUGGUCAAAUAUUACUUUUAAUUUUAAUCAUUUAAAUUACCAGUUGAAUGUUGACUUCCCAUUUCACUAAAAUUUAUAGUCUUUGGUAGUGGCCAAUCAUCCAAAGAGCUAUUGGUUUGUUCCCACCCUGUUAGGAACUAAAGGUUUUCGACCUUCUAAAAAAAAUGUUUUUGUUUUCAAAAAUUAUUUUCGUCUAUCACCAACAGCUGGCGGUCAUGGGUUAUUCAUCAAAGCAUAGAUCCGAGCAACACUAAUCCCUCACCAGCCAUCCCUCAUUCAUUGUCGCAUCCUUUUUAUGAAUUGGAUUCAUCUAUUUGGCGUUCUAAAAUCACAUUUAAAAGUUUUUUUUUUUUUUUUUUUUGCGAAAGUGUUAUUAUUCAGGAUGUGUAUGAUAAUUUAAAAUUUUAAUAGUGGACCUAAAAAUAAAACUUGUAAAUUUUACAUAUGAGCCUACCUACUUUUAAAAUAGAGGGAAAAAAACACCACAUAACUUCAAGUCCAAGAUUGUAUGCAGUUUGUCCAAUAAAUAGAUAUUCAUAAUUCAUAAUUUCAUAUACACAUGUUAACUAGAGAUGUCAAUCACAACCCAAUUAUAUUGAUCCGUUCAAAACCGUUCACUAAUAACCCAUCCAAAUUCACUCAUUAAAAUUUAAAUGGGUCUAAGGUUGUGUUUGGAUUGCAUUUUCCGUCAUUUUUCAUGGAAAAAUUACUGUAGCGAUUUGAUAUAUGUGAGGGAAAAAGGUGAUAGGGAAAUGUGAUCACGGAAAACGACAAUAUUUUUCGACAGAAACAAGCAAUCCAAGCAUGACCUAAGUGAGUACCUAAUUAAAUUCAUUUAAUUGGUGGAUAGUUGAUUGAUUCGAUUCACCUAUUUAUAACCAUUUAAAAAAAUAUAUUUUUAAACUCAAUUUUUACUAAGUGUUAAGAAGAUAAAUUUGAAUUUCCUACGAAUCUAAUAACAAUAAAGUAUCAUUUUUCUUGUUAAACGACAUGCAAAAAAUUAAAAAAAAUAGAAUUUCAAAUCAGUGUAAAUGGGUAAUUAAGUAUAUUCAUAUCCAUUUAUUAAAUAGAUAUAAAUGGAUUGAUUCAAUUAUAUCUAUUACCCAAUUAAAAUUUGCUCAAAUCCGUACAAGUCACUCAUUUUGAUGCUUUUAAUGUUAAUAUAUAUUCACAAGUGAAGAGUGCAGCAUUGGUUGGGAAGAUAUACUUAUUUAUCUCAAUAUUAUAAUCGUUUUUUACGUUGCAAAAGUAUUGAUAAUUUCAUAAUUUCAUCGAAGUAUGUAAUCAGUGACAUAACAUUACAUGAAUUUCAACGAAGUAUGUAAUCAGUGACAUAACAUUUCAUCAUUAGUCUUCAGCGGUGAAUCUAUGCUCUUUUCACGAGGCUUCUUUUCAAAGCUUUGAUUAUGGCAUACACUUCUGACAAUAUGCCCCUUUUAGAAUAGGGAUAAGUUUCUGGGUGAAUCUUUUCACGAGGCUUCUUUUCAAAGCUUUGAUUAUGGGGAUAAUUUCAGAUACCUCCCCUGAGGUUUCUGAGAGUUUCACUCCCCUCCCCUGUGGUUUCAAUAAUACCACAAACCUCCCUUAAAACUAGAUAGGCAAUGCCAAAAUAGACCCAUUUUAAAAAUACAAACAAUAAAAAAUUAGUAGCUGGUGAGAGAAACAAGUGUAUACCACAAAUGCCCUCAUUAUCUUGCAUUAAUGAACUAAUCUCAUGUGAAGAAAAAACAGGGAAUUUAAGAAGAAAGAAACUUGAGGGGGUGGAAGUGAGACCAAUGCAUUCAUUAAGGUCUGAACGUCAGUAGUGAACAAAAUGGAAGGCAACGGCUCUUUCUGGUAGGGCAUGUUGUUUUGUCAAGCGAGCAUAUAACUGAAGAACGGCCUGCAUAACCAAAGCUAGUACAUGUUGUUUUAUCAAGUCACAAGCAAUAAUCAAUACAUUACCACAAUCUUCCAUCGUCAAAAAGCCUGUAGGUUUUCCAAAUGUUUUCUCAAAGAUUUAUCGACUUUCUUUAUCCUGCAAAAGAGGAGUGGAUUUUUUCUCAGCAACAUCUUCCAGAACUGGAGAUGCAACAUGUUUCUCUGAUGAGUCAGGUAUUAGUCCUGCUGCAGUCUCUUCUGUACUUUCACGAGAGAUUCUGGGCCUGGAUUGCAACAAAUUAUCCAGGAUUAGAAGUAAGGCACUAAUACAUUUCGGGCUCAAAAUCUCAUUUCCUGCAAUAGUCCUUGCUUUGAAGUUCAUCAAGAUAUCAAUUGCCAAUGGGACAAUGCCACUCUGCACAGCAAUUUGUCGAGCAUUUUCAUCUUCAGAUAAAAUCAAUGCUAAAGUAUGUGAAACCAUGCACAAUGCACUAUUAUCUUUUGAGAAUUCCAUGGGGCACUGCUUUAGCUACUUUACAAGAUAAGGAAUCACCCGAUCACGGUCUUCUCCUUUGUUCCUAUUGCAAAGAGUCACAAGCAAAUCUGUCAACUGGAAAGCCAUUGAAUCACUACUGUGAAACAACUUCAUUGUUGCAGCAAGGAUGUCAUCAACAUAAGGGGUCUUAAUUCGUUCCUCUUCUGCCAAAACAUCCACUGAUUUUUCAGUGUUAUCGACUUUAGAUGCUUCUGAGGAAUUUCCUAGAGAUAAAGCAAGUGCACGAGCCAAUUCAUCAUCCUCCAGCACAGGAUCUUCAGCAUGACUAAAUAACCAUUCCAUAGCCAUUUCGACACUAUUAGUUUCCACUCUUUUUAAUGCCUUCUCAGCUCUUGCUCUUGAGAACCCCAUCUCAACAAUGGUAGCAAUGGUAGCUUCAUUAGGUGGUGGAGCCACCAAACGUUGGUUUGUAUUCCCUAACAACCCACUACGAUUUGUUUAACAUCACCAACACCAGAAUAUACAUGAGUGAUUAGUGAAAUAAUAGAAGUUAUAAAAACUGGAUUACAAUUUGGAAACAAAGGGUGAUUCCAGAUGGGAACUAUAGCAUCCAGAACCUGAGACUGCAGCAUACGAACAAACACUUAAGGGUCCUUAGGAACAGGAAGCAACCCAAUAGACAGACCAACUGCAACAGGUUGCACAAGCAGCUGUGCCUGGGAUGCUAAGGUUGGAGACAACAGCAAAGAAGAAUUGAUAAAAUAUUCAAGAAGGCGACAAUAACUCUGCAAUGUAUCAAGCAGCCAUGAACUGUGAGACAAUUUGCCCUCCUCCGGUAAGACAAUCAUAAAAAGUUACAAGUAACUCUUGGGGUCUACCUUAGCCACUCUUACUUUUCUUCCCAUAAAAUGGAGCACAAUAUCAUGAAAAUCAGUGAUAACCAUCCUACAAUAGACAAUCAUAGGCUACUGAAGUUACAAUAUUAGUUAUUGAAGUUACAGAAAAUAUUAGCUACAAUAUUAACCAUCUUGCAACAUUGGUUGCUGAAGUUACAGAGCAAGUAUAAGCUUUCUAAGUACUGAGGUUUGGCAUCUAACUAUAUCAAACAAUCCAAGUCAGACGAGAAAUUUAGAAUCAAGUAAGCAUAGUCUGGUAGAGGCUUAGCAAACCAAGUCACAUGACAAACCAGAAAAUCAUAAGCAAACAUGUAUCAAGCUUACACAAACAACAACCAAAUCAUCAUAAGCUGCCAAUAUCAUAUUGAAACAGAGUAUGAAAUCUUAAACACUUACCUGGUAAAUUUUUCUUAAUGAGCUAAGAGACUCUUCAGUUUGUUUGCCAAGACCUUUGUUUGCUAAGAACUUUCUUAACGAGAAUCAAGAGCUUUGUUUGCCAACCAUCAACCUCAGUUGCUAUAUCUCAACAAUGGCGGGAACAAAGUAAGUUUCUUGCUUCUAUAGGUACCGUGCCUAUCAAGCUGUUGUGUCAAUCAGACCAUGGCGCCUAAGUUUGGCGCCAUUUUGCUGAAGGCUCCUUUCUAUAUUGGUUGUUAGGACUCUAAUUUUUCGUUAAUUAAUUACAUUAAUUGUGUUUAUAACUAAUUCAACUAAAGUUUUCCAGAUAAUCAUGAAAUAUUAGCAAACUAGUGAGGGUAUUUAAGUCUUUUUGGCACCAAUGACGUAAGAAAUGGGACCUCACAAUCUGACAAGGGAGGUUUGUGAUAUUAUUGAAAUCACAGGGGAGGGAAGUGAAACUGUCAGAAACCUCAGGGGAGGUAUCUGAAAUUAUGGGAUACACUUCUGACAAUAUGCCCCUUUUAGAAUAGCGAUAAGGUUCUGUGUGGGAUAAUUUCAGAAACCUCCCUAGGGUUUGUAACAAUUUCAUCAAGCUUUCUUGAGAUUUUCAAUAUUACACUUACCUCCCUUGAUGAUAGUGACUAUAAUAAUCUUCAUAAUUUUUUCAGAGACAAGCCAUUGAUAAAAAAGGAUUAAAAAAAAACGAAAACAAUUCUUCUUGGCUAAGCCACAUAUUGUGACUAAAUUGUUUCAUCCAUGACCACUAAAUUGUAAUUUUCUAUUACUGAGAAAAGGAAGUAUUUUGGUAAUUGAGGGGCUUGGUUGUUUGAGUAGGAAAAGGGUAAGAAUUAUGAAUUUUAUGAUUGACAGUUUGGUAGACAACAUAUGGAAAAAACUUAUAGAGAGGUAAAAAUUAUAAAGGUAAGAAUUAUGAUGGUGGAUUUUGACAUCUAAAAUAACGAGCUUGUUCGAAAGAGGAAGAAAUGAUAAGACUUUGAAAACUUGGGUAGAUGUAGAAAAUUAUGAGAUGAAAAAUAUUAGGACAUUGGCUAAGUAAUAAAACUCAUAGGUUUAUAGUAUACAAGUGUAUUCUUGAUUUUUGAAAAAUUUUAAUGACUAUUCAUAUUUUGAAAAUUAGAUAAGGACAAUUUUGGGCAUUCGUAUAUUUUUUUGGUCUUACAUCGUCAAGGUGAAACUCAAACCUAUGUUUGAGUAAAUAUAUGUGUAAUUUUCAAAACGUGAGAAAAGCUGUCUGAAAUUAUCAGAAACCCCAGGGGUGGUUUAUGAAAUUAUACAAAAAACUCCAAUAAAGUGGCAGUUCAAACUGGGCCAACCAUCUCCUAUCUUCGCAUGUCCUCCCGCCGGCGGCCCUGAGUCAUCUAUAAAAGUAUAGACCAAGACAGCACUAAUCCCUCAUCAGGCCUCCAUACUUCUUCUUCAGGCCUCAGCAACGAAACAAUAAACUCUGCUCCACUCAACUCUUUCCUCUGUGUCUUGUACUCUUGUCUGAAAAUGGCGGCGUCAGAAGAAGUGAAAGUGCCAAGAAUCAAGCUGGGGUCGCAAGGUUUUGAAGUUUCAGCUCAAGGGCUGGGCUGCAUGGGCAUGUCAGCCGUCUACGGGCCGCCAAAGCCCAAGCCUGAUAUGAUCAAACUCAUCCACCAUGCUAUUUGCAGAGGAAUCACCCAUCUUGACACCUCCGAUAUCUAUGGACCUCACACCAACGAAAUACUCAUUGGCAAGGUACCAUAUUUGCAAAUUUUCUGCUGUUGUCUGCUAUGCAUAAACUCUUGUAAUUUUAAUUUCUAAAAGAGCAUAUUUUUAAAUAUUUUAUUUAGGUAAAUUAUGCUUAAUCCCAUGCACUUCAAAAUUUGUCUCCCUUUGUGCCCCCUUAAUUUUGUUUGUCAGCACUUAAACUCCAUUUGUUUAAAUUGUAAGUAUUAUUAGUCAAAUAUGACAUUGUUCUUCUUCAACUUUUCAUGUUACUGCCUUUUCAGUUUGUCCUCCUUUAUAAAUAUGGGAUGAAUUACUUUGAUUUUGAUUUUGGUGCAAUUUUGUAUAAAAUGAUUUUUGCUAUGAAGUUAUUGAUUUAUUAUGAGCUAUGUGUUGUAUAUUUACAAAAUUCUGCUAGUUAAACAUUCACUUGAGCAAGCCUUCCAAACAUGAGCAAUAUAAUUCUCUAUGGGUGCAUUUGGUAAAUUUGAAGUCUAGAAAUUGAAAUCUAAUCUAAAGUCUGAAUCUAUAAAGUUAUUAAAUUGUUAAGUACUAAAUUUGAUACGUUUGAGUGUAUGUCACAUCAAGUGAAAUGAAUAACUCAUAACUUAUUUUUUGAAGCAAGUUUUGCUUAAGAAAUUUAAUGUCAUUUAAUUAAUUCAGAUAUUCAAUUUUUGGUUAUCAAACGUGUCUAAAUAUGUUAAGAUCUGAAUUUAUUAAUUUUAAGUGUUAAAUUAGGUUAUCAAACAUGACCUAUAAUUAUUAAGUAACCAAGCAGACAACAUGUUUAGUGUAUAAUAGUAAUUAGCUUUCAAUUUGUCUUGUUAUUCUUUGGUAAAGAACUCUUUGAAUUAAUAAUAAUAAUUUUCUCAUACACGGGAAUCAAAAUAAUUGAAGUGUUAUCUCUACAAUUGAGAUAUGUCACCUUCUAAAAGAAAGGAAAGGGAAGGAAACAUGGGGGGAAAAUAGGGAAAGGGCAAAGUGAUGAUAAAGAAAAUUGGAAGUAGCAAAAUGACACAAGUGAAUUAUUGCAAGGGGUUAAGUGUAAAUUAUGUUUAUUUUAUUAGUCUAUUUAACCAGAAAGAUUGGGCUCUUGUAAGGCACCAAUCAAAAGUUCCAAUUGCUGGAAAUAACAUAAAAACUUAGACUUUGUUUGGUUUGGCAUUUUUGGAGGUGGUUCAUGAAAAUUUUAUUGUAGUUUUUUUUUUCUUGUUGAAAAAAUAUACUUGUAAGAGGAAAAAAAAUGGUUGAAAAAAAAUUGAGAGUUUUUUUUAAUAAAUUGUUUUCUAAAUAGCUCAGUCACCCAAAAUUUUCAGUAUUCUGACAAUGGCAUCCAUGUGGUGUCAAUUGUCAAACUUGCAACAAAGUUGAGAAAAGAAGGUCGUAGGUCUAGCUCUUUUUUAAUACGUUGAAUAGCUCUAUCCCAUUAGAAGGAUUUAGAACUCUUCUACCAUCUCUUUAUUUUCUUUUUUUUUUUCCCUUCAAAAUUCUACAUCAUAAUGGAGUUGGUAAAAUAGUACUAUUUUCGUCUUUGAUGUUAAAAUUUUCAUCAAUUUAUGGAAAGUUUACUAUUUCUCUAACAAGAGUUAGUAAAAUUUACUUUUUAUGAGCAGUAAAGUUUUAAAGAUUAUGAAAAAAGAAUUGUAUGAAGGAACAAAGGGGAAAAGAAAGGUAAGAAAAUGGAUGGAUUGUAUUUGGAUUGAUUUUGAGAGGGGAAAGGAGAGGAAAACGGAAAGAAAAGGAAAUGGAUGGAUUGUGUUUUGCUCAGACAUCAUUUCCCUACAAAAGUAGACGGAAACAGAGGGAAAGAAAAUCUUGUUGAUGAUUUUCUAGUAAAAUGCCUCAAGCGCCCAAAUUUUACAUAAACUGGCCAUUUGUGAAACCUGCUUUAGAUAUGAAUUGUGGGAUGCAACAGCAGGCUAGGAAUGUUUGACGAAGCAACUUAUGUAAAUAUUUUAUCGUUAAGUAAAGUUCCUCUUUUGCUGUUAAAAAAAAAGAGAGAGAGAAAAACCAUUCCUUUCAUGUCUGUCAUUCUACCAAACAGCAUAUUUAGGUUUUCUUUCUUUCCCAUCCAUAUCUUAUCCAAAUAAAACAAAUGAGAACUAUUUUCCUCUACUUUCCUUUCCUUUCUUUUUCACUAGGAUGUUUUAUUUAUUUAUCUUUCCUUUCCUUUGAUCCAAAUGGUUCCUAAAAGGGCACUAAUUCAUCUACAUUGAUCAGUUCCCUAUUUUUGUAUUAAUGUGCAUGUGCAUGUGCACGAUUCUGUGUACGUUCAUGUUGUGCAUCAAAUCUUAAGAAUGAAAAAGCUAGAUUGUAAAUUUAAGUUGAAGAAAUAUAAAACAAAAAGAGAAAAUGGAUUGGGUCCUUAAGAGUAUCAGACUUCUAAACUCCAAGGAUUACAUAAUUUUCAUAUCCUUUGCUAUAUAAAGAAGUGGGAUAGCCUAAACAAUGAAGUGUUGGAAAAACUCCAGAGGAACUGUGCCAUCCAUGAAAUCACAAAUCCACUUGCUAUACCAUGCAAUAAUGUUCAUGUCCUUGAUGAUUAAUAUAAUGAAACCAUGGUUCUAGGCCUUGAAGGAAGGAAUAAGAGUGAAAGUGGAGCUAGCAACAAAAUUUGCAGUCAGUUUUCAGGAUGGGAAGUUUGAUGUACGUGGUGAUCCAGCCUAUGUGAGGGCUUCUUGUGAAGCGAGUUUGAAGCGGCUUGAUGUGGACUGCAUUGAUCUCUAUUAUCAACAUCGCAUCGAUACACGUGUGCCCAUUGAAGUCACGGUUUGCUUGUCUUGCCUUUCUUGUUUUUUAGCUCCACCUCAUUCUUGAUGAAACAAAAAUUUGAUCAACUCCAAAUUUUGAAUAAUUCAGUUUCAUUUCCGUUUCAAUUCUUCAAAAGUUGCACAGAAAAGUUAGUCAACCUUAUGGUCUCGGCUAAUCUGCAGUAUGGUAUAGCUGAUUUUGCACAAGGCAUCCUGAAAAGUGAAAACAAUGAAAAUGUCUUGUAUUAGCUUGACGGUCCUGCUGAGGGAUAUACAGGUGGAUAUCAUCCUAUACAUUGUACAGCUUUCUUUAGAACCAAGAGACCUGAGCAUUCUCUUUCAUUUGAGAUAGGCUAUCUGGUUGAGUAAUGAUCUGCUAUUUACUUACCUUGUCAACCAUUUUCAGUUGGUGCCUAAAGCGCUGCAGAUAGACAUUUAUUAUUGAUAUCUAAAAAACAUGGUACUCAUUUUGUUCAGAGCACAGCUUUUUGUCUAAUUGUCAAAGCCAGCUGCAACUGCCCCAUUGACCUCUCCAAACAAUUCAAAGAUUUCAGCAGCUUGCUUACAUUCAGCUUUUAUGAAAUAAUUUCUGUCUUCUCUUUCUCAUGUAAUCAGCAAAGAAUUGUCUUGGUUUCCCUGAGUAUUGGGUAGAAACUUUCUUGCAGUUUAAUCAGUAUAAAGGAAAUCAAGCAAAAUUGGCAACUGAUAAUUGGUAUGUACGGCCAUUAUUAUAUAUAGAAGUCAACAAUGCCAUGUAAUCAUAUUGGAGGAGCAUUAUGUUGGCAUGGUCCAGUAGAACUAAGUCCUCUGGUGGGCUGUACAUAGAGAAGUAUCACCGGAUGCUUAUUGCCAUUUUCAUCAAUUAGUGAUUUCAGUUUGACGUGUACUUUGUCCAUGACUUCGAUGAACUAGUGCAACUUUUACUUUUUGCACGUAAUAUUUUGAUUAUCUGCCUAAGUGCUGAAUGUAAUAAGUCAGCUUAGCAUCUUCUUGUCCAUUGAAAUUCUCUAGAUAGGAGAGCUUAAGAAACUGGUUGAAGAGGGUAAAAUAAAGUAUAUAGGUAUGUCUGAGGCCUCAGCUUCAACAAUUCGAAGAGCACAUGCUGUUCAUCCAAUAACAGCUGUACAGUUGGAGUGGUCAUUGUGGACCAGAGAUGUCGAGGAAGAGAUUAUUCCCACAUGCAGGUAGUGCAUAUAUUCUGCUGCAUUUUCUACAUGGUCUAGAAGAAAUAUUAAGUUCUCAAUUCAGUUUUUGGUAUAAUCUUUCAGAGAGCUUGGCAUAGGGAUUGUUGCAUACAGUCCACUUGGACGAGGUUUCUUCUCAUUAGGUCCAAAGCUGAUCGAGAAUUUGGCUGAAGGUGACUACCGAAAGGUUUGUGCAUAUCGAAAAAGAUGGAGUUUUUUAGUAUACAUUGUUUAUAGUUCGAAUAAGUUUCUCACUCAUCUAUUUUUACCACAUUCAGUGGCAAUCAUGCUUGAUAUCCCUAUUGUUGUCUAUCACAAGCAAUGGGUAGUAUCAAUUUUUAAAGUGCAAAGAUGUCAAAAGAGGAAGAAACUAUGUCACUUUUUAAGUAAAAGUCUCUUUACGGUUUUGAGGGGAAAUGGACCUUGGACUUCAAUUUCAUCAUUUAAUCUCAGGCACAGAACUUAUGCUGUCCUGUGAAACUAUCAUUUUUCCUUUACCAUUAAUCCUAAAACUGAGUUUCAUUGGUCAGAAAUAUACUUCAUAGUAGUACCUCCUCUAUCGUUCAUAGUAGUACCUCCAUCGUUCAAACAAACAAAAAUUAGUUGAUUUGUAUUUUAAGUUUCCUCUUUGAUGGGAAAUGUAUCUCAGAACUUAACUCCAACGGUUGAUGCUUCCUCCGUGGAGUAUUCAGUCGAACUUGAUGUAUUGUUCUUUCCCCUGAACUUGUGCCCUUCAAACAGUAUUUCUGAUCAUCUUGAAGUAAUUAGUACCGUCUGUUCAUUACUCCCUCCCGAUUUCUUGCAUUAUAGUUUCCUCUUUAAUGGGAAAUGUAUCUCAGGAUCUACCUUCUACAAUUGAGGUUUCUUAGAGUACUCAGUCCACCUUACUGGAUUGUUCCUUCCCCUGAACUUUGUACACCUUAAACAAUACUAUCAAUCAUCUUGAAGUUAUUCAUAUUGUCUUCAUUUGUAGACGACACAUGCUUUGCUCCCUUUUGAAUUUCUGGCAUUACAGUUGCUUAAAUUUUGAAAUUCAUACAAUGUAGGGUAUGCCAAGGUUUCAAGCAGAGAAUUUGGAGCACAACAAGAACUUGUACGAGCAGGUCAAUGCCAUUGCUUCAAGGAAGGGUUGUACUCCAUCACAGCUAGCAUUGGCCUGGGUCCAUCACCAAGGCAAUGAUGUUUGCCCCAUACCUGGCACUACCAAGAUUGAGAACCUCAAUCAGAAUAUAGGAGCUUUGUCUGUAAAACUGUCAGCAGAGGAAAUGGCGGAACUUGAAUCUUUGGCUUCUGCGGGAGUCAAGGGUGAUAGGUAUGGGCCUGGCCUUGGUACUUGGCAAACUUCUGAAACUCCACCUUUGUCAACCUGGAAGAGAACAUGAAGACAUACUUUGUUAUGGCAAUAAUUCCUUCUAGCUAUGUGCCUGAUGGUGGAUUCCACUAUAUUAAGAGUUGAGUGAUAUGUAUUUGUUCCAAU